rnacentral:lncRNA from 1 species
AACCAAGCAUAUUGCUUUCCUCAAAUCCAUUAGUUGCUCGGGAAAGUUCAUCAUGUGAAAUUCUUUUCAAAGACAACAAAUCAUCUUUAAUUGGUAGAGUUGUACUCCUUCUUUGGCAUCUUCUAUACAUNNNNNNNNNNNNNNNNNNNNNNNNNNNNNNNNNNNNNNNNNNNNNNNNNNNNNNNNNNNNNNNNNNNNNNNNNNNNNNNNNNNNNNNNNNNNNNNNNNNNAUUUGGGAGUUUUUGUGGAUGUCGUUUUUGCAAGGUGGGACUAGCAAUCUAGGUGGACCACAAAGUGCAUAAUUCUUCAUGAAUGAUGUGCUAGAAAAGUUUGAAAAACAUCCUUUGCUGGGAAUUUCCCCUUCAAGUCUAUUGAAAGACACAUUAAAAUACUUUAGAUAUAAAAGCUUUUCCAAAGAUUUGGGAAUGACUCCAGAGAGAUUGUUAUUGCAUAAAUCCAAGAAUUCCAAACUAAUCAACCCAUCAAAUGAUUCAGGGAUAUGACCAUGUAGUAUAUUAUUUGAUAAAUCUAAUGAAACCAAAGUUUGAAGACCCCCAAAUGUGGAUAAGACAUCGCCCGUGAGAAGAUUCCUUGAUAAAUUUAGUUUCAGUAGACUCCUAAGAUUUCCAACAUCAAUAGCAUGUGAAUUGUGAAGAUGGUUUAAUGAUAAAUCUAUUUUUAAGAUAUCUUUGAGAUUCCACAAAGUUGAGGGUAUUGCAGAACUCAAUUUGUUGGAAGCAAAGUAAAGAUAUCCUAAAGAAGUAAUAUUACCCAAACAAGAGGGUAUGGAUCCAUGCAGCUUAUUCAACCCUAAAAACAAGUUGUAUAAUCUCUCCAAAUCACAAAGGCUUUCUGAGAUGGGCCCUCCUAAUUUAUUAGAGGAAAGACCUAGACUUUGGAGAUUCCGCAGUCCUCCUAUUGAUUUUGGAAUGAAUCCACUUAAUUUAUUAUAGCCAUGUUCUAAAACCAACAUGUUGCUUAAGUUACCUAUUUCCAUAGGAAUAGUGCCUUGAAGCUCACACUCUUCGGCAUAAAAGUAUUGAAGGGAUUUUGAAAGGUUCCCAAUAUAAGUAGGAAGAACGCCACUCAAUGGAUUUUCUGAAACUCCUAUGGUUUUCAAAUUCUUACAAUUCGUCAAAGAAGAAAGAAAGCUCCACUCAUGAUCAGUAGCAGAUCCUGUGAUCAAAUUAUUGUUUACGAUUCGGAACCAUUCAAGCUGUCUUAAGUUGCCAAGCGUUUUAGGGAUUGGGCCAGAGAAUAAGUUAUCUCCCAAGUCUAGUUUCUUAAGCAUGGAAGCAUUGGAGAUAGAGUUGGGAAUGUUUCCGCUAAGUUUAUUUCCCCCAAAAAAAAGAAACUCAAGCUUUGGAGCAUUGGUGAUGGGUGGUAAAUUACCUGUAAAAUAGCAUCUUUUAGUAUACAUAUUCAUUGAAUACCAAAUUCACAAAAUAUAUAAUACAUUAAAAUAAAAACUGUAAAACUUUAAAUCAAUUAAGAAUAGAAUUUUGGCAUGGAAAAAUGUGAUGAAAUCAAUUAGAAAGUUGAGACAUAAUAAGAAGUUUUGAGUAGUAAUUACUCAUGAUUUCUAUAGACAAAACAUAUAAUAGACUGAUAAUUUUUUUAAAAUAUUGUAAAACCUGAAAUAAAAUAAAAAAUAAAAGUUUGGCACGAGAAUGUAGCAUCUAAUCAUUCUUAAAAAUAAGACUAACACUGAAUAAUAAUUAGUUAUGAUUUGAGAAAAAAAUUUUAAAGAUGUAUGAUUUUUAUCUAUUGGGUUAAUUAUUUAUUUUAAUUAAAUUACAGUGUAAAAUUUAAAGAUUAUUAUUUGCUCAAAAUUUUUGUAUUUUUCGUAUAUUUGAAAUUUAAUCUUUAUAUUUUUUAUUUUCUGUGAUUUAGUCUCUUUACUUUUUGAAUUGAAAAUUUUAAGUUUAUUUAUUAACACUGUUAAAAGGUUUUUGUGUUAGUAUGGCAUUUUAAAAAAUAAAAUAAACUUGAUAUCUAUGUUUUUAAUUAUUCCAAAUACUGUUUUACUAUUCCAAGAUAAAUUAUUUGUGUCUAGACCAAUAUCUUAAGAACUAUUGUUGCAUGUUUAAUUAUUCUAAAGAAUUGUUGAUUGAGACUUAGUUGAAGUGCACUAUUUUCCUAUUUAUGAAUUGGGGAGUUGGUAAAGUACUAAAUUUUGAUAUAUUUUAAAAUAUUAAAAAUUUAUUAAAAUAUUUUUUUAUAAAAAUUGAUUCUACCACAUUAUACAAUUUUAAUAUCAAAUUUUUAAUUUUUUUAAAAUAUUAGCGACUACCACAUUAUACAAUUUUAAUAUCAAAUUUUUAAUUUUUUUAAAAUAUUAGCGAAUAUAUACUUUAUUUCAAGUUACACAAUUUUUACUAGUUUUUAACUUUUUUUUUAAAUUUUUAUCCUCUUUUAUAAUUUCUAAUAAUUUUUUAUAAUUUUUUACAAUAUUUACAAUUUCUAACAAUUUGUAAUAAUUUUAUUAUUUAUUACAAAUUUAAAAAUUAACAAGUUUUUAUUUUUAAAACAAUUAUAUAUUUAUAAUGUAGUUAUUUUUUUAUAAUUUUUUUUGAAAUUUUAAAGAUUUUUUUGGUUUUUUUUCUAGAUGAUGAUGCCAUCAUGAUGACAUCAUAUGCCACAUGGCAAUUUAUAAUUAGUUAAAUAUCUCAAUCUAUUUUUUAACGUCCAAUGGACUAAAACAAGAACACCUGAUAAUGUUAGAGACUACACUGGGAAUGUUUGAUAAUAUCAGGUACUAAAGUGGGCAAAAAAAUUAAGGACUAUAUUAAAAAUAUAUCUANNNNNNNNNNNNNNNNNNNNNNNNNNNNNNNNNNNNNNNNNNNNNNNNNNNNNNNNNNNNNNNNNNNNNNNNNNNNNNNNNNNNNNNNNNNNNNNNNNNNNNNNNNNNNNNNNNNNNNNNNNNNNNNNNNNNNNNNNNNNNNNNNNNNNNNNNNNNNNNNNNNNNNNNNNNNNNNNNNNNNNNNNNNNNNNNNNNNNNNNNNNNNNNNNNNNNNNNNNNNNNNNNNNNNNNNNNNNNNNNNNNNNNNNNNNNNNNNNNNNNNNNNNNNNNNNNNNNNNNNNNNNNNNNNNNNNNNNNNNNNNNNNNNNNNNNNNNNNNNNNNNNNNNNNNNNNNNNNNNNNNNNNNNNNNNNNNNNNNNNNNNNNNNNNNNNNNNNNNNNNNNNNNNNNNNNNNNNNNNNNNNNNNNNNNNNNNNNNNNNNNNNNNNNNNNNNNNNNNNNNNNNNNNNNNNNNNNNNNNNNNNNNNNNNNNNNNNNNNNNNNNNNNNNNNNNNNNNNNNNNNNNNNNNNNNNNNNNUACAAUUAUUUAUGAUGAUGUUGUUGUCAAUUCCUAAGUUAGUGUCGAGUUAAUUUGUGACAUCAUAAAUUUAAGUGAUAAAUUUAAGGUUUUAUGUAUUGAUGCGGAUUCAAAUAUCACCAUAAUUUUUUUUAAAUAAAAAACUAAAGUACCCUCAAAUAUUAUAACUUAUAUUAAAUAUGAAAGGGUAUUUUUGUAAUUUCUCUAACAAGUUGGUGCCCGGUUGACUCAUGACACCAACUCAAUCAAAAGCUUCAAUAAUAAUAUAGAUAUUCACGUUAAAAAAAAGUACUUUAGUUCCAAAUAAUUAUAUAACAAGUAAAUUUAUAAUUGAUGAAUAAAUUUAUAAAAAUAUAUUUAUAUGAUCUAAUACAUUAUAUUUAUAUUAAUUAUAUAUCAUCUACAAACUUUGAAGAUCAAUUCAUUAAGUAUCAAGAAAGGAAAAAAAUGAAAUUGAAUUAACACUAAAUCAAUUUUUAGAUUUUGUACAGAUGAUUUAAUGAUGAUAAAAAAAUUAUUAGCACUAUUUUUGAAUUAACAAAAAAUUAGUGAUAUAUUUUAAUUAUAUUUAUUAAUUAUUAUUUUUAAUAAUGUUUUUUUUAAUUAUAUAAAGUAAAAUUACAUUGUAUAGUAAAUAUGGUACAUAUACUUUAAAUAUAACUAGAAAAUUUAUUAUAUAAAUUAAUAUAUUUUAAUUAUAUUCAACCAUUUGAAUAACAAAUAAAAAAAUAAUUAGAAUAAUUUAUUUUUUAAAGUUUAAUGGAAAUUAAAAAACUAAAAAUUAAUCAAUUCAUAUAAAUUUUGUUNNNNNNNNNNNNNNNNNNNNNNNNNNNNNNNNNNNNNNNNNNNNNNNNNNNNNNNNNNNNNNNNNNNNNNNNNNNNNNNNNNNNNNNNNNNNNNNNNNNNAUCAGAUGAAAAUGAUAAAAGUAUAUGACAUAAAUAGAAGAAACAAAUUCAACACCAUGUUUUUGGAGUUUGGAAAAUAUUAAAGUGAAAAACAUACCUUCUAAUUUGUUGUCAUAUAGACCUAUUUUUUCGAGCGUAGUUGAAUUAAAAAUACUAGUCGAAAAUUGAAGUGAAAAACAUACCUUCUAAACUGUUCAACUAAAAAUACUUUAAGCAUUUUUUUUAGUAAAGCCCUUCAAGCUUAUUUUUUAGUAAAGCCCUUCAAGCUUGGGAAGAUGUUGACACAUAUCAUUAGGCAAAGACUAAUAGCCUUCAAAGAAGAAAUCUUGAAGAUGGAAGAUGGAACCUGACCAGAUAAUUGAUUGAAUCCUAAGCUCAAGAUCUCUAGAUUAGACAUGUUAACAAGUGUUUCAGGGAUUGUGCCUGUAAAUUAAGUUAUUAUUUUUCAUUUUCAGCCUUCGAACUCUCUGUAAGUUCCCAAGCCAUGAUGGAAUUUCCUGAUUAAGACGGUUGUAGCAUAAUUGAAGGAUCCUCAAACGAUGCAAUUGGCCCAAUUCUUUAGGGAGAUGGCCAUAGAAAUGGUUGCUACUCAAGUCGAGAGAGAGUAGAAAUGAAAGAUUUCCAAGGUGUGGAGGGAUAGUACCCCUAAGAUUCAUGCUUGUAAGAUUCAAAGCUGUAACUCUUUUAUGGAGGAUGCCACAAGAAACACCAAUCCAAUUGCAAACAGAGGUUGAGACCGUCCAAUUGUUUGGCAAGACAUUUUGAGGACCGGCGAUGCGAUCCUUAAACUCGAGAAGUGCAAACUGAUCGGAAUUGAGAUUCCUGACUGUCAUAGCCAAGCACGCAACAUGGUAUGAAUAAAGCUAAAAGAAGAUGAAAGCAAGUGUUGUAGUUCAUGAUUGCAAGACAGAAUAAGCAAAGAAAAUAAAAUAAAAAAAAGUAGGAAAAGGGAAGUUGAGUUAAUAAAAUAGUUUGGAUGAUGAAGAAAAGCCCAGACAGCAUGCUUUAAUAUGUUUGGAUGAUAAAUUUAAACUUGAUAAAUUUAAGACUACCCUAAAAAUACGUACAAAGAAAUUUCAAAUUUUCAAAAUAAAUACAUACAAAGAAGCGAAUUUUCAAAAUUUCUCCUAAAUUUCCUUCACAUUACUCCACAUAAUCCAUUAAAAAAACUUAAAAAAUAUAUUUUAUUAAUUACUAUAUAUUCUUUUAUUUUCAGAAUAAUAAAUUGUUUAAAAUAUGCUAUUAGUCCCUGUUAUUUAAAAGUUAAAAAAAUUCAAUCCUCCUAUUUUUCUAAUUUAAAAAUUCUAGUCCAAUCAAUUUUAAUUCCAUUAAAAAAUUUCAACUUAAUAGGUUUUUUAUUAUCAAUCAUAUGCAACAUUAUAUGAAGACAGUCUACUCAGCAUAUAUCCAAGUUUACAGAUUUUAAUAGAAAAUACUUACAAUCCUAAUGGUAGGACUAAGUUUUUUAAACUAGAAAAGUAAGAAGACUUAAUUUUUAACUUUUUAAGUACAAUGAUUAAAUUUUAAAUGUUGUCAAAGUACAAGCACUAACAAAAUAUUUUGAUCUAAUAAAUGUAAAAAACUUUUUAAACAAAAUAAGGUUGAAAUAAUCUAUUUUUCCUUGUACUUUGAUAAAAUUUGAGAUUUAGUCCUUAUAUUUAAAAAGUUAAAAAUUAAGUCUUAUUGUUUUUAUUUAAAAAUCUUAGUCCUAUCUUUAAUUUUAUUUUAUCAAAUUUUGUCAACUUUACAUAUUAAUUAAGUUUCCAUUAUAUGUCGUGGUAUCAAUCAAAACUUAAUUAACAUCCAUCAAUACGUCAUACAUAAAAAAUGCAAGCAUAAAAUGCAGUUAAAAGUAUUUGGGAUCUCGAGUGCAUCAAGUUCCUCCUUUUAUUAUUAAAUGUUUUAUUUUAGUUACUUUAAUCAAAUAUAUCCAAAUUGUAAUAGAGUUAACAUUUAUUGUGUAAAAAAUAUUUUAAACUUUUUGAAUUGUAGUUUAAUUCUAGAAGAAAUAUUUCAUUUAUAAAACUAUAAAACUUUAAAAAUAUUAACUCUGUUAAAUAAAAAUUAUUUUUUAAAAUAGUAAAUGUUAACUUUAUUAACACAAAUGGGUCUUUAGGGCUAAACUUCAGUAAUUGACGAGCUCUUCCACAAACCGUGGAUGAUUUGGGGAUAAAAACUUCAAUAAUUAUGGAGUUAUAGUGUAAAUUUGCCACUAUAUUAUAAGUGUAUUGAAAUUUAUCACUAUAUUUUAUUUGAUGUUUAUCAUUACACUUUGAAAAUAUAAGUAAAUUUACCAUUUAACUCAGGUUUAACUUUGCAAGUAAACUUAAAAUUUUAUUCAAUUUUGUCACUAAAUUUGAUUUGUUCAAUAUAGAUUUUGGUGACUUAAAACAAAAUUAAUAAAAAAUUAUUCUUCCGGAUAUCUUUUUAAUGUUUAAUAAUAAGUUAAUUUAUAAAAUAUACUUUCAUUGGACACAAGCCCCCAAGGCAGUGAAACACUGAUCAAAUUAAUUUGGAGUUAUCUUUUUUUCUAAAUAAAGUGAAUUUACGAGUUUUGUUUUCUUUUAAAAAUAAUUUUAAUAUUUUGGUGGAUAUCAAAAAUUAUUUCAGUAAGAAAUUUUAAUUCACUCGAAAAGUUAGUGUUUUAUUUCAAGGGUCAUAAUUAAUCAUUAGAUUUCUCAAUUUUAAAUUUUGAAUUUUUUGACAAUUGCGUAAUUAAUAAGUACCAAUUUUGAGUGUUGUAGGGCUAGUACAAUCUUCAUUACACAUACCCGACUCUUGAACUUACUCUUUUCUCUAGAAUUCAAUGUAGACCUCAAAUUUAUCUUUUGAAAAGAAUUUUAAAAUCGUAUAAAAGGUUUUUUUUGUGACCGAUCACACUUAACAAAAAUUUAAAAAUUAUUAAAAAAUAAUUUCUUUUUGAAAUUUAAAGUGAUCUAAAAACAUAUUUUUAAGUGUUUUGGACCAUCUAUUGCUGAUUUCCUUAUUAUAUUAAAUGUUUGCAAUCACUCCUAAAAUAUUAUGCGUGAGUUGUAACAGAGCAAAUCGUCAACGUGCCAUAUUGAUCAAUUGAUGCUGAAACUGAAGUUUUUGUUAUAUUGAUAGAGCUUGUCCUUCAACGCAUACAACGUGUUUAUUAUUUUUCUCCCUUCAAAUUGUAUGAUCUUAUUCAUUAAAUGAAUUAAUGAAUUUCCCUAUUAAAAAAGAUAUAUUUUUAAAAUUAAAUACUUAAAAAAAUUUUAAAACUAUUUAAAAGUUGUAAGCCUUAAAACAAUCAACAAAAUAUAUUUUUCUCUAAAAAAAAUCAAUAAAAAUAUGUUUAAAAUUUUUUAACAAUAAUAUAUUUUAAAAUUAUAGUAACGCUAUAAAAUAUAUAUAUUUACUAAUUAUAUACACCUUUCCAUACAUCCUUUUUCUACAUAGAAUUUCAAAAGUAAAUGUGAAUUAAUGUAGACGUGAGAAGACUUAGAGGUAAGUCACCCAACGAAAGUGUCCUAAACCGACUUACGGAAGAAUCAAACAAUAAUUUUGUAUCUUAUAAUAUAUUUAAUUACAUUUAUUAGUUUAUCAAUCAAAACUUAAUUAGAAUCCAUCAAUAUUUCACACAUCAAAAACCCAAACAUAAAAUUCACUUUUAAAUUAUUCGGGAAAUAUUUGUAUUAUAGGAAAUGGGUUAAAUUAGUUUUUUAUUAUUAAAUGUAUUAUCUUAAUUUUUGUAUUAGGUAUGAAUGAUAUCUCCUAGAUUGAAGCCAAAGCUAUUCUUGAAAGACUAAAAUUAGGAUUCAGAUGUGUUGAGAUGGAAAGUGGCAACACAAUGCUGAUUGAUACUAUUUGUAAUGGGUUAGCUACAAUAAGUCGUGCUGCUGAAGUAAAGCAAAUUUACGAUUGGUGUUCCAAAAAUUUGGGAAGUCAAAUUUCGACAUAUUCAGCGGAAUACCAAUAACGUUGUUGAUUGCAUAGCUAAGGCAAAUGGAGGCGUAAUUGAGCAGCUGGUUAUCUUGGAAGAUCCUCCGCAUUAUGUGAGAUGGUAGCUUGAAGAAGAUAUUAGAUAGUCACUGGUGAUUGAUGAUAAUUUUCAUUUGGACUGAUGAGCGCUUAAUUUUCUAAGCUUAUGUUCAACAAAAAAAAAAUUAAAUACGUCUAAAUUGUAAUAGAGUUAUCAUUUAGUGUUUAAAAAAUAUCUUAAAAAUUAUUUUUUCCAAUUGCAGUUCAAUUCCACAAAUAUUGACGAUGAGCCCGGACAUAAAAAUUACAAAAAAAAAAAAAACACAUCUAUUAUCAAACCAGCAAUCCAUGUCUAAACUUAAAUUAACAAAAUUCGCCACGCAACCCGGUACACUAUUAUAUAUAUAUAUACACACACUAGAUUUAUUCUAGAUGCACAUGUUUUAUUAUAUUUAAAAAUUAAAAUAUAUGGUUGACUAAGAUUUAGUUGAGUUAGUAUUGAUAUUAUUGUCAGUGUAGAAAAAUGUGAGUUUAAUCGUGCUCAAAUGUGUUUUAUCCUCCAAUUCAAGGGUUAGGAAAAGGUUAUUGAUAAUUAAAUUGUAUCAACUUUUAUGAUAUUAAAAAAAAAGGAUUUAUAAAUAAUAUAAGGAAAAGAAAAAAAGAGAGAAACAUAUUCAUAUUGAUGGGCUCUUUCAAUAUUAGACUUUUUUUUUCUAUCACAAGUAAAAAAAUCAAAGGUGAUAAUAAUUAAAUUAAAAUUUUUAAAUUAAAAAAAUAGGGGAUUGAAUUUAUAACUUUUAAAAUAUAAAGAAUGAAUUUAUAAGUAACAACAUAUUUUAACCACAUAAUAAAAGAAGUUAUGGAGAGGAUCAUGUAAAAUAAUGACCUGAAUAAUUUUAAACCUCUCAUCAUUGCAAAAAUGAAAUAAUAGAAAAGAAAUAAGUGUUGGGUGUAGUGGCAAGGUACAUUAUACUUCUAAGGGGAGAUCAGGGUUUUAGACAAGGGAAGAAUUUUAAACCUACUUUUUUCUCUAGAACUCAAUCCAAACCUCAAAUUUAUCUUUUUAAAAGAAUUUUAAAAUAUCUAUAUAAAAGGUGAUUUUUUUACGGAUCACACUUAACAAAAUUUUAAUUUUUUUUUGAAAUUUAAAGUGAUCUAAAAACAUAUUUUUAAGUGCUUUAGAUCAUCCUGUGCUAAUUUCUUUAUUAAAUUAAUUUGUUCAAUAUAGAUUUUGGUGACUUAAAACAAAAUUAAUAAAAAUUUAUUUUUUUCAGAUAUCUUUUUAAUGUUUAAUAAUAAGUUAAUUUAUAAAAUAUACUUUCAUUGGACGCAGGCCUCCAAGGCGGCGAACCACUGCUCAAAUUAAUUUAGAGAUACCUAAAUAUGUUUUCAUCAAUUAAGAAAUUAAAAAAAUUGUUGAGACCUCAUGAUUAUCUUUUAUAAUUUCAGGCUGAUCAACUAUUUUGAAAACAAAACGUCUUACACCAAAAACUAAAAAAUAAAAACGUCGACAUUAAAUUUGUUGGUAUGCAAUCAAUUUUAAGAUGGUUUUUGGAGUUAUAUAUCACCUUAGCAUUGACUUACUUUUCUACUCUUAGUCUUCUCCAACAAGUUAAAUAUUUCAAUUUUAACAACAUUGACAGGUAUUUGGGGUAGGGUCGAGCAAAAUUCAAUAGAAAUAGAUGAUAUACGUUGAGUUGGCUCGGCCAAGUCGAGUCGAGUUGUUCAAAUUAGUUAAAUUAGUAAAUUUUAGGGUGCAGUUAGAAUUUUUUGUUUUGAGAUGCUAAGAUUAAAAAAUUUCAGUUGCUAAAACAAAAAAUUUGUAUUUAAAAAGGCAUAAAUUAAAUAAUUAAGUUUUUCAAGUUUCCAUUUAAUCAAAGGUUAAAAGGACUAAAUUGAAGCUUUUUAUUUUUAAGAAAGGCUGAAUGCCAAAUUGCCCAAAGCCCAUGCCCCUAGCUAUACAACUAACUUUUCUAUGAUUAGUCCUUGGUUUGCUUUGGGUGGAAUCUUCCAACUAGCCUCAUCCUUGGUUUUACUUUCCAACAAUUAGUGUAUCACGAGUUUUGUUUUCUUUAAAAAAUAUUUUUGUGGAUAUUAGGAGAUAAUGAAAAUUAUUUUACUAUGAAAUUUUAAUAAAACUGGAAAAUAAGUAAUUUAUUUUAAGAGAUCACAAUUAAACGUUAGAUUUCCAAUUUUUAAAUUUUAAAUUUUUUUGACAAUUGCAUAAUAUUUUGAGCAUUGUAGGAUUGCCAUAACCUUCCCUACGCAUAAUCGACUCUUGAGCAUGAUGGAUCCUAGACCUUCUCCUCUAUUUGCGUACCACAAAUUGCUUCGAGUGUGGGUUCGGACAAUCACAAAUUAAACACAAAACCAGAAAUGAUUUAUUACUUUCAAUAGCAACGUAAUUCUCUCUCAAUAGAAACCAAUAAAAUUGUAAUUCCUAGAAAAUAAAAUUUAUUUUUUGAAAAUAUAUUCUCACUACUUUCUAGCAGAAUAACAAUAUGUGAAACUUAUGUCUUGUGUUAAUAGCUCUACCUGUACUAUCUAUUUAUAGGGAGAGACACGAGAAUCCUGGUUGAAUUAGUAAAACACAAAUAAUAUUUAUUUCAUAGAAAACAAUAUUCCACCCUAAGUGGAUCAAGUUUGUAUGACGCAUGGAUCGAAGCUCAAUCUAGGAGAAAAAAAUAAAGGAAUUUUCUUUGUAAAGAAAAUCUGAGAUUGUACUAUUUUCGAAGAUAUAAAUAAAAUUAUACGCCAAAUUUUCAAGUCAAUUUUCAACUCCAAUUUUGUAUGCACAAAUUUCUAAUACAGUUGGUGGGACAUUCUUUGACUUUUAUCUAUUCGCUCAAAAAGUUGAAGUUCAAAGUUGCAUUAAACUCAAAGAAGAUAAUCAUUAGUAAACCAGCUCACAAGCCUGCUCAAGCUAAUCCUACAACUCGUUCCACUUCAUCAUCAAACACCAAUGUUCUUGCUUAUCCUUAUGGAAUUAAACAGUCCUAUUUUUUGCAUUUUGGGUACACACCUAGUUUUGUUUGAUGCUAAAACAGUCCCCGAGCACUCCAAAGCCUAUAAUUGAACAAAUAACACUAAUUUAAUCUUACAUAACGUGAUCCCAAAUUGAACUUGUAUUGAGGUUUUAACCCAUAAGUGACUAAACCUUACCUUCAACCGAUGAACAGUAAUUACCACACAAACUAAGACUCCGAUUGGCGAUUACGAGCCCUUGAAUCCUCUCCUAAUUGGCAUAAACAAAACACUUCAGAAGAAAGUUAACAAACAUAGACAAAUCACUUAUCUAAAACUUAUCGAACAAUCACAGACAAACGUGGAGCGACACAAGGUAGAGUGGGAAAAGAAAAAUCAAGAGGAUGAAAGGUGAAAAAGAGCAGAAAUUCGGCAGCAAUGAAAAGAAAAACGGUAAAAGGGUGAAGGGAUUUUGGGGAAAGUAAAAAAAAAAAAAGAUGAACAGAAUAUUUGAUAACCACCCCAAUCCCUUAUUUCUCUCCAUCAAAUUCCCCACUAAAUCCACUACUCGAAUUUUUAGUCCAUCUCAAACUCUCCUAGACGAACAAGCAAAAAAUAAUGCCCAUGUCAAGAUUUGAGCACAGGACCUCCCUCACACCAACACUCCACUUAUCCACCAGACCAACAGACUCAUUCUUUUAAUUAUUUGCCAACUUUUACUUAAAAGCCUACUGACCAAAUAUAGGGCUUAUUCAUAAAAAUACCAAAUUUUGCCCAAGUCCUGGCUUGAACUUGCAACCUCCCAAACACACCUAGAACACAUAACCACUAAAGCAGACAAAAAUUUUGUGUCACACAUUCACAAUACCCAAAAUUAAAAAUUUGGGGCGUUACAAAGACACAUUAAAUAAUAUCGCAUAAAACAAUCACAGUCAAAUAACAGUUCAGAAUGUCGGCUUUACAAUUUAACCACCAAUAGUAUAACAGUAUUCACAGUUGUAAUUUCAGAAUAUCAGAUUUCCACAUCAUUCACAAUAUUCACACAUAUAUAAAUAUAUCACAAUAGAAUUCCAGAUUUGUAUGCACAUGAUUUAAAAGAUGCCAUACAAUUUUGGGUUUUAAUAGAAUAAAUCCUACCCCCUGUUACAUACCAUAAUGGGAGUUCCCCUAAACUCCCUUCUCCAACACACUAGAUUGUGGAUAAACCAUUAUUGUUUCACAAAUAAUAACUGCCAUUUGGCUGUGGACACACAGUAAGUUCCCACAAUUGGAUUCUAGAUUUGGUUGUGGGUUCACAGCAAAAAAAAUCCUACAAAUGAAGCCUGAUUUUGCCUGUAGAUUAUACAACAUAUACCCGCAGUUGGAACCUGUCUUUAGCUGUGGAUGCACUGUAACACCUCAAACCCGACCUGGACGUUAUGGCUGAAUCUUGAGGAUUUACUUUAACUCGCUAGAAAACCCACGAAUUUACUUUGAAAUCAUGUGGUUAAACUAGUGUUCACUUUGAUAAAUCGUUUUCCAGUUUUAGAGAAAAUUCUUGUUAAAACUGUUACUUUAUUACAAUAAAACAUUAAAGUAAUUGUAUCAUUUUGUAGUGGAAUCUACUAAGCUAUAAGGUUUUGAAAAUCGUGGUUUAGUUUGCAACAAACCAUUUUGCAAAUAGAGAUGUGUUACGAAAAAAAGUUUAUAAAACGACUUCAUUGUUAUUGGCAAAUCAUCAUAACCAUUAUUACUUAGUAUGUCUGAUUUGUUUGGAAAACUUAUUGAUAUACUUAUUUUAUUUAAAAUCAUUGCUCGCUUAUGCCUUUUUAUUAAACUGAAUGUUUUGCAGCGGAGUUUCUUUAAAACGUCAUAUUUUGGCAAAUCAAAUUGUUUCUUGAAAACCGUUAUUUUAGAAAAGUUUUCAUUUUCAGAAAAAUUAUUUUAUCAGUUGUUACGCUGAGAAAACCAACAUAAAAUCCAAAACCAAAAAUAGUCCCAAAAAGUCUAGAGUGUCCCAAAAUGACAAUACUCUCAAAACUAGACAAGUUUAAACUAAUUUUAAAAGAAUGAAAUUUUACAAAAAUGUGGUCACCACUGAGCUUCCAUCGCACCGACCCACCUAAAUCUGAGGGUUACUUGAACAGACCAAACAAACAGAGAGUGAGUUUUGAAACUUAGUGUGUAACGCGUAUAUAAACAAAAAUUCAGAAUCAAUCUCAUGCAGAACAGAUACAAAUGUAAACCUUUUAUAAAAUCAGAAUUAUACAAAUACAAAUAUAUAACAUCCUACCUCAUCCUCUACAUACCAACUCCGACCAUCCCAUUACACCACGUGGGGUAUAAAAUACCCAUCCAGCCCUACACAUCGUAUAGUGUUUAUAUGACACUUUUUUGAAUAAUCACAGCAGAGUUGCCAGUAUAUAGGCGAGAUAUCACCUCACACAGAACACUUCCUCCUCAUAAUACAAAUCCUGCCCCAUGGCCAGAUACAGACAGAAUAUCAUGUAAAACAAAUUAACAGAUACCAGAGUUAACAUAUCACGCGUGAGCGUAUAAUAGAUAUUACACAUGUUUAUGCAUAACAAAACAAAUCAUACAUACUGUAUUCCAUAAUACUCAUAUAAAUGUUAUUUACGUCAAUCUCAAUCUAACAGAGUAGCAGAUUUCAUUCUUUAACGCUUAUACCACACAUAUAGACCCUACGGAUGGCCCAUAGUCGAUCGAGACGACAUGCAUGUCCCUAGGGAAAAAAAUUGUAAUUUGGGCCCACAUGCCUAUAUGAGCCCACACGCCCAACAUGGCCUUGCCUAUGUGGCUCACCAACCUAGCACUCAGCCCAUACAGUCUAAAAUGGCCUAGUUCAUGUGUCACACACAGCCGUCUGUUGCACACGGCCUACCACAUAGCCAGUCACAAAACCGUUUGGAGUUGACAAGCCCAAUUUUUGGCUUUCGUCGAUCGUCGUUUUCUUGCGUUUUCAUUACACACCUGGUUUGAUUCUGACGCAAAAGCAACCCCAAGUCCACCGAAACCUAAAAAUAGCAUUCCAACGCCCAAUUUCAGUGAACAUUUACAAAACUCAAACAAAAACUAUCCAAAAAUAUAGCCUCACAAUAGCAUCCAACGCACUCGCACACUUACCGUCAACGAACAGGAAACACCCAAAACUCAAUUCGUUGGAGGAGAACCAAUUAUGAUAAUGCAAAAAUUUUAUUGAUUCUCAACACUAUCGAUCCGAAGGUAAGAUUGAUGCUUUCCAAUUAUGAUAAUGCGAAAAUUUUGUGGGAUGGUUUACCUGAAUUUUUUGUUGUUGUCAACGAUCAACGUAUUCAACAAUUAAAAGAAAAUAUUAGUCGUUGUGAGUAAAUCAAGACUAUGAGUGUUGUAGUUUUUUUCAGUAAAUUAAAGGUUUUGUGAGAUGAACUAGAUAAUAAUGAACCUUUGAUUUGUUGCAAGUGUGGACAAUGUUUAUGUAACUUAGGGAAGGCGCAUGAGCAACGUCGUGAGCAUGAUUGACUUCAUCAAUUACUUCUUGCUCUCUAUUCUAAUUGUUAUGCUCAAAUUAGGUCUACAUUGUUUUACCAAGAUCCUUUGCCUUCCUUAAAUCAGGCAUUCCAGCAAAUUACUUAGGAGGAACAUGUACGUGGAAUUACACUGAUUAAGGAAGAGAAGUCUGAUAUUUUAGGCUUUGCUGUGCGUACAGAGGGUCAUAACAAAGGUUGAGCUAAUUGUAUUGAUAAGUCAACCUUGUUGUGCACUCAUUGCCAUCGCAAAAGGCAUGAGUUGGCUACCUAUUUUGAAUUACAUAGCCACUUGGAUUGGUGGCUUAAGAAGUAUGGGAAGCCAGAGAUGAAAAGUGAUGAUCGUGGUGGUAAGACAAGUGCCACAUCUUCCACGUAAGUGUUUUAUUUCAAGGGAUCAAAAUUAAACAUUAGAUUUCUCAUUUUUAAUUUUUUUUUAUAUUUUCAACAACAACGUAAUUAACGAGUACCAAUUUUGGGUGUUGUAGGGGUUCUAUAACUUUCCCUAUAUGUAAUCGACUCUUGCACCCAUUUUUUUUUCUCUAGAAUUCAAUGCAAACCUUAAAUUAUCCUUUUAAAAGAAUUUUAAAAUCUCUUUAUAAAAGACAAUUUUUUUAGGUGACCAAUCACACUUAAGAAAAACAAAUCGAUGGCAACUCUUUUCCGAUAAGUGUAAAAAACUUUUAAACAAAAUAAGGUUGAAAUAAUCUAGUUGUCGUUAUACUUUGAUAAAGUUUUGGAUUUAGUCCUUAUACUUAAAAGGUUAAAAAUUAAGUCUUGUUUUUAUUUAAAAAUCUUAGUCCUAUAGUUAAUUUUUUUUUUUUGCAAAAUUUUUCAAGUUGACAUAUUAAUUAGGUUUCUCUUAUAUAUCGUGGUAUAUGACUAACACAAAAUAAACAAGUUGACAAAUUCUAUAAAAAAUAUCAAAGAUGAUAAUAGUUUAAUUAAAAUUUUUAAAUUGAAAAAGAAAGGGAUUAAAUUUAUAACUUUUAAAGUACAAAGAAUGAACUUAUUGAAAUACAAGAACUAACAACAUAUUUUAAAAUAUUACUAGUAAAUUAUAUAUCUACAACAAGAAUUGUAACCUCUUAUAUUAUAUUCUUGUAUCUAUUUUUGCAUCUUUCAUUAUAAUAUGAUUUAUUAAUAUUAAUAUUUUUAUAGAAUAAUAUACUUUAAAUAAUUUUUGUAUCAUUUAUAAAAAUUAUAAUAAACUUACAAAAUAAUUUAAUGAUAUUUAAUUAUUAACCGAAUAAAAUGAUAUCAUAUAUAUUCUGUAUAUAUUAAGAUUUCGAAUCAUUAAUUAUAUAUCUACACAUUAUAAUAAAUUCAUCUUUCAAAAUUUUCCUUCUAAUUAAAGCAUAAAUUAUAUUUAUAAUAUUAUAAAUAUAUUAUAUCAUAAAUAUUCUUUCAAAUAUUUUUUAAUGUUUAAUAAUAAGUUAAUCUAUAAAAUAUUCUUUUAGUAAAUUAACGUGAUGAGAUCGUUAGGUGCUUGGAUUUGGUGAAGAGGGAUGAAGAGAAAAGGGAUGGAAGUGAAUAAAAAUGUUGAGAAAUGGAAAGGGUUAGCGAGGGAAGCCGCCAUGAAAGGUGGUUCAAUGGAUAUAAACCUUCAAGCUUUUGUGGACGACGUUACUGAAGGUUGUUGCAAGUAAAUUUAAAAAAAAAAUUUAAAUUAUUUUUUUGUUAAAAAACAUUUUUUAUUUUUUAUGUGGCCCCAUAUGGAGUUGUUCUAAUCGCUGAAUGAUAGGUGGUAUUAUACCACCACUCAGCCAAUGGUAGCCAAGACACCCAUGUUGAUGGCUUUUCACCCACCAUACACUGUAGGUAACCUCCAAACACUUGUUCAAAAUUUCAGUCUGGCCAUCUGUUUAAGGGUGGUAAGAUGUUGACUUCUUCAGCUUGCUGCCCAUUUACUUAAACAAUUCCUUCCAAAAUUGACUCAAGAAGAUUUUUUCCUGAUCAGAAACAAUAGAGUUAGGAAUCCCAUGGAGUUUGUAUAGGUGGGUUAGGUACUCCUAAGCCACAGUAAGAGUAGUGAAAGGAUGAGCCAAUGCCACAAAGUGACCAUAUUAGGUCAAACAGUCAACCACGACAAAAUCUGUUGAUUUCCCUUGUGAUAGUGGCAGUCCUUUGACAAAAUCCAUACUAAUAUCUAUCCAAGCUCGUUCAGGAAUCGGUAAUGGUUGCAACAGACUAGGCGAGGCCGCAUUAUCGGGUUUGCAAUGCUGACAAAUAAUACAUUCUCGGACCCACUGUUUGAUGUCUGUAGAAAGUCCUUUCUAAUAAAACAAAGCAACUACCCAUUGGUGAGUGGCAUGAACCCCCGAAUGGCCACCCAUAGGAGUAUCAUGAAAAAUCCUAAAAAUAUGCUUACGUAGUGAAAUAUCAUCACCAACUACCACUUUGCCCCUCCUGCGCAAAUAGUUACCAUGCCAUGAGUAUUUUGAAUGUAAAUGUGGCUGAGUACGUACCUGAGUACUCAACCUAGAGAGCUUCUUAUCAAUUCCAUAUAUGGCUAUAAUUUGCUCCCAAACUUUUGACCUGACCAAAUCUGUACUCUCCUCACACUGAAGCAACUAACCUAUAGAGUCAAUGGGUUUCCUGGACAGUGCAUCUACAACAGCAUUUUAAGUCCCUUUGCAAUAAACAAUUGAAUAGUCAUAACCCAACAUUUUUGCCACCUAUUUCUGCUGAUAAGGAGUGAUGAAUUGUUGUUCAGACAAAAACUUCAAACUUUGAUGGUCUGUUUUAAUGAUAAAGUGUCUACCCACAAGGUAGGAGUGCCACUUCUUGACUGCCAACAACAUUGCCAUUAUUUCCUUAUCAUAGAUGGACAAGGCUUGGUUUUUAACUCCCAAUGACUUGCUAAAAAAGGCCACUGGUUUCCCAUUCUGUUGAAGAACUACCCCAACUCCCUGACCACUAGCGUCUAUUUUCACACAACAUAGCUCUUGAAAGUUUGGUAAGGUCAACACUGGAGCUUACCAAAUGGCUGUUUUGAGCUGCGCAAAAGCUGUUUGUUCUUGUUCUGCCUAAUGCUAGGAGACCUCCUUCCGUAAUAAGGCAGUAAGAGGUUUAGCCAUCAUCUCAUAUCCAUGUAUAAAUCACCUAUAUUACCUUGAUAACCUAAGAAACCCUCGUAAUUCCUUGACUAAACGAGGAGGAGGCCAGUCUAAAACAUUAUCGAGCUUAACUCGAUCCAUGCAAAUAGUACCUUGAGGGAUCACAUGUCCCAAGUACUCCACGUGUGUGGCUCCAAAAACACACUUGGACUUCUUAGCAUACAGUUGGUUUGUCCGUAACACUUGUAAAACCUCAUGCAAAUGACUUAAAUGAUCAGACCAACCUCGAAAGUACACAAGGAUAUCAUCAAAAAAUACAAUAACUGACAUUCUCAACAUGGAUCGAAAAUUUGAGUUUAUCAACGACUGAAAGCUUGAAAGGGCAUUGGUCAAGCCAAAUGGCAUGACCAAAAAUUCAUAAUGUCCCUCAUGGGUUUUGAAAGUUGUCUUGAAGAUACCUUGCUCACACAUACGAAUUUGAUGUUAUCCAGAACUUAAAUCCAGCUUAGAAAAAUAUUGAGCUUGCCCCAAUUCAUCCAGCAACUCUUUGAUAAUGAGAAUAGGGAACCUGUCCUUGACUGUUAACUAAUUAAGUUGCCUAUAGUCGAUACAGAGUCAACAACUUCCAUCCUUCUUCUUGACCAUGACCACUGGGAAGCAAAAUGACUAUUACUAUCCCGAAUAAUUCCAGCUUGCAACAUUUCCUAGACUAUCUUUUCUAUCUUAGUCUUUUGGACAGCCAAAUAUCUGUAAGCUCUCACUUUGACCACCUUAGAUUCGUCCACCAAGUGCAUUUUAUGGUCGUGUAAUCGAGGAGGGGGUAAAUGUGUAGGGACCUGAAAGAUAUCAUCAAAGUCAGGCAAAAGUCUUUGCAAGUUUGGUGGUAGCUCAGUUGAUUGCAUUGUGAGAAUAGUUUGAUCAUAGGAAGCCAGUAGCAUCGGACAUGGUCCAUUGCCCACCAAACUCAUACACUUAGAAAAUUCUCCACUAGGAUCAAUAUGCACUAAACCUGGUAUUGUACCUCUCAGCAUACAAGUCUAAUCCCCAUACUUGAAUUGCAUAGUUAAAUUGGAGAAGUCCCACACAAUUGGCCCCAACAAUAGCAACCAUUGAACACCAAGUACUAGGCCGAAUCCUUUUAUAGAUAACACUAAAAAGUUUGUAGUGCAUUUGUACCCCUAUGCCUCCCACAUUACAGCUCUGGAUAACCCCUGAGUAUAUUGUCUGACUACAUUGGCUACCAACACCCGCAAGCUUGGCUCGGGUUCAAUGGUCAAUUUCAGUCUUCUCGCCACCUUUAAGUCAAUGAAAUUAUGCGUGGUACCUGAGUCAACUAGGACCACCACUUGAGAUUGGUUAGUAACCGCUGGAAAUCUCAUAGUGGUAUGACCCUGUAAUCCUUGCAGCGCUCGUAAUGACAACACAGGUGUCGAAUUCCCUGGUAACACUUUUGUCGGUUCCAAUUGCUCGGUACAGUCCUGAAAUUCGUCAAGAGAAGGGCUCAUUGCUUCAGUUUCAAUAUCUCAUGAUGAUUCAACAAUCCACUGAUGCAUUUGGUAUUUCAAGCAUUUAUGGCUUGGUGACUAUUUUAGACCGUACCAAAAAUAAUGGCCUUUUUCCCUCCUAUCUUCUAAUUCCGUCUGAGACAAAGACUUAGAAGUAAUUCGAGAGCUUAAUUUCCCAUUCACUGUCUCACUCGCAAAACCAACACUACCACCUCCUUGUUGACCUCUAGGCAUGGGAAAUAAGGGCCGCACUAAGUUAGAUCCGUUGUUAAGAGUGCCUUCUUUUUUGAUCGGUCCAGCCACAAUAUUCUCCACUUGCCUUGCUGAAUGGUACCUUUCCACCAAUGUUUGAGGUUUAAACAACCUAAGAUAUUGGCCUAUUUUGGGUUUGAGGUUGCUAAGAAACCUCCCAAGACAGUUGAUCUAGGAACGAGUCUGCUUGAGAGACACUAACUCUGCCAUAGGAUCUAGGAACGAGUCUGACCCAAAACGUUCUCUAAGGCACCUCGAAUAAACCUCCCAAGACAGUUGAUGUACCCCCAUGCCUUCGCACAAAAAAAUGGUGCCAGUCAAGUGCCUUACCUUUGAGGUGUAGCAUGACUAUCUGGAUCUUUGAAUGGUCACCAAUUCCUUCUGCCUCAAAAUACUGUUCAAGCUUGGACCACUAACCAUAAAAAUGCUUACCAUUAAAAUGCGAACUGCCAACCCGAAAAGAGGAUCGUUCAGACUCCAUCAUAACUGCUCGUGAAGAUAUGCUUGAAUGGCUGAGAUCCACCAUUGGGGACACUAUUAAGUGUCCCUGAGUUCGAAACCCAAGUGGUGACCCCAAAACCCUUUUGCCCUUGCUGUUCACUGUAUUUCCUACAGUUGUUGGCUGUCCUUGUCCAAAAUACCGCUCGAACAAAGAAUGAAGCUCAGGACAGAGCUCUAAAUGUACCUCUGACUUGAUCUCUGCCUAAAGGUCUUUUAGUCGAGUGUCUAUCUGUGCAUCCAACUGAGACAACUCCAAUUGCAUGUGAGAAAGCUCACCUUGAAUCUACCCAAUUUCCUUCUACAUUCUAGUGGUUAUACCGUCACCAAUCAUGAGGAUCGGAAAGGUCUGAUACCUUUGUUAUGGCUUGGAUCUGGAGGAGACGAAGCAACAGAAACAGAAAAGAAAAUUUGAGAAGAAGGGAACUAGAGAGAAAUUUGAGAGAGAGACUGAGAAGUAAACAGUUAUCAAAUUCAUAUCUUUCUUCAGUUAGUUACAGACAAUAUAAUAACCCAGUAAUAGCAAUUCUUCUGACUAGCCAAAACGCACCCGUUUCAACUAGACGAAACUCAUCGUUUCAUUAACUCAUACGUAAAACGCAAUGUUUAACUAAUUAAUUUUUAACAGUCUUUAAGUAAAAUAUAAAAGGAAAAAUGAUCGUUGUUUAAAACCAUAACACAUUUAUUUUGUAGGUACAGUCAGUUGGAGGCGAAGAUACACGUGUGGGGAGAGCAGAGGCGCGUGGCGUGCGUGGGAGGGCCUGGUUCCAGCUGCGGCGCAGUCUAGUUAGGGUUUCCAAUUUUUUUGGGUUAUUGGGCUAGGGUGUAUUGGGCUAAUUGGUUUGUUUUGGGUCUAGGAUUGGGUUAUAUUUUGGGUUUAGGUUAUUAGGCUUUGGAUUUUGGGCCAUAAGGGCCUAUUGUAACUGGACUUUUAUGGUUUGUUUUUUAUUUGGUUUUAUUAUUUGUAUUUGUUGAAUUGGGCCCGGGCUAAAAUUAGGCCCUACAAUCGACAUGUUUUUUAGUAGGGUCGAUCAAAACCCAAUUAAAACCGAUGAUAUUGGCUUAGUUGACUCGGUCAAGUCUAUUAGAUUGAUAAAACCAAUUUACAUACGAUUAUUUAUUAUCAUAAAAGGUUAGUUUAAAUUUAAAGUAAUCUAAUAUGUUUAUUGAACUUCAACUAUUAAAUAAAGUAUAAGCUAAAUAUGUGUAAAUAUUCUAGAAACCAUUUCUAUAUGAUGAUAGGCUAAUUCGGAAUUAAGAUUAAUAUAUAAAAACUAGAUAGUAGGGUUAUAGUCCUCAAACUACACUUAAUUUAAUAACAUUUACAUUUUUUUUAGCNNNNNNNNNNNNNNNNNNNNNNNNNNNNNNNNNNNNNNNNNNNNNNNNNNNNNNNNNNNNNNNNNNNNNNNNNNNNNNNNNNNNNNNNNNNNNNNNNNNNAAAAAUUGGAAAAAUAUUUUAAAAUUUAAUUUUUUUUCGUAUUUUUAAUAACAUUUAUAGUUUUUUCUGUGGUUUGGUAACUUAUCAACUCGACUCUUAAUUGUAAUAAACUUUCUGACCAUUUUUGUAUUGUUAACCUAAGUCCCGUUACAACUUUCUUAAGACCUAUUGAUUGGUGUAUCAUCUCGAUUUGUUUUUAUAGUGGUGGAGAUUUGGUUUUCAAGCAAGCCUAUGAUAAUAACAUUUUUUGUUCAACUGUUGAGUACAUAGUACUUGAACCUUAAACACUUUGAGUGCUUUGAGUGAAUCUUAGUUAGGGUAUUGAUUAUUGUUAAGUUUGAAUUUCAGGUAAUUAUUGAGAUAGAGGAGACGCCUAUGUUUUUUGUGCUUUAAAAAUUUCUGCUUAGAUUGCUUUUAUUCUUUAGUGACAUGCUAGUUUCAAUUUCCAGUGCAUGAUUAUCUGUAGAUUAUUCCUAAGGCAUUGUCGGUGAAAACAAUAAAUUGAAGGAGAUUAACUUGAAUAAGGGUUGAGAAUUUUGCUUAAUGACAAACAAAUGCUUAAUUGUGGGGAUAUUUGAUAAGUGCUAAAUUGAUAUGUUUUAACCUUAUUCUUAAUGUGUUUUUGGUUGAUUAUUCGAUCUUAAUUAUGCUCCUAAUCCUUUCAAUACGUGUUUUUAUGCUUAAUAGAACAUUUGGGAGGAAAAUGAGCGAAAAAUGAGUGAAAAACAAAAAAUGGGGGAAAACAAUAGGACCCACACAGGCUGACCUAUUACACAUGUGGCAGGCCAUGCCGAUUUCGUAGAUUUACACUCUGAAUUGCAAAAAAUUUGAAUUUUAGGUUUUUUGAGCAUUUUAAGACGUAUAUAUCAGAAUUUAAUAAGAUAGGAGAGAACCUUGCUAGAAUAUUUAAGACACACCCAAGACACAACCCGACCUUAUAAAACCUCAAUCUCAUUUAAUUAUUAGUUAUUUAUUAAUGCAGAAGUAAAUUAUGAGUCAAUUUUAAAGUUUUCCUAGGUAAUUUAACCUAAGGGCAAUUUCAUCAUUUUACCACUUAUUGUAAAACUAACCUGAUUUUAGAUCUAAGUGUUUACCAUCCUUCUUUUAGUCAAAUUAUGCAAGCCUAAAAUUUUUGGCUUAAUUUGAUUUCGUUUACUUUGUCUAAUUCAAGUUUUAUUAUUAGGGACUAAAUCGUAACUUAGUCAAAUUAGAAUACCAAUUUAAAGAGACAAAAUUUCAAAAUCCCAAAACCCACAUGGGUGUGUGGGUAAGUGACAUGGGUGUGUGGAGACUGGAGCUAUCACACACAAGCGUGUGGGAUUGAAAUAUAUGAAAUAAAUUAAUCCACUCAAUUUUCCAACAACCAUGCUAUACUACCAAACCAAAUAACGCUUGAAGCUUUGAAUAGGGGCGAAUUUUUAAAAAGAAAAAUUUAGAGGAAUCAGAAUUAAAUUAUAAAAUUUUGAGAAGUUAGAAUAUAAUUUUGUCAUGUAUUAAUUUAUUAUUUUUUAAAGGGUCUUAAUAGAAAUUUUUUUUCCCAUUUUGGUUAGGCCAAUACCCCUGCCUACCUCUUUAAAUUUGCUCCAACCCUAAACCCAAUAUUUGAGUUGGAUUAACAACAAUAUAUAGGUUAGUAUUUGUGGAAGUUUGACGAAGAAAAUUUUUUUAGAGGUUUAAAUUAUAAUUUUUGGAAAGAUUAAAAUAAAUUUUUAUUUUUAAUUACCUUUCGGAUCAUACGGGUGAUUUUGAUGAUUUAAAAAUUAAAUACUUUAUAAAAUAUUUAAAACUAUUUAAAAAAUUGUAAGCCUUCAAACAAUCAACAAGAUAUAUUUUUCUCUAAAAGAUCAAUAAAAGUAUGUUUGAAAUUUUAUAUGAAUUUUUAAACUUUUUAACAAUAAUAUAUUUUAAAAUUAUAUACACCUUUCUUCACCUUUUUUAUAUAAACCUUUUUUCACCUUUUUUAUGUACACCUUUUUUAUAUUUUUUUCCUAACAUAUCAUUAUUUUCAACACUAUCGUAAUCCUUUUUUGAUAAUUCCCUUUCCAUACAUCCUUUUUCAACAUAGAAUUUCAAGAGAAAAUGUGAAUUAAUGUAGACGUGAGAAGACUUAGAGGUAAGUCACCCAAUGAAAGUGACCUAAACCGACUUAUGGAAUAAUCAAGAGUAUUAUUUUAGUCUUUGUCUUAGGUAUGAAUGAUAUCUUCUAGAUUGAAGCUAGAGCGAUUCUUAAAUGAUUGAAAUUGACUUGGAUUAAAGGAUUCAGAUGUGUUGAGAUGGAAAGUGACAGUGCAAUGUUGAUUGAAACUAUUCGUAAUGGGUUGGCCGCAGUAAGUAGUGUUGCUAAAGUAAGAUUGAUUCACGAUUGGUGUUCCAAAAAUUGGUAAGUCAAAUUAUUGACAUAUUCAGCAAAAUGCCAAUAAAGUUGUUGAUUGCAUAACUAAGGCAGAUGGAGGCGUAAUUGAGCAGCUGGUUAUCUUGAAAGAUCCUCCGCAUUAUGUGAGAUGCUAGCUUGAAGAAGAUAUUACACAGUUGCUGGUGAUUGAUGAUAGUUUUCAUUUGGACUGAUGCUCGCUUAAUUUUCUAAGCUUAUGUUCAACCAAAAAAAAAAAAGUCUAAAUUGUAAUAGAAUUAACAUUUAGUGUAUAAAAAAUAUCUUCAAAUUUUUUUUCAAUUGAAGUUUAAUUCCACAAAUAUCGAUGAUGAACCCUAAAAUGGACAUGAAAAUUACAAAAAGAAAAAGAAAAAACACAUCUAUUAUCAAACUAGCAAUCUAUGUCUAAACUUAAAUUAACAAAAUUCAUCAUGCAACCCAGUACACUAUUUUAUAUAAUAUAUAUGCUAGAUUUAUUCUAGAUGCACAUAUUUUAUUAUAUGUCUAUUACCAAAUUAGUAACCCAUCCCAAGGCUUAAACUAACAAAAUUCACCAUGCAACCGUGUAGACUAUUUUAUAUACAUAUAUACUAUAUUUAUUCUUCAUGCAAAUGUUUAUUAUAUUUAAAAAUUAAAAUAUAUGGUUGAUUGAGUUUUAGUUGAAUUAAUAUCGAUAUUGUUAUCAGUACAGAAGAACAUGAGUUCAAUCAUGUUUAAGCACGUUUUAUCUUUCAAUUUAGGAGUUGGAGAGGAUUCUCAAUAGUUAAAUUAUAUCAGUUUUUGUCUACUUAAAAAUGAUUUAUAAAUAAUAUAAGUAAAAAAAUUUUAAAAAUACAUAUUCAUAUUCAUGGGCUUUUUCAUUAUUAGACUUUUCUCCCCACAGGUAAAAGAAUUUAUGGACAGGAUGAUGUAAAAUUAUGACCUGAAUAAUUUUAAACCUUCCAUCACUGCAAAAAUGAAAUAAUAGAAAUGANNNNNNNNNNNNNNNNNNNNNNNNNNNNNNNNNNNNNNNNNNNNNNNNNNNNNNNNNNNNNNNNNNNNNNNNNNNNNNNNNNNNNNNNNNNNNNNNNNNNNNNNNNNNNNNNNNNNNNNNNNNNNNNNNNNNNNNNNNNNNNNNNNNNNNNNNNNNNNNNNNNNNNNNNNNNNNNNGGUUAUACUUUAAUUAUUGAGAACAUUUUCCACAAUUUGCCAUCAUUAUUUGUGAGUGAUUUGUGGGGUAAAAGGUUGAACACUUCUGGAUCACAUUGCGUUUAAGACGGGUCGUUGGAGUUAUGUGACACUUAAACAUAGACUGACUUUUCUAUAAUUAGUCUUUGCUUUACUUUGGGUGGAUUCGUCCAACCAGUCCAAGAAUUAUUGUAAAAUCACAAUUAAUCUUCUUAAAUGAGACUAACAUUUCAAAUUUGUCAUCACUAUUUGUGAGUGAUUUGGGGGUAAGAAGUUUAACACUUCUGGAUGACUUAAAGAAUUGUGGGUCUCUAUUUGAGCAAAACAAUUUCAACAUUUCCUCGUCUCGUUUAAUCCAAAUUCAUUUAGGAUUUUCUUAUAUCAUUUUAAUUUAUUGAUUGUUUCAAAAACGAUAAUAAAAAAUUUUCUGUUUCACAUUCAAUUUUUGGACAAGAAGAAUUUUCUAACCUAUUUUAUAUCAACUUCACUUCAAUUUUCAAUCACAAUCAAUUGCAUUCAAAAGAACCACAUAUUUUUGAAUGAAACAAAUAUUUCAAUUUUAAGAUAAACGGGUCUUUAGGGUUAUUAAUUGAGGGCCUUUUCCGCAAUUCCCAUCGUUAUUUGCUGAUUGGGUUACAACAAUCGUUUGAAGUGAAGAUAUUUCAAAAGAAGAUGAAUACUUUACUAAUAAGNNNNNNNNNNNNNNNNNNNNNNNNNNNNNNNNNNNNNNNNNNNNNNNNNNNNNNNNNNNNNNNNNNNNNNNNNNNNNNNNNNNNNNNNNNNNNNNNNNNNNNNNNNNNNNNNNNNNNNNNNNNNNNNNNNNNNNNNNNNNNNNNNNNNNNNNNNNNNNNNNNNNNNNNNNNNNNNNNNNNNNNNNNNNNNNNNNNNNNNNNNNNNNNNNNNNNNNNNNNNNNNNNNNNNNNNNNNNNNNNNNNNNNNNNNNNNNNNNNNNNNNNNNNNNNNNNNNNNNNNNNNNNNNNNNNNNNNNNNNNNNNNNNNNNNNNNNNNNNNNNNNNNNNNNNNNNNNNNNNNNNNNNNNNNNNNNNNNNNNNNNNNNNNNNNNNNNNNNNNNNNNNNNNNNNNNNNNNNNNNNNNNNNNNNNNNNNNNNNNNNNNNNNNNNNNNNNNNNNNNNNNNNNNNNNNNNNNNNNNNNNNNNNNNNNNNNNNNNNNNNNNNNNNNNNNNNNNNNNNNNNNCUUCUCUUAUGCUCCUUCCAGCUUCUUGCUUUUUGUGUGCUGAAAAUUCAAAGGAACAAAAUAUCAACCUACAUCAUAAGGCACGAAGGCCAGAACUUUAAUUUCUAGCCCGUCCGAUCCAAUGAAAGAAGAACAAAGAGUCUUGAGAUCUGACAACUUUAUUUCAUCUUCAUUUUCUCUGUUAUUUUCUAUGUUUCUUGUCAAAUACAAUGAAAGAAGAACAUAGAAAAAUGUUGCCUAUUUAUUUCCCAAUCAUCAUGAAAUUACUUGCCAUAGACUUAGAAUUUUCUCACCAAUUUUCAAGCAAUCUGACAUGAUUUCUCAAUCACAAAUAAUUGAAUUCAAGAUCUUUUUGGAUGACACAAACAUUUCAAUUUUAACACAAACCAAUAUUUAGGUUAUACUUCAGUGCUUGACAAGCACUUUCACAUUUGUGGGAUAAGAACCCUAGCAUUUUAGGAUCACAUUUAAUUCAAUUGCAUUUAAGACCUCAUGAUUUUAUUCUAUAAUUUCAGUCUUUUCAACCUUUUGGGAAAUAAUAAAAUAUCGACAUUAAACUUCUUGUUGAUGCAUUCAAUUUGAUUUUUUGAGGGGUCGUUGGAGUUAUACGUGACUUUAGCAUUGAUUGACUUUUUUAGAAUUAAUCUUUUAUACCAAUUUAAUAACAUCGACAUGCUGUAAUACCCAAUUUUGCCCCAGGCCUAUAUACUAAUAGAGUAAAACAAAAAAACAGUCCAUUUACAAAUAAAAUAAAUCCAAACCCAAUUGGCCCAAAUACAAAAAACCCUAGUGGCCCAAUAUGACCCAAAAAUUAAACAUUUUUCAGCAGCAAAAAAGGAAGGAAAACCCUAGCUGCCGCCGCCCUAACGGCAGCCAAGUCCUCCUCCGCGCAUGCCAAGCCCCCACGCGCGUGCGCCUCCUCUACAGCCUUCGUACCUGCGGAAAAAGUGGAUCCAAAUAGCAAGCAAACCGCAAAAAUCGCUAACAAUAGCGAGGCAACAGCAAAUAGGAUAGCAGAAAAAAUGGGAUAACAGACGAGAUUUUUGGGGAUUCAUUUUCUUUUAUUUUGUAUUUUCGGCUAUAAAAAGAGCCGAUUGAUUCAUUGUACUGGGGGGGAAGAAAAAAAUAAUCGAAAACAGAAAAAAAUUCCGAAGGUUUACUUCUACUUUCAUUUUAAUGUUUUAUUUUUAUUUUUUAUUUUUAUUCUAACUUUUUUUUUACAUACGAAAUAUAUAUAAAAAAAGGAGGAAAAAACUUACCCUUGAUUUCACCGAAAAAAAGGAGACUUUUGGCCUUCCGGCCGCAGUGGACGGCGGCGCCUUCACUGGCAAACGGCAGCCAACUCGGCAGUAGCUUAUCGGAGGAUGGCCGGCGUCUGGAGAAGUUGAGAGAGAAUUGAGAGUGUUUUUUCUAUUUUUUUUUUGAAGAGAAGAGAAAAUGAGUUUUUUUGUAAAAAAUUUGGCUUAUAUAAAGGUUCAAAACGGCGUCGUUUUGAGCUAGGAUUCCAAUAUCCCAAAACGGCAUCGUUUUGAGGCCGACCCACGCACCGACUCGAUCCGGUCCUAGAUCCGCGUGUUUUAUAGCGUGUGGGAAGUUUGUGGAAAUGAUCCCCUCAUUUUUAUAUCGCGUUUAGAUUGAUCCUUUUGCUUUCUUUAAAUUUAGCCACGCAUUUUAUUUUUAUUUCAAUUUCGUCCGUGCAAGACGCAGCGUUUUGGAUGGCAGGGAUUAUUUUCCCCUUUAGUCCUUCCCUGUUAUUCGCUCAUUCAGUGAAGUCCCUUUCUUUCCAUUUAUUUUCAGAUUUGCCUCAAACUUUUGUUUUUAAGCUUAAUUUAAUCCUUUUUUGUUAUUUGUGCUAUUUUAUUUUUUUUAGUUUAUUAUUAUUAUUAUUAUUAUUAUUGUUGUUGUUGUUGUUGUUAUUAGUAUUAUUACUAUUAUUAUUAUUAUUAUUAUUUUAUUUUUGUUUAUAUUUAUUUACCUAACUUUUUUUUUGUAUUAUGUACUUUUAUUUUAAGGGGUUUUUAUUAUUAUCAUCAUUUCAUUUUUUUUAUGUUAAUCCAAUAGAUUUUUUUUACUGGUUUUAUUUUGUAAAACAUAAUUUAUAUCAAAUUAUUUUCAUUUUGUAUGUUAUGGAUUUCAUAUUAUUAAAGCCAUUAAUUUUAAGUUCUUUCUUUAACAUAUUUGUAUAUAUAUAUUUGUUUAAAUCUAUCUUUAUAAAUAUCUAAUUUAUUUCUUUUAUAUAUUUCGUUAAUUUUAACUUUUAAAUAUAGUAUUAUAUAUAUUAUAAUUUAUAUUAAGUUUCCACUCCAUAUGUAUUAUUUUAAAAAAAAUUAAUAUAUGUAUAUUAUGUUAUGUAUUUUGAUUCUCUUUCUACAAUAUUUACUUUAAAAUGCAUUUCGAUACUUUUAUUUUAAGUAGUUUUUUUUUCUGAUUUAUUUCGAAUUUACAUAUAUGUAAAUACUAUUUGUUUUAAAACAUAAUUUAUUGAUUAUAAUUUCUUCUCUUGUUAUUAAUUUUUAAGUUUUUUUUUAAUUUGAUUAUUAAUUCAUUAAAUUUUUGAAUAUUGAUAUUGAUAUUGGCAUAAUGUAUGAUUGAGAUAAUUGUUGCUAUGCUUGUCUGUAUUUAUCUAUUGAUUAUUUGUUAUUCAUUGGUGUAUAUUAUUUACAAAUUAUCCUUUACGUUGUACGUUAUCAUUCACUCACAUUUUAUUUCAUUUAGAAGGUUGCAUUUGAUUAAAAUAUCGAAAUCAUUUUAUCCACAAGUUUUCAAAAUAUUCGGUAUCCAAGAUUCUCGAGAAGAUUGUGCCCUAACUUACUGGACUUCAAUUUUCCUUGUUGAAUUUAAAUAAACGAGUAUUUCUUUUUCAAUUAAAGCAUAAAAAUUCCAAAUCAAAGCUUAUCUCGACGAUUCAAAACUUUGUGUCCUAGCUCAUUCGAUAUGGCAUUUGGUUAUCUCGAGACGUGGUUUUUAAAUAAAAUCAAAUUCAUGUGUAGUCUUUGGAACUUCAAAGGAUCGUACCCUAACUUACGGCGGCCGAAAGGCCAAAAGUCUCCUUUUUUUUCCGGUGAAAUCAAGGGUAAGUUUUUUCCUCUUUUUUUUUAUAUUUCGUAUGUAAAAAAAUUAGAAUAAAAAUAAAAAUAAAAGAUUAAAAUGAAAGUAGAAGUAAACCUUCGGAAAUUUUUUUCUGUUUUUGAUUUAUUUUUUCUUUUUUUUCCCCCAAUACAAUGAAUCAAUUGGCUCUUUUUAUAGCCGAAAAUACAAAAUAAAAGAAAAUGAAUCCCCAAAAAUCUCGUCUGUUAUCCCAUUUUUUCUGUUAUCCUAUUUGCUAUUGCCUUGCUAUUGUUAGCGAUUUUUGUGGUUUGCUUGCUAUUUGGAUCCGCCUUUUUCGCAGGUACGGAGGCCGUGGAGGAGGCGCACGCGCGCGGGGGCUUGGCAUGCACGGAGGAGGACUUGGCUGCCCUUAGGGCGGCUACAGCUAGGGUUUUCCUUCCCUUUUUGCUGCUAAAAAUGUUUGAUUUUUAGGUCAUAUUGGGCCACUAGGAUUUUUUGUAUUUGGGCUAAUCGGGUUUGGAUUUAUUUUAUUUAUAAAUGGACUGUUUUUUUUGUUUUACUCUAUUAGUGUAUGGGCCUGGGGCAAAAUUGGGUAUUACACAUGUUUUUGGGUAGGGUCGAGCAAAACCCAAUUAAAACCGAUGAUAUUGGUUUAGUUGACUCGGUCAGGUCCAUUAGAUGGAUAAAAUCAAUUUUAAAAUCAGUUAUAAUGGAUUGAGGUAAUUAAUUAUCGAGUAAUGAAAUACAUAAUCAAAUCAAUUGAUUUUGUUAGAAACUACAAGAAAAUGGGAUAAGCUGAAAACUGAUUGCCCUUUAUUAAAAUUAAGGAAUCCGCCUUUUACAUGUUAGAUAAUAUGAACAUCCUAUAUAUAAUAAGAAAAAUUACGUACGAUUAUUUAUUAUUAUAAAUAGUUAGUUUAAAUUUAAAGUAAUCUAAUAUGUUUAUUGAACUUCAAGUAUUAAAUAAAGUAUAAGUUAAAUAUGUAUAAAUAUUCUAGAAAUCAUUUCUAAUUGAUGAUAGGCUAAUUCGGAAUUAAGAUUAAUAUAUAAAAACUAGGUAGUAAAGUUAUAGUCCUCAAACUACACCUCAUUUGAUUUUUCCGACAUUCUAUUUUUGAAAAAAGAAUCACCUUCUUUAAAAAAAAAAUAUGUACUAAUUUGAAAAAUUAAAACUAUCAUAUAUAUUAAUAAGUACCAACUAAGCAAUACUUAAAUAUAGGUGUGUUUUAUAAAAAAAAAAUUAUCAACUUAAAGAAGUUGCAACAAAAAUUUAAAAUUCAUUUAUCAAAUGAAUAUUUAAAACUUAUAAUCUAAACUGUGACAUGAUAAAAUACAUGAGCAUAACUUGGAUUUACCAAAAAUCUAUGUACUUUUCUAAAACUUAAAUUUUAGUCCCUGUACUUUAAUUUAGAGACAUUAAGUAACUAUACUUUUUUAUUUAAAAAUUUUGGUCCCUUCAUCAAUUUUAUCAUUAUAAUUGUUGAUUUAGUUGUUAUAAAAAAAGGUAGAAUAACUUUUUUAGCCUUAAACAUUUAUAGUUUCUGUUAAUUUGGUCCUUACUCUUUAAAAUUACAUAAAAAUGCAAAAACAUUUUAAAAAUUAAAUUUUUUUUUGUAUUUUUAAAAACAUUUAUAGUUUUUCAUUUUUGUGGUUUGGUAACUUAUCAACUCGACUCUUAAUUGUAACCAACUUUUCUGGCCUUUUUCGUACCCUUAACCUAACUCCCGUUACAAAUUUCUAAAGACCUCUUUAUUGGUGUACCGUCUCGAUUUGUUUUUAUAAUGGUGGAGAUUUGGUUUUUAAGCAAGCCUAUGAUAAUCACAUUUUUUGUUCAACUGUUGAGCACACAGUUUUGAACCUUAAACACUUAAAGUGCUUUGAGUGAAUCUUACUUAGGAUAUUGAUUAUUGUUGAGUUUGAAUUUCAUGUAAUUAUUGAGAUAGAGGAGACGCCUAUGUUUUUUGUGCUUUACAAAUUUCUGCUUAGAUUUCUUUUAUUAUUUAGUGUCAUGCUAGUUUCAAUUUCCUGUGCAUGAUUAUCUAUAUAUUAUUCCUAAGGAAUUGUCGGUGAAAACAAUAAAUUAAGGGAGAUUAACUUGAAUAAGGGUUGAGAAUUUUGCUUAAGGACAAAUAAAUGCUUAAGUGUGGGGGAUAUUUGAUAAGUGCUAAAAUUGAUAUGUUUUAACAUCAUUCUUAAUGUGUUUUUGGUUGAUUAUUAGAUGUUAAUUAUGCUCCUAAUCCUUUCAAUUCGUGUUUUUAUGCUUAAUAGAACAUUUGGGAGGAAAAUGAGUGAAAAUAAAAAAAUGGGGGCAAACUAUAGGAUGCGGGCUGACCUAUUCCAUAUAACCGUGUGACCCACACAGUUAUGUGGCAGGCCGUGUCGAUUUCGUAGAUUUUCCCUUUGAAUUGCGAAAAAAAUGCAAUUUUAGGUUUUCCGAGCAUUUUAAUAGUAUAUAUGGAAAAAAAUAAGAAGAUAGGAGAGAACCUUUCUAGAAUAUUUAAGAAAACAAUUCCAAAGACGCCAUUGAAGCCGACUCUGAAACAGAUUUUCAUCAAGAUUGAAGAUUCCCAGUUGAUUUCUUAAGAGAUUAUGAUGAGUUUCUUUAUUUCUUUUGGUUAUACUGCCCUUUGGAUGUUUUUAUUUUUAAGCAUGAACUAAUUUUCUAAAUACCUAAGAGAGAUGAACCUACGAUAGAUUGUGACACCCCAAACCCGAUCGGGAUAGACCGGCCUGAAUUCGAAGCAUUACAUAAGCCACAUAAGUGACUCUCCAGCUAACGACCACCCAAGACACACCCCUACCUCAUAACACCUCAAUCUUAUCUAAUUAUUAGCUAUUUAUUAAUGCAGAAGUAAAUUAUAAGCCAAUUUCAAACUUUUCCUAGGUAAUUUAACCUAAGGGUAAUUUUGUCAUUUUACCACGUAUUGUAAAACUAACUCGAUUAUAGAUCUAAGUGCUUACCAACCUUCUUUUAGUCAAAUUAUGCAACCUUCUUUUAGAUUUAAUAUUUGUUAAUAUCAUCUAUAUAAUCACAUGUUCGAAUUACUAAUGUUCAACAAAGCCAAAUUUCACGUACUUCAUCCAUAUUAAUGUUCGAACCACAUAACCCUGAUAUUAAUGGCAUUUGUAUACUUAAGCCAUAUCCCAACAUAUUUCAUUACAUUUCAUACAUUGAAAAUAUGUCAUCAUAUUUAUUUCAUUAAUUGAAUAUUAAACAUAACAUUUCAUAACUUCUGCACUAGCACCUAAUAAAACCAAUCAAACCAUAAUACAAUAAUAUGAUGCAAUCGCAUAUAUGCGACUUUCGUAACAUUACGACAUAGCCGAACAUGCUAGUGAUGCAUAUACAUGUAUAGUGCGCAAAAACAUUAAUCAACUGAACACAAAUAAUAUUCCCUUGCACACCUAAUUCGCAUGUAUAUAUAGAUUGUUAUACCUAGCUUCAUAUUUUAUCCUAUUAACUAAUCAUUGAAUCGAUCACACCAUGAUAAAGGUCAUAAGCUUACCAAAAUGAACCACAUAUCAAAUCUGAAUUUACAAGCACCCACAUGCGCAUACCUAUAAUAAUACUAAAAUCAACUUGAUACUUUUAACUACCCAUUAAAAGUUAACCAAAACAUGCCUAAUUCAUAAACAUCUUUUAUCAUUUGGAUCCAUACCAAAACAAUCAACCAAAACAAUUAUGAAACAUGUUCAUUUACUAUUUAACAACCGAACUUACAUGACUAAACAUUCAAGCAUAAUAUAUGUAUAUGCUUGUCACCACAACCAAUCAAAUCAACCAAACCACAAUUGAUCAUAAAACAUUUCCAUAAUUUGCCAUCACCAAUCAAAAUAAUGACAUAACCAUUACUUAACCUACGUUUCAUAUACCAUAAACACACUUUCAAAAAUAAGCUAAAUUCAUGGCCGAUUGUAAACCAAUCUUUUCAUCGCCCAAUACCGAAUCAUUUAUCAAAACAUCACAAGUAUAUAUAUAUAUCAUGACUGAAAAUGCAUAUACGUAAGCAUCGUCCCUAGCCAUUUUCGCAUGGCUUUAUAUACAAUUUCAAAAUUAACCAAAACAAAUAAUUGUCUAUACAUGCCAUAGGUUUAUAAUUCAAGCCUUAAAAAUACCGAAAUAAUGGUCGAUAGUGCGGCGAACUUCCUUGACGAUCCCCUAGCUAAUAACUAGCUUUUCUAAAUCUAUAAAACAACGAAUAAACACCCAAAGUAAGCUUGGAAAGCUUAGUAAGUCAUAAGCAAAUAAGGUAUAAUAAAGACGAUAACAACUUAUUUUUAUUUGGCCGAAUAUAACUAAACUCAUACAUAUAUAUACGGCCACCUUUCACAAGUUGUUUCACAUAGUCACAUAAUUGCAUCAAAACUUACCUUUUCAUUCGAAUCUAAUAUAAACAUAAAACAUACCUGAAUUAUUUAAACUGAACUCAUAUUCGAUCUUGCUUAUCUCUUCCUAUUAAAACAUUCGAAAUUAUUAAGGAUAUUUGGAUAGCUCAACAGUUCGUACAAUGCCAUCGUCCCAAAAGUGGACUUACAUGUAAUCAAAUAUCGAUGCCACUACCCCAGAUAGGGUCUUACACGAAGUCAUAUACGAUGCCAAUGUCUCAGACAUGGUCUUAUACGUAAAUCUCAAGUCGAUGCCAAUGUCCUAGACAUGGUCUUACACAAAAUCACAUACCAGAAUCAUAGGGUUUGUAUGGGGCUUUUGGAUGUCGUAAUUCAAUCGAUUCAUGCUUGUAACAAAUCAUUCCAUGCAAAAUUUCAUUCGGCAAUGUAGUUAUACGUACAUACAAUUAAAAUCGGCUAUGUACAAGAUAAAUUCAUACAAUUUAACAUCAUUUAUUUACUUACAAACUUACCUCAAACAAAGACGAACGGACCGAGACGACUAUUCGAUAACUUUUGAUUUCCCUCGUUCUAAAUCCAAUUUCUUCUUUUCUUGACCUAAAUUAAUACAAAUUUGACUCGUUUAAUCAUAUAUUUAUUCAAAUUCAUCCAAAAAUAAAUAAAUGGGAAAAUUACAUUUUAUCGUCUAACAUUCCACAUUUUUCACAAUUUAGUCCCUACUUCACAAAACACAAAAUAUUCAAAAUUUUACCACACCCAAGCUUGGCCAAAUUUCACUAAGGUCCCUAACAACCCAUUUCUUUCAUUUGUUUCACAUUUUGACCCUUAAAUUUUUAAAAUUCACAAUUUAAUCCUAAUUAGGCAUUUUUACUAAAAAUUACUUAAUUAAACUUGACAAUCUAACAACAUAUAUUUAUUUUUCAUCAUCAAACAACAAAAACCACAAGGUAUCAUCAAUGGCAAAUCAUGAAUACAUCAACAAAUUCAAAAAUUCCAACAUGGGCUAGCUAGUAUUCGAAGUAACGAUCUCAAAAACGUAAAAAUUUUCAAAAGUCGAGCUAAACACAUACCUUAAUCAAGCUUGGACAAUGCCGAACCUAGCUUGUUCUUUUUAUUUCUUUUUCUUUUGUAUUUUCGGCAAGAAUGAUUAACAAAUGCAUGGUUUUAUGUUUUUGUUUUAUUUAAUUUCAUUUUAACACCUAAUUUACUAUAUUAACCUUUAUAAAAUAAUAUGAAAACCUUAUAAAUUAAGCCCAAAACUGCCCAUGCUAAAGUUCAAUGGCUAAAUUACAACAUAAGGGCCCUACAUAAUAAAAGCCAUAGCAAUAUAGCACUUUAAAAAUUAGCUAGCCACUUUUGUAUUUUACGCGAUUAAGUCUUUUUUUUUAAAUCGAGUACACAAACGACAAAAUUUUCACACAUAUAAAUUAACAUGCUGUAGACACCAAAAAUAAUAUUGUUACAGACCCAUUUUGCCCCAAGGCCCAUUACAAAGUAAAUACCCAAAGCCCAUCUAAACCUAACGCAGACCCGAAGCCCACUUAGCCCAGGCCCGAUUUUAAAAAACUGAAACCCUAGGCGUCGCCCCUUGACUUUUGGCCUCCUGCCAUCGCCGCCACCGCCGCUGGACGUCCCAUCCGCGUCCAUCACCACCACCCAUCCACUUGCACCGUCACCUGCAAAGAAGAGAAACAAACAAAGGAAAAGACAACACAAACAGUGGCAAAGAUCGGCUAUAAAAGCCAACAAAAUGUAACCUUUCUUUUUUUCGGGUACUCUUUGUAACAAAACAGAGAUUAGCAAAAAGAAAUAAAAUACAAACUAAGUUUUAAGGUGCUUUCGAGUACUCUUCUUCAUUUUUUAUUUUAUUUCUUAUCUUUUUUUGUUUAUUUAUAUAUGUAAAAUAAAGAAAAGGAAAAAGAAAAAAACUCACCUGAUUCAUUUUUUGGUUGCGCCGCCGUUGGGAUCUACCCAUCGUUGAAAUCAGCCUCGAAAGGAUGAGUUAGAGGGUCUCUCCUUUGGAUCUUUCGGCUAAACGAGUCUAGCCUUUAAUUAGGCCUUGGAUCGGGGACUAAAUUGCCCUUUUACGCAACGCCAACCACCACGCAUGAUGGCGCUACAGCGGCACUGUGUGGGCUCAAAGUUCGGGCGUUUGAGAGGGGGAGGAGAAAGGUUUUCUUUUUUUUUUUGAUUUGUUUUUUUUUAAAAAAAGAAGUGAGAUGCUGAAUUUUUUUGAAAGAGUUUGGGUUUAAAUAACCCCCUAAAACGGUGCCGUUUGGGCUUAGGGUUCAGAGACCAAAAAAGGCGUCGUUUUGGUCUCUGACCCGCGCGGUGAACCGACCCGAGGGGAGGAUCCGCGUGUUUCUGACUCUUGGGUUAUUUGUGCAAUUAGUCCCUUUGAUUCUGUAGCGAUUUCAUGGAAGUCUUUCACAUAUUUGCAAUGUGGCCACAAAAUUUUAUUUUUGUCUCAAUUCGGUGCAUUACUACACAGCGUUUUGGGGCUUUGGUUUAUUUACCCUGUUAGUCCCCCCUCUUUCAGCAUGCGUUACGAUUUAGUCCCUCUUGUCCUUUUUUUAUUUUUGAUUUUGCCCCGUAUUUUCGUUUUUAUUUCGAUUUAGUCCAUAUUUUAGCAAUUUUAUUAUUUAGUUAUUAUUAUUAUUAUUAUUAUUAUUAUUAUCUUAACUAUUAUUAUUAUUAUAUUUAUUAACAUUAUUGUUAUUAUUAUGUCUUUUUUUUUUUAUAUUCACUUAUGAAACUUUUAGAUAUAUUUGUUUUAAUAUAUUAUUAUCAUGAUUGUUUUUAUAUACAUAUACGUAUAUAUAUAUUUUUCUAACUUAUUUAAUAUAUAAAUACUCAAUUUUAUAUACAUACCUAUAUAUAUAUGUUUUUAUAUAUUAAAAUAUGUAUAUUAUUUAUAUAUUUUAUUUUAUUUUAUUAUAUUUUAUAAUCCAUAUAUGUAUAUAUUUUCAUCUACAUACAUAUGUUCUUAUGUUUUGUAAUAUUUAUGUAUUCCUUUCUUAAUAUAUAUAUGUACAUAUUUUAACCUUUGUAAACACAUAUACAUAUACACGCAUAUUUUAAUUUAUGUCCAUAUAUAUCUCUUUACAUUUAAUUGUAUUUACUACUUAUUUAUUUCAUUUUCUUUAUUAUUUUGAAUGAAUGUUUUAAUUUAUUUGUUUAUAUACAUUGUUAUUUUAUACGAUUGUAGGUAUGACUUUUAUUUAUUUUAUAUUGUUGCUAUUACUCGUAUCAUUUUUAUACUUUUGUGUGUGUAUUAUGAUUUUACCACGCAUAACAACAAUGUAAUUUGUUUUCACAUUUUACUACGAUUUUCGUGUUUUAUUUUACUCGAUAUAACAAAAAUUAGUUUUAAAAAAAUAAUAAAAUAAAAUUUCGUGUUUAGAUUCGAGAGGAUCAUACCCUAACUUACUGGGUUUCGAUUUUCAUAAUAAAUCUAAAUAUACGAAUCUUUUCAAACUCAAGUUUUUAAACGAUCUCGGGAAUUAAGAAAAGAUCGUGUCCUAACUUACUGGGCAUGAUUCAUUUUUUAAACCCGAGAUAAUAAAAUAUCUUUUAAAUGAGUAAAUUUUCAGCAUUCGUUCGCGUAUCGGGAAUUUGAGAUAUUGUGUCCUAACUUACUGGAUGUGAUUCUCUUUCUUGAUUAACGUGAAAUAUGCCCAUUUUCCCAAAAUUUUUAACAUUUUAAUACAAGGAUCGUAUUUUUAAAAUUCUUUAAAGUUUUCAAUUUUCGAUAUCAAGACAUUAGCUAAUCAACUAGGUACCAAUUUCUGGGCGUUACGAGGGUGCUAAUCCUUCCUCGUACUUAACCGACUCCCGAACCCGAUUUCUGAAUUUCGUGGGCCAAAAUUGUUGUUUUAAUAAAAUCAAACCGUUUAUUAAAAACCACUUUUCGAGGUGAUCCAAUCACACCUCAUAAAAAGGGAUUGGUGGCGACUCCCCUUUCAUUUUUUCAAAACCCAAGUCAACCCCGUUUUUCAUCAAAAAAAUGGUGUCAACAGCUUGGCGACUCCGCUGGGGACAUCGAAUAAGUGAGUCGAGCCACGAUGUGAUUAUUUUUUGUCUUUUUUUCAAAAAUUAAAAACUUGGUUUAAAGUUACGAUCCUUGCACUGCACUUCAUUCAUCCUUAUUACGAUUUUCAUCGUUGUGGUUUAUGAUUGUUAUGUUUCGGUAUCUUUUUGCAUUGCAUUGCAUGAUCGUUGGUCACACCGUUUUAAGUGGGAGUGAGAAACUACGCCUUCGUGAGGUUUUCACCUCCGCAUAGGAUAGUGAAUCGCUUUCGGGAUACAUCUGUACCUAUGUCUUUGUGAGGUUUUCAUCUCCGUAUGGCCAUAGGGAAAUGUAUUCCCCUGAACUGAACUCGAUCAAUAUGAGCCUAUAAUGGGUGAGGAUCGAGGAAUCUGCCGGUUUGGGUACCUUUACUCUAGAACUAAACCACAUAUAGUGAGCCAUAGGAACCGACCUAGAUGGAACUACGCCAAACCUUAAGUGCUUACCCAAAUGGCUGCUUUAUUUAUUGUCAUUUACUCUAGAUCUUGUUCUGUGUUUAAUACUGAUUUGUUUGUUUCUGAUUGCAUGGCAUUUUCAUUCUAAAAGAGCUGUUGAUUCACGUUCAGUAUCUAGAUAGAAAGCUUAUCAUGGAAAAGGGGUUUUUUGAUAAAGUAGAAGAUAAUGCGGCUGUGUGAAUAUGGGCUAAGACGAUGCAACGGGAGAAAGGAUAUAGUCUUACCGAGGGGCAUAUGUCAGAAUUGUGGGAUUUCACCCGUAUUAGUGUAAUCUAGAAUGAUCUUCGAGAAAUGAAAGAAAUUUGGGAUCAAUGGGAUAACAAGACCAAACAGUUGUUCUAUUGUAACUACGGUGACCUACCUUAUCUGCUCAGUAUCAAAGUGGACAAGUAUUUAUUUCGAGCCCUUGCUCAAUUUUAGAAUCCUGCCUACAGUUGUUUCACCUUUGGAAAAGUGGACUUGACGCCUACUGUGGAGGAGUAUAUGACCUUGCUUCGGUGCCUAAAGAUUCAAGUCGACAAGGCUUAUUCUAGAGCUGCUGGUGCCCUUCCGUUGUUAAAGAAAUUAAUAAACAUCACUGGGAUGAGCGAGCGGUGGGUUGCUGCCCGAAUCCAGCAGAAAGGCGAUAGUAAAUGCGUUCCUUGGAAAAGCUUGCGAGAUUUGGUGCUAGUACAUCCUGAUAUAAAGAAAAGGGUCGAUGUCUUCGCUUUAGGUAUCUAUGGAUUAGUGGUCUUCCCCAAAGCAUUAGGACACAUAGACGAGGCUGUUUCUGAUUUAUUUGAUCGGCUCAGAAAAGGGGUUACUCCCGUUCCAGCAAUACUGGCUGAAACUUUCAGAUCCUUGAAUGCGUGUCGGAGAGCAGGUGAAGGAAGGUUUAUAGGGUGCGCGCAGCUCUUAUUGGCAUGGUUUCAUAGUCAUUUCUGGAAAGUGGAAAAAGUCUCUUAUCAGGUAUUCUCUGGUAGCUAUUCCCCUUUAGAAGAAUUAGUAGCUACGCCAAGGCGAGAUGAUGUUUCAGAGGAAAAAUGGAUGGCGAUACUCCAGAAUCUUCAAGAUGAAGAUGUUGAAUGGAGGGCUCCUUCGUUGAUUUCUGAUGAGAUUUUAUACCGGUGCGGGGAUUUUGACUGGGUUCCUCUGCUCGGAAUAUGGGGAGCUAUCGGAUAUGCUCCUCUACUCGUAUCAAGAUAGUUUAGAUCACGACAAUUCAUACCAGCAAUGCAAGGGUUGCCCAUUGUGAAUUUUCCUAUAAGGAGGACAAUUACAAGAAAAGGGUUCGAGAAAUGUCAAAUGCCUGAAACUAAACUCGCCGAAUGAAGAUCUUAGCUAUAGGUCCGGCAAUGACCCCCGAAUACAGUCAAUGGCAUGAUCAAAGGGUCAACGACAAUAUCCCGGUGUCAAAUCCAGAAACUGCUCGAUCUUUAGAGGAACACCUACAAGUAUUGCCCUCUGAGGUAGAAAUUAUCAAAAAAGAAUUUGAAAAAAGGAGCUUAGAGUUAGGGAAGAAAAUAGAGCAACUAGAGGAAGAAAAAAUGCAAUUAGGAUUGGAUGUGGACAUUCAAUAAUUAGAGGCUGACAAAUUGAGAAAAGGAAAGAACAAGGCAGAAGAAGAUUUAGACAGCCUGAAGAUGGACUACAAGAAGUUGCGUAGGUCAAUAAGAACUGCUGGCUUGGGUAAAACGUCAGAACAAUAGCGACAGGAAAUUCAGGAGGAAAAGAUGAAAACUAAUCAAUAGGAAAAGAUAUUUCAGGAUACUCGAGCUCGAGAAGUUGCUCUGGAAAAGAGUCUACUAGCCUGCCAAAACGAGAAGACAGAGCUGAAAGAUCGAGUAACUGAGCUAGAAAGGUCACUUCACCAGCAUCGUAGUCGUAAUUCUGCGGUUGAAUUAAAGGCAAGCUUGAACAAAAUUGAAGACUGAAAGGGACAAGUAGGGGAGCUCGAGGAUGCAUUGUAAAACAGCGAACUCCGAAUAGAGCUUCUGGAAAGAAAUAAUGAGCAGUGGCAAGGGCAAUUCCAUCGGUCUCAAGACCAUAUUAGAGAAAGAGAUUAUAUUAUGGGUGAGGCGGUGGCUCAAGUACACGAAGUAGCCGAGCACCUACAGACUCUAGCAGUCCAAGCAGAUGUGUUGAGUUUGAAGUAUGAGUCAGAAUCGAACCGGGGCUGAGACUUAGCUUGGCUUCUUAGGAAGGUUAAGGAUUUGGGUAUAAGGGCAAAGCCGUAUAUGUAAUCUAUUUUAUGUAAAGAAACUUCUUCUCUAGUAAAGUUUUCUAAUGAAGUUGAAUUAGAAUCUGUGCCUCUUUUUUUACAUUUAUUUCAUGCAUUGCAUCACAUCAUAUGCAUUAAUAACCAUUAAUGAACCUUAAUUGAAUAAAAUUAUUUCAGUUAACCUGGAAAAUCGACACUGUUACGGCACCCGUGCUAAGUCAAAAAUUAUGGAUCAAAGGUUGGAAAAGCUAGAGCGACUUCAAAAGGAAACGCAAGACCAGUUGCAGGCGCAAAUGAAAGAACAUAUGGAAAAGAUCUAGCAGGACAUGGUACAAAAGAUGAAGGAGUCUCAAGAUGACUUAAUGACUAAGUUGACGCAAUUAAUAACCAAAGGAGUAGAUAAAGGGAAAGGUCAUGUGAUUUACGAUGAAGAAGAAAACAAUGAUGAACCACUUUUUCCUCCAGGUUUUACGCUUCCGCAUGCGCAAGUUCAGACUGAACCACAUCCAUGGAGACCUUCUGUUUCGAUUAGACCUCAGCAUUUUCAAGGUGAUGUUUUAAUUCCAAAGAACCUUCAGGUCGGAUCUGGCUCUAAUCUUGGUGAUAAUCUAAUUAAUUUUGCUAUCCUGAAUUUUGAUGAAGUAGUUGAGAAGGACAAGGUGAAGGAAGAGUUUCCAAAGCAAUUUGAGGAGAAAUGGAAAUGGAUUGAAGAGAUGUUUAGGGCAAUAGAAAGCAUUGACAGCUAUCAUGGAAUAGAUGCAAAAGAUCUGAGCUUGGUUCCGGAUUUGGUGCUUCCUUACAAAUUUAAGAUGCCAAAAUUCGAGAAAUAUAAUGGGACCAGUUGUCCAGAAGCCCAUAUCACUAUGUUCUGUAGGAGAAUGACGGGGUAUAUUAAUAAUGAUCAAUUAUUAAUACACUGCUUUCAGGAUAGCCUUACAUGAGCGGCGUUAAAAUGGUACAAUCAGCUAAGCCAAACCAAAAUUGCUACUUGGAGAGAUUUGGCACAGGCAUUCAUGAAACAGUACAAUCAUGUCUCAGAAAUGAUGCCUGACAGGAUAACUCUGCAGAAUUUGGAGAAGAAAUCGAACGAAAGCUUCAGACAGUAUGCGUAGAGGUGGAGAGAAGUGGCGGUUCAGGUGCAACCACCGCUUUUGGAAAAAGAAAUGACGACGCUUUUUAUUAAAACAUUGAAAGCCCCGUUCAUCACUCACAUGUUGGGAAGUGCUUCAAAGAAUUUCUCAGAUAUAAUCAUGAACGGCGAAAUGAUCGAGCAUGCUAUUAAAAGUGGAAGAAUAGAUGGAGGGGAAAACAAUAGAAGGACAGCCCCGAGGAAAAGAGAAAAUGAAGUGAAUAAUGUGAAUGCCUACAGUAAGUCAAUUACCGUGAAUCAACCAAGGAAAGUGGUUGCUAAUCAGUAGGGCUCAUCGAAGCAAGAGUCGAGAAUGAGGCAAAAUACUGAGAAGCCUCAGUUCACACCCAUUCCAAUGACAUAUAAGGAGCUGUACCAGAAUUUAUUUAAUGCACAUGUUGUCGCUCCUCGUUACUUGAGUCCUCUACAACCCCCGUAUCCAAAAUGGUAUGACACGAACGCGCAAUGUGACUAUCAUGCUGGAAUUUCAGAACACUCAAUAGAAAAUUAUACUGCUUUCAAGAAGGUAGUGGAAGGACUUAUCAAAUUGGGUGUUGUUAAAUUUAGUGACUCACCCAACACAGAAAGUCCAUUGCCCAAUCAUGAUGAUAAGGGAGUGAAUAUGUUGAGCGAAUGUACGGGGAAAGGAGUCAAGACUGACAUUGCUGAAGUAAAAACUCCAUUGAAACGGGUCUGGAAAGAGAUGGCAAAAAGGGGGUUAGUUAUUUCAGAUUUUGAGGAAGGGUAUGAGAUGGGAAACUAUUAUGAAUUCCACGGUAAAACAGGGCACGAAAUCCAAAAAUGUGAAGGAUUCAGGGCUCUGGUUCAAAGUAUGAUGGAUAACAAGAAGAUGAGGUUCUAUGAAGAUACGGAAGAAAGGAAGAGCAUAUGUGUGACAGAAUCAGGAAUAGGGACUCUGAAAAUAAAUCCCUCUGUGGUCAUUAUCUCACACCCUAAGAGUAAUGAGGAUAGGCCUCAGGUAACACCAAAAAUUGUAAUCCAGAAACCAUCAAUUUUCUCAUAUAAGGAUAGCAAAAAGGUUCCGUGGAAUUAUGGGUGCAAUGUGACUAUCUUGGGAAGAGAAGCGGAAAGAAAUCAGGAAAUAGGAUCUUACACGAGCAAUGGGAAACGAUAUGACGCUCAAGCAGAAUCGUCAAGGGAAGAGAAUUUGAAGAAAGAGCAGAGGAAAGGGAAAAUAGUACAAGUUGAACCAUUGGUUAAUGAACCAUUAAAAGAAGAGGAGGCGGGGGAGUUUUUGAAGUUUUUGAAACACAGUGACUAUAGUGUUGUGGAGCAACUACACAAACAGCCCGCCCGCAUUUCUGUAUUAGCUCUACUCCUAAGCUCAGAAGCACAUCGGAAUGCAUUUUUGAAAGUACUAAAUGAAACAUAUGUGGCCAAUGAUGUUUCGGUAAACCAGGUGGAUCAGUUGGUCAAAAAUAUAGGUGCUGACAAUUUUAUUUUCUUCAAUGAUGAUGAAAUACCAUCUGGAGGAAGGGGUUCUACUAAAGCCCUGCAUGUUACUGUCCAAUGCAAAGGGUACACACUCCCGAGGGCCUUGGUUGAUAAUGGAUCUGCAUUGAAUGUAUUACCUUUAUCCACUCUUGGUCAGUUACCGACGGACAGUUCGCACAUGAAAGCAUGCCAGAGCAUAGUAAGGGCAUUUGAUGGAACGAAAAAGAGAGUUAUGGGAAGAAUUGAGGUACCGUUAAGGAUUGGCCCAAUUACUUAUGAGGUGGAUCUCUUGGUAAUGGAUAUUAAGCCUUCCUACAACUGUUUAUUGGGAAGGUCAUGGAUACACUCAGCCGGGGCAGUACCUUCAUCAUUACAUCAAAAGGUGAAGUUAGUGUCGGAGGGUCAGUUGGUAACAAUAGAUGCGAAGGAAGAUAUUAUCGCAACGGUAACUAGUGAUGCAUCUUAUGUGGAAAUUAGCGAUGAGGCACUGGAAUGUUCUUUUUGGUCAUUAGAAUUUGUGAAUGUGAUGUUUAUUGCUGAAGGAAGUAAAAUUUCGGUACCGAAAAUAUCCAGGACCACGGAAAUGGGGUUGCGAUUGAUGAUGGGAAGAGGAGCUUCACCAGGGAAAGGAUUGGGAAAAUAUCUUCAAGGAAAGAUUGAAGUACCGAUGCUGAGGGAAAAGUUUGAUAGUUUUGGCUUAGGAUACAAGCCAGACAUGAGGCAGAAGAAGAAAGAAGCACAGAAAAGACAAGAGAAAAGAAGGGCACGUUUGAAUGGAUAUGAAGCUAAGUGGGAACCUUUGACCUUUCCCUACUUAUCUGUAUCUUUUGUGUCGGGCGAAUUUAUUCAUCCUGAGCGUGGAAUGUCUAGUAACAAGGGUAUUGAAUAAAUGAGGGAAAACGUUCAUAUCAACACUAUAACGGAGGAAAGGGCUUUGUUGGAGAUCUGCCCUUACGAACCUGGGAGCGAGCUAAACAAUUGGACUGCGGAAGAAAUCCCUAUAGUCUUUCGGGCUUAUUCAGAGUAAUGCCCAGAACAUUCCUGUUGUUUUUGUCUAGAAAUGAUAUGAAAUCUUUUGUGAAAGAGGCUUGAGCCUAAAAUAUCAUUAUCCUAAUGAAAUAUACAUUUACAUUCAUUUUGAGCAAUCAUUCUUUUUUCUUUUCAUACAAGUAAAUAUCUUCCAUUUGAUUAAUUGUCUUCCAAAUAAUUUUUUCAUUUGUAACCUUAUUGUACAAAUAAUUAUUCAUAAAAUUUAUAUAUUCUUUGAUGCAUUCCAUCAUAGGUCCUCAGAUAUCAAUGACAUGAGUGAUGUUGCUUCAAACACGAAGUUUAUUUUUGAGCAAGAAAUGUGUUUGGAGGGAUCUCACGACUUUGAAAAUGAUGAAGACAAUGGUGUAUCCCCGGACUUGUUGAGGAUGGUGGAACAAGAGGACAAAUAGAUCCUACCUUAUAAGGAAUCUUUGGAAAUCGUGAGCCUAGAGGAAGGAAAAGAAGUGAAAAUUGGAACUGAAAUCACCGCAAAGACAAAACAGGACCUCAUUAAAUUGCUCCGAGAGUUCAAAGAUGUUUUUGCAUGGUCAUACCAAGAUAUGUCCGGGCUAAGCACUAGCAUUGUGGUACAUCGUCUGCCCAUAAAAGAGGAUUGUAAACCCGUUCAGCAGAAACGCAGGAGAAUGAGACCUGACAUUGUGUUGAAGAUAAAAGAAGAAGUUAAAAGGUAGUUCGACGCGGGAUUCUUACGAGAAAUCAAAUAUUCAGAUUGGGUAGCAAACAUCGUCCCCGUUCCCAAGAAGGAUGGAAAGGUGCGAAUGUGUGUGGAUUAUAGAGACUUGAACAAGGCUAGUCCAAAGGACAAUUUUCCACUACCUCACAUUGAUACUUUGGUAGAUAACACGGCAGACUACUUAUUAUUUUCUUUCAUGGAUGGCUUCUCUGGAUACAAUCAAAUAAAGAUACAUCCCGAAGACAUGAGGAAAACCACAUUCAUUACCUUAUAGGAAACAUUUUGUUAUAAGGUAAUGCCCUUUGGAUUGAAGAAUGCGGGACCAACAUAUCAAAGAGCUAUGGUGACUUUGUUUCAUGACAUGAUACAUAAGGAGAUCGAAGUCUAUGUUGAUGAUAUGAUUGCAAAGUUGAGAACUAAAGAAGAGCAUGUUCAAGUCUUAAAAAAGUUAUUUUUGAGAUUAAGGAAAUUUCAGCUCAAGCUUAACCCGGUAAAAUGCACGUUUGGAGCCAGAUCAGGGAAGUUAUUAGGCUUCAUAGUUAGCAGAAAUGGGAUUGAAGUUGACCCAGACAAAGUAAAAGCAAUACAAGAUUUGCCUCCCCUGCGCACUCAGAAGGAAGUUCGAGGUUUCCUUGGGAGAUUGAAUUAUAUUGCUCGGUUCAUCUCACAACUAACAGAGAAAUGUGAUCCAGUAUUUCAUCUUUUGAAGAAGCAUAAUCCGGGUGAAUGGAACGAUGGAUGUCAGAGGGCUUUUGACAAGAUAAAGCAAUACUUGGCUAAUACUCCAAUACUAUCGCCGCCAAGUCUGGAUAAGCCAUUGAUACUGUAUCUAACGGUGUUUGAGAAUUCCAUGGGAUGGGUAUUGGGCCAACAUGAUGAGACGGGAAAGAAAGAAAGGGCAAUAUACUAUCUCAGCAAGAAAAUUACUGAUUGCAAAAUGAGAUACUCGCCAAUUGAGAAGUUGUGUUGUGCUUUAAUCUGGGCAACCCGGAGACUAAGGCAGUAUAUGUUAUAUCACACAACUGGGCUGAUUUCAAAACUGGAUCCUUUAAAGUAUAUGAUGGAAUCAACUGCUUUAAAUGGGAGAAUAGCUAGAUGGCAGAUUCUGCUAUCUGAGUUUGACAUAGUAUAUGUAACUCAGAAGGCCGUAAAGGGCAGUGCGAUAGCUCACUUCUUAGUUAGUAGAGCUUUGGAGGAUUAUGAGUCUUUGGACUUCGAUUUCCCAAAUGAAGACCUGAUGUAUUUGGCAAACACUAAAGAAAAUCCUCAAAUAGAUCACGUAUGGAGGUUAAAUUUUGAUGGAGCUUCAAACUCUACGGGUAAUGGAAUCGGGGCAGUCUUGGUAUCCCCAAAUGGAGAUCAUUAUCCUGUUGCUAGCAAGUUGGACUUCGAUUGCACAAAUAAUAUGGCAGAAUAUGAAGCAUGUACUAUGGGCAUUCGCCCAGCCAUUGAGCGGAACAUCAAAGUGUUAAGAGUAUUUGGGGAUUCUGCAUUGGUGAUAUACCAACUCAAAGGGGAAUGGGAGACUAGAGACCCUAAGUUAAUCGGUUAUAGAAAACUGGUCCUCGAUUUAGCUGAUGAGUUUGACGAUAUCACCUUCUGUUAUCUCCCACGAGAGGAAAAUCAGAUGGCUGAUGCAUUGGCUACUCUAGCUUCAAUGUUUCAGGUGAACAGACUUGAGGCAAUAAGGCCUAUUCAGAUGAGUAUCUAUGAGACCCCAGCUCAUUGCUACAAUAUUGAGUAGGAGGGAAGAGAUGAUUGUCCUUAGUAUCAGAGUAUCCUACAGUAUGUGAAGAAUCGGGAGUACCCUAAUCGAGCAACAGAGAAUGACAAAAGAACUCUGAGAAGAAUGGCCAUUGAAUAUGUCUUAGAUGGGGAAGUAUUAUACAAAAGAAGGAAGGAUCAAGUACUGUUAAGAUGUGUGGAUGCCGUGGAAGCCAAGAAAAUUUUGGAGGAAGUCCAUGAAGGUAUUUGUGGGACGCACGCCAAUGGUUUCACGAUGGCUAGACAGAUCAUGAGAUUUGGGUACUAUUGGCCCACCAUGGAAGGAGAUUGCCUUGAUUAUGCCAAGAAGUGCCACAAAUGCCAAAUUUAUGGAGACAAAAUACAUGCGCCUCCUUCACCUUUUCACGUCAUGGCCUCUCCUUGGUCUUUUUCCAUGUGGGGUAUGGAUGUUAUUGGGCCGAUAUCACCAAAGGCCUCUAAUGGGCAUCGCUUCAUCUUCGUGGUUAUUGAUUAUUUUACCAAGUGGGUGGAAGCUGCUUCAUACGCAAACGUCACGAAAUCAACAGUCAGCAAAUUCUUAAAAAAGGAGAUCAUUUCUCGAUAUGGAAUGCCUGAGAAAAUCAUAUCCGACAAUACGUUGAAUUUGAACAAUAGCACAAUAGCUGAGGUUUGCAGCCAAUUUAAAAUCAAACAUCAUAAUUCAUCGCCGUAUCGUCCAAAAAUGAAUGGUACAGUUGAGGCGGCCAAUAAGAACAUUAAAAGGAUUGUGAGGAAAAUGACUGAAACUUACAAAGAUUGGCAUGAGAAGUUAUCAUUUGCUCUCCUUGCCUAUCGAACAUCUGUUAGAACUUCUACAGGGGCAACACCUGUUUCUCUAGUCUAUGGAAUGGAUUCAGUAUUACCCAUUGAAGUUGAGAUCCCUUCUCUACAGGUGUUAUCUGAACUACGGUUGGACGAGGCUGAAUGGGUCCAAUCUCAGUACGAUCAGUUGAACCUAAUAGAAGAAAAGAGGUUAAGAGCUAUUCACCAUGGGCGAAUGUACCAGAAACGAAUGAUGCGAGCCUAUAAUAAAAAGGUCCGCCUCAGAGAAUUUCGUGAAAGGGACUUGGUGCUAAAAAAGAUUCUUCCUAUGCAAAAGGAUUUGAGAGGAAAAUGGAUGCCAAAUUGGGAGGGUCCUUAUGUUGUAAAGAAGGCCUUUUCUGGUGGAGCUCUGAUUCUAAGUGAGAUGGAUGGUAAAAAUAUGCCAAACUCUGUAAACGCAGAUUCCAUCAAGAAAUACUUCACUUGAGGGAAAAUGAACCAAAAUGAAAACUCGCAAAGGGCGCUUUGCUUCCCUAAAAAAACUUUGGAGAGGCUAAGAGGAAAACCCGUAAAGGGCAUCUUAGACCAAAGGGGGCUUGAGUCGAAAACCCAAAAAAAGACGGCUCAAGUAUUGAUCAAAUUAGGGCAUGAGAUGAUUUGAGCGGGCCGAAUUUUAAUUGGGGCAUAUGAUGAUCUUGCUUUACUUGAACCAACAAGAAAGGGUACGUGACAUCUUGAAGCAUUGACCGAGUACUGCGGAUCUCCUAAACACAUAUCAAAAUCAGAAAGGCCUUCAGGAAGUUUGAACAAAGAAAUUCAAGCUGCGAUAACUGGGGCACUUAGUUCUUAUUAUUGAUUGUGUUAUCCUUGAAAAUACCUUUUAUUCUUGUUAAGAUACACAUUCUUAAUCAACUUUUUGUUAUUCUUCUUCCGCUAUCUUUGAUAUUUUUCUUUCGAGUUAUGAUCGGAGCCAGCUUUGUUCUUAUUCAUUGUUGUGACCUUUUUGCAAACAUGUUCCAUUGGAGUAAUGAUUAAUGGAUUAAUAAAACUUUCACAAAAGAAGUUUUGCAUAUUACUCUGAAAAGUUCUAAAUAAUAUAGGAACCUGAAACAGGACUAUUGUUUAGAACAUACCAAGUUUAAAGGUUGGAAAUUUGAGAAGGAAUAGUUUAAAUUUAGACUUUCUCUUUGGAUUUUUGUUGUCAAAAGCAUUGAUUGAACAAAAUGACAAAGAUGUCAUAUUAACGAUAAGGUUUCAAUAAAAGAGCAGGCAAUGAUCAUCAGGCAAUAGGAAGAGGUUGCCUCGGAGAGUAGAGCCUUCAUUUGCACAUGAGUCUUUGGUACGACACCUUGGGAAUGGUGUAAGGAACCAGAACGAUUCAGAUCUUGUACCCUUGAAUUGUGAUAGGAAAGGAUUGAGAACAGCCACAUAUUUAUUGGAUUACAAUGGGGGGUAACUUAGCUAAAUGUUUCUUUAGAAAAGUUAAUCAAACAAGAAAGUACUAUAACACAUCAGUCACAAAGCCUUAAUAAACUUCGAGUAACGAUAACCUAAGCGAGAUCAUUCAUGAAAAAUAAAAUUCUGCAUCCAUGCAAACACCAUUCACACAUGUCUAGUUAGGAGCAUUUGAUUCAUUUUGAUCAUGCCAUCUUAAUCAUUAGGCAUAAUUAGGUUCAUUAUACAGGUCUUAUUUCCCUGAGAUUAUGGUGGAACAGACCGAAGAAUUUCAAAUCUUAUCUCCCUGAGAUUACAGCGGAGCAGAUUGAAGCUAGUAAUCCUAUCUCCUUGAGAUUACAGUGGAGUGGAUUAAAAUAAAGGAUCUUAUCUCUCUGAAGUUACAGUAGAGUAGAUCGUAUCAGGUCCUAUCUCCCUGAGAUUACAGCGGAGCAGAUUGAAGCUAGUAAUCCUAUCUUCCUGAGAUUACAGUGGAGCGGAUUAAAAUAAAGGAUCUUAUCUCUCUGAAGUUACAGUAGAGUAGAUCAUAUCAGGUCUUAUCUCCCUGAGAUUACAGCGGAGCAGAUUGAAGCUAGUAAUCCUAUUUCCCUGAGAUUACAGUGGAACAGAUUAAAAUAAAGGAUCUUAUCUCUCUGAAGUUACAGUAGAGUAGAUCGUAUCAGGUCUUAUCUCCCUGAGAUUACAGCGGAGCAGAUUGAAGCUAGUAAUCCUAUCUCCCUGAGAAUACAGUAGAGCAGAUUAAAAUAAAGGAUCUUAUCUGUCUGAAGUUACAGUACAGUAGAUCGUAUCAAGUCUUAUCUCUCUGAGAUUACAGCGGAGCAGAUUGAAGCUAGUAAUCCUAUCUCCCUGAGAUUACAGUGGAGCGGAUUAAAAUAAAGGAUCUUAUCUCUCUGAAGUUACAGUAGAGUAGAUCGUAUCAGGUCUUAUUUCCCUGAGAUUACAGCGGAGCAGAUUGAAGCUAGUAAUCCUAUUUCCCUGAGAUUACAGUGGAACAGAUUAAAAUAAAGGAUCUUAUCUCUCUGAAGUUACAGUAGAGUAGAUCGUAUCAGGUCUUAUCUCCCUGAGAUUACAGCGGAGCAGAUUGAAGCUAGUAAUCCUAUCUCCCUGAGAUUACAGUAGAGCAGAUUAAAAUAAAGGAUCUUAUCUCUCUGAAUUUACAGUAGAGUAGAUCGUAUCAAGUCUUAUCUCUCUGAGAUUACAGCAGAGCAGAUUGAAGCUAGUAAUCCUAUCUCCCUGAGAUUACAGUGGAGCGGAUUAAAAUAAAGGAUCUUAUCUCUCUGAAGUUACAGUAGAGUAGAUCGCAUCAGGUCUUAUCUCCCUGAGAUUACAGUGGAACAGACCGAGGAAUUUCAGAUUUUAUCUCCCUAACGUUGCAGUGGAGCAGACUAAAACCAUAAACUUCGUCCCCCUGAAGUUGCUACGAAGAAGAUCGAAGCUACAAGUCAGAUCUUUCUGAAGUGCAGUGGAGUAGAUCGACGCAACAAGACAUAGUGGAUUGAAAUAAACCUAUUUGAAGAAGGGAAGCGUCAAAAGAAGUCGAAAUCCGGCGAAACCAGGCAAAAUUGGUCUUUCUUGGUCUUUGCUCUGUUCUCGUUACACAACAACGAGCAAAGAGGGGCAGCUGUUACAGACCCAUUUUGCCCCAAGGCCCAUUACAAAGUAAAAACCCAAAGCCCACCUAAACCUAACCCAGACCCGAGACCCACUUAUCCCAGGCCUGAUUUCAAAAAAGCCCCUUGACUUUUGGCCUCCUGCCAUCGCCGCCACCGCCACUAAACGUCCCAUCCGCGUCCAUCACCACCACCCAUCCACUUGCGCCGUCACCUGCAAAGAAGAGAAACAAACAAAGGAAAAGAUAACACAAACAGUGGCAAAGAUCGGCUAUAAAAGCCAACAAAAUGUAACCUUUCUUUUCUUCGGGUACUCUUUGUAACAAAAGAGAGAUUAGCAAAAAGAAAUAAAAUACAAACUAAGUUUUAAGGUGAUUUCGAGUACUCUUCUUCGUUUUUCAUUUUAUUUCUUAUCUUUUUUUUGUUUAUUUAUAUAUGUAAAAUAAAGAAAAGUAAAAGGAAAAAAAAACUCACCUGAUUCGUUUUUCGGUUGCGUCGCCGUUGGGAUCUACCCAUCGUUGAAAUCGGCCUCGAAAGGCUGAGUUAAGGGGUCUCUCCUUUGGAUCUUUCGGCUAAAUGAGUCUAGCCUUCAAUUAGGCCUAGGAUCGGGGACUAAAUAGCCCUUUUGCGCAACGCCGACCACCACGCAUGGUGGCGCUACGGCGGCGCUGUGUGGGCUCAAAGUUCGGGCGUUUGAGAGGGGGAGGAGAAAGGUUUUCUUUUUUUUGUUUUGUUUUUUUAAAAGAAAAGAAGUGAGAUGGUGAAUAUUUUUUGAAAGAGUUUGGGUUUAAAUAACCCCCUAAAACGGCGCCGUUUGGGCUUAGGGUUCAGAGACCAAAAACGGCGUCGUUUUGGUCUCUGACCCGCGCGGUGACCCGACCCGAGGGAAGGAUCCGCGUGUUUUUGACUCUUGGGUUAUUUGCGCAAUUAGUCCCUUUGAUUCUGUAGCGAUUUCAUGGAAGUUUUUCGCAUAUUUGCAAUUUGGCCACAAAAUUUUAUUUUUGUCUCAAUUCGGUCCAUUACUGCGCAGCGUUUUGGGGCUUUGGUUUAUUUACGCUGUUAGUCCCCCUCUUUCAGCACGCGUUACGAUUUAGUCCUUCUUGUCCUUUUUUAUUUUUUAUUUUGCCCCGUAUUUUCGCUUUUAUUUCGAUUUAGUCCAUAUUUUAGCAAUUUUAUUAUUUAGUUAUUAUUAUUAUUAUUAUCUUAACUAUUAUUAUUAUUAUAUUUAUUAACAUUAUUGUUAUUAUUAUGCCCUUUUUUUUAUAUUCACUUAUGAAACUUUUAGAUAUAUUUGUUUUAAUAUAUUAUUAUCAUGAUUGUUUUUAUAUACAUAUACGUAUAUAUAUAUUUUUCUCACUUAUUUAAUAUAUAAAUACUCAAUUUUAUAUACAUACCUAUAUAUAUAUAUAUAUGUUUUUAUAUAUUAAAAUAUGUAUAUUAUUUAUAUAUUUUAUUUUAUUUUGUUAUAUUUUAUAAUCCAUAUAUGUAUAUAUUUUCAUCUACAUACAUAUGUUCUUAUGUUUUGUAAUAUUUAUGUAUUCCUUUCUUAAUAUAUAUAUGUACAUAUUUUAACCUUUGUAAACACAUAUACAUAUACACGCAUAUUUUAAUUUAUGUCCAUAUAUAUCUCUUUACAUUUAAUUGUAUUUACUACUUAUUUAUUUCAUUUUCUUUAUUAUUUUGAAUGAAUGUUUUAAUUUAUUUGUUUAUAUACAUUGUUAUUUUAUACGAUUGUAGGUAUGACUUUUAUUUAUUUUAUAUUGUUGCUAUUACUCGUAUCAUUUUUAUACUUUUGUGUGUGUAUUAUGAUUUUACCACGCAUAACAACAAUGUAAUUUGCUUUCACAUUUUACUACGAUUUUCGUGUUUUAUUUUACUUGAUAUAACAAAAAUUAGUUUUAAAAAAAUAAUAAAAUAAAAUUUCAUGUUUAGAUUCGAGAGGAUCGUACCCUAACUUACUAGGUUUCGAUUUUCAUAAUAAAUUUAAAUAUACGAAUCUUUUCAAACUCAAGUUUUUAAACGAUCUUGGGAAUUAAGAAAAGAUCGUGUCCUAACAUACUGGGCAUGAUUCAUUUUUUUAAACCCGAGAUAAUAAAAUAUCUUUUAAAUGAGUAAAUUUUCAGCAUUCGUUCGUGUAUCGGGAAUUUGAGAUAUUGUGUCCUAACUUACUGGAUGUGAUUCUCUUUCUCGAUUAACGUGAAAUAUGCCCAUUUUCCCAAAAUUUUUAACAUUUUAAUACAAGGAUCGUAUUUUUAAUUAGGUACCAAUUUCUGGGCAUUACGAGGGUGCUAAUCCUUCCUCGUACGUAACCGACUGCCGAACCUGAUUUCUGAAUUUCGUGGACCAAAAUCGUUGUUUUAAUAAAAUCAAAUCGUUUAUUAAAACCACUUUUCGAGGUGAUCCAAUCGCACCUCAUAAAAAAGGGAUUGGUGGCGACUCCCCUUUCAUUUUUUUGAAACCCAAGUCGACCCCGUUUUUCAUCAAAAAAAUGGUGUCAACAAAUAUUAAAAUAUUUUUCUGACUCAGAUUUGUAGUCCCAAAACCACUGUCCGACUAGGGUCUAAACCGGGCUGUUACAAAAUUAAUUUUAAAAUCAGUUAAAAUGGAUUAAGGUAAUUAAUUAUUGAGUAAUGAAAUACAUAAUCAAAUCAAUUGAUUUUGCUAGAAACUAAAAGAAAAAGGGAUAAGCUAAAAACUGAUUGCCCUUUAUUAAAAUUAACGAAUCCGCCUUUUACAUAUUAGAUAAUAUGAACAUCGCAUAUAUAAUAAGAAAAAUUACGUACGAUUAUUUAUUAUCAUAAAAGGUUAGUUUAAAUUUAAAGUAAUCUAAUAUGUUUAUUGAACUUCAACUAUUAAAUAAAGUAUAAGCAAAAUAUGUGUAAAUAUUCUAGAAACCAUUUCUAACUAAUGAUAGGCUAAUUUGGAAUUAAGAUUAAUAUAUAAAAACUAGAUAGUAGGGUUAUAGUCCUCAAACUACACCUAAUUUAAUAACAUUUAUAUUUUUUUUAGCCUUAAACAUUUAUAGUUUUUGUUAAUUUGGUCCUUACUCUUUAAAAGUACAUAAAAUUGCAAAAAUAUUUUAAAAAUUGCAAGAAAACAACUCCAAUGACACUAUUGAAGCCGACUCUGAAGCAGAUGUUCAUCAAGAUUGAAGAUUCCAGUUGAUUUCUUAAGAGAUUAUCAUGAGUUUAUUUAUUUCUUUGGGUUAUACUACCCUUUGGAUGUUUUUAUUUUUAAGCAUAAACUAAUUUUCAAAAUAUUUAAGAGAGAUGAACCCUAUGAUAGAUUGUGACACCCUAAACCUGACCGAGAUAGAUUGGACCGAAUUCGAAGCAUUACAUUAGCCACAUAAGUGCCUCUCCAGCUAACGACCACCCAAGACACACCCCGACCUUAUAACACCUCAAUCUUAUCUAAUUAUUAGUUAUUUAUUAAUGCAGAAGUAAAUUAUAAGCCAAUUUUAAACUUUUCCUAGAUAAUUUAACCUAAGGGCAAUUUUGUCAUUUUAUCACCUACUGUAAAACUAACCUUUUUAGAUCUAAGUGAUUACCAACCUUCUUUUAGUCAAAUUAUGCAAGCCUAAAAUUUUGAGCUUAAUUUGAGUUCGUUUACUAUGUCUAAUUCAAGUUUUAUUAUUAAGGACUGAAUUGUAACUCAAACAAAUUAGAAUACUAAUUUAAAGAGACAAAAAUUCAAAACCCCAAAACCCACACGGGCAUGUGGGUAAGUGACAGGGGUGUGUGGAGACUGGAGCUAUCACACACAGGCUUGUGGGAUUGAAAAAUAUGAAAUAAAUUAAUCCACUCAAUUUUCCAACAACCAUGCUAUACUACCAAACCAAAAAACACUUGAAGAUUUGAAUAGGGGCGAAUCUAAAAAAAGAAGAAGAAGAAGAAUUAGAAUUAAAUUAUAAAUUUUUGAGAAGUUAAAAUAUAAUUUUAUCAUGUAUUAAUUUAUUAUUUUUUAAAGGGUCUCAAUAGAAUUUUUUUUUCCAUUUUGGUUGGGCCAAUACCCCUGCCUGCCUCUUUAAAUUUGCUCCAACCCUAUACCCAAUAUUUGAUUUGGAUUAACAACAAUAUAUAGGUUAGUAUUUGUGGGAGUUUGACGAAUCUUAGAUGUUUAAAUUAUAAAUUUUUGAAAGAUUAAAAUAAAUUUGUAUUUUUUAUUAACAAAAGAAAAAAGAAAAAAAAACAUGUGUAGACAAGUCAAGAGACCUUUGGGAUCAUACGGGUGAUUUUGAUGAAGUUAAUGGUUAUUUUGGUGGAGAGGGUGAAAAGGAAACAAAUGAUUCAUUAUAUAUAAUAUAAUUAUGAAAUUCAAGCCAUAUAUUGUAUGUUUCAUACAUAAAAAUUUCAUGGGACGUCCAAAGGUUAACAUAUCAAUUGAUUUAUGAGUUUACACUUUUUUUAUAAUGUUGUACUUUUGGUUUUUGUGCAAUAUGAUACAUAUAUUUGGUAAAAAGUUAUAUAUUUUGAUACUUAAAGGUAACAUUGUUAAUUUUUUAGUGUUUUAUCUGAAUUUUAGAGUUUAUUUAAUGAACAUUAAUUGUUAAUAUUGUUUUGUUUAUUUUUUUAUGAUUUUGUUAAUAAAAUAAAUUUCAUGUUAAUCUUGUUAUCUUUCUUAUUUUAGAAUUGAUUACAUGAAAGUUAAUUGCUAAUAUUAUUAGUUAACUAUUAGUUUUCUUCAAAUCAAAUUAAAACCCGAAAGGUCCCUCUUUUUUUAUAUUAGUUUUAGUUAUCCAUUAAAUUUGUUUCUUUGUAAUAAAAUUAAAUUAUAGAAAUAACAUUAAAAUUUUCAAUAAAAAUAAUUCACAAUAAUUAUACAGAAUUUAAUUUUCUUUCAAAUGCUACAGUUAAUAAGGAAAGUGAAUAUAGUACAUAUCAAUAAAACUUUUAAAAAAGAAAUAUUGUUUAAUUAGUUAAUUUAAAAAUUAGCGUCUAAAAACUGUCAGAAUGAAAUAUUAGAUUUUAUAAGAUUUCAUUAUUCUAAAAAAUAAAAUAUGACAAUGCUUAAAAAUUUUAUUAAAAAAGUUUUAAAUUUUAUAUAAAAUUUAAAAAAAUAUAAAAUAGUACUAAAAAUUUUUAUAAGCAAAUUUAAAUAUUAAUUAGUAAAUUAUUUUUGUAAUAUUUAUAUGUAUUUUCAUUUUUAUAAAUACUAUUAAAACUUAUUUAAAAAAAUUGAAUGCUAUUAUAUGAAAGUUAAAAUGAUCUAAAAACAUUUUUUAAAAUUUUAAAUACUUUAUAAAAUAUUUAAAAUAUUUUAAAUUAUAUCAUAUAUAUUCUACAUAUAUUAAGAUUCUGAAUCAUUAAUUAUAUAUCUACAUAUUAUAAUAAAUUCAUCUUUCAAAAUUUUCCUAAACUAUAUUCAUAAUAUUAUAAAUAUAUUAUAUCAUAAAUAUUCUUUCAAAUGUUUUUAAUGUUUAUUAAUAAGUUAAUUUAUAAAAUAUUCUUUCAGUAAAUUAACGUGAUGAGAUCGUUAGUUGCUUGGAUUUGGUGAUGGGGACGAGGAGAAAAGGGAUGGAAGUGAAGAGAAAUGUUGGGAAAUUGAAAGGGUUAGCGAGGGAGGCCUCCAUGAAAGGUGGUUCUAUGGAUAUGAACCUUCAAGCUUUUGUGGAUGAUGUUGCUCAAGGUUGUUGCAAGUAAAUUUAAAAAUGUUUUUUUAAUUAUUUUUUGUUAAAAAAUAUUUUUUCUAUGUGAUAACUUCUGAUGAUUUUUGUCUGUAACAUUAGACAGGUUAAUAGUUAAAUCGUUCAAACUGACAGAUUUCGCUAAAGGGAGAGGUCAAUUGAUUUUUUUUGGAAUCAUUGAGAACUCAAUUGGUGCACUUUUUUCAUAAAGACUAAAUUAAUUUUUUAAUUUGUUAUCGCUGAGGGCUACAGUAAUAAAAAAUUUUGAGGCAAAAAUGGAAUAACGUCCCAAAAAUCUAAUACUUAAUUUGUAAAAUUUUAUCAUUAAUAAAUAUUUGCCUUAGUGGUUAAGUAUUCAAGACGUGUCUAUAAUAUCUUGUAUUCAAGUCCUUAUGUGAAUGGAUUGUUAUUAUUUUUUUUGCGCGGGUCGGGUAGGAGGUUGAGUUUGAGUCCAGUUCGAACUCUGGAAAAAGGUGGUUAGUUAUCUGAGAUGGGGUUAGUGCUUAGUAGAUUUGGAUUUGGUUUAUUUUAAAAUUUAUUAAUUAAUUUGUUAAAAAAUUAAAUAGUUUUUUCCUAAUUUUUGGCUCACCAUUCUUUCUUUUGUUUUUCUUUAUGCUUUCUUUUUCUUUUCUUUUUCUGUUACCUUUCAAAUCACGUCGAUUUGUUCCUAUUUUGCUUUUGAGUUUUUCUUUUCUUUCCUUUACGCUCCUCUACGAUCGUGUCUUAAUUCCUUCAUUAUUUUCUCUUUGUUGGCGUUGCUCGUUCGAGAGUGGAUUAGUUUCCGUUUUGAUGUGUUUUUACGUGGUUAAUAAAAGAAAUGUGUUAAUUUUUGGAUUAUGGAGUUGAUCGUUUUUAAUCAAUUCUCCAGUAAGUUGACUCGUUUGCUGUUGUAAUGUGCUAGGGUAAGAGAUUAAUUCUGAUUUGGGCCUGUGUGGUUGUGUAGAUUUUCCAUGUGAAUUCGUUUGGUAUUUUUAGGUUAAAUCAUUCUUUAAAUCGUAUUGCUACCAUCGCUAAUGUGAUGUUUUAAUUUAUGCAUUUAGGAUCUGGUAGUCUUGUAGGUGUUUUCGCAUAAACAAUUCGAACCAUGUGUAACGAAAAACUCGACAAUAACGAGCGACGAAAGCUAAAAAAUUGCACUGUCGAUGCCACACGGUCAUGUGACAAGCCAUGUGCUAGACCGUGUGCAACACACGAUCUGGGCUAGUUGAGCCGUGUGGAACAAGAAACUAAGAAAAUCCAAUCUAACAAAGAAAAUAACUUGAUGUCCAAAAGCUACCAUGAACCGUAAUUCAUGGGAAGGCUUGUUGCUCAUUUUAUUGGUUUCCAUUUUGACUUUUGCAAAAGAAGUUUGAAUUUUGAAGAGAGCCUAGUACGUGAGAGCAAAAGAAAGAAUUCUAUAAAGAUUUUGAAUUUUGAAUUUUGAAUUUUGAAGCAAAUUUUCAUUAAGAUUGAAGAUUUGUAAUUGAUUUCUUAGGAGAUUAUCACGAGUUCCUUAAUUUUUUCAGUUAUAUUGCCCUUUGGAUGUUUUUAUUUUUAAUCAUGAACUAAUUUUCUAAAUACGUAAGAGAGAUGAACCCUAUGAUAGAUUGUGACACCCCAAAGCCGACCGGGAUAGACCGGCCCAAAUUCGAAGCAUUACAUUAGCAACCUAAGUGACUCACUAGCUAACGACCACCCAAAACACACCCCGACCUUAUAACACCUCAAUCUUAUUUAAUUAUUAGUUAUUUUAGAGAUUCUUAGCUUUGACAACUUCUCUCCACCACUUCUCUUACGCUCCUUCCAGGAUCUUGCUUUUUGUCUGUUGAAAACUCAAAUGAACAAAAUAAAGUGAAUUUAUGAGUUUUGUUUUCUUUUAAAAAUAUUUUUAAUAUUUUUGUGGAUAUCAAGAGAUACCAAAAAUUAUUUCAUUAAGAAAUUUUAAUUCACUCGAAAAGUUAGUGUUUUAUUUCAAGGGAUCAUAAUUAAUCAUUAGAUUUCUGAAUUUUAAAUUUUGAAUUUUUUGACAAUUGCGUAAUUAAUAAGUACCAAUUUUGAGUGUUGUAGGGCUAGUACANNNNNNNNNNNNNNNNNNNNNNNNNNNNNNNNNNNNNNNNNNNNNNNNNNNNNNNNNNNNNNNNNNNNNNNNNNNNNNNNNNNNNNNNNNNNNNNNNNNNAUUUGUCCUUAUACUUUGAUCUAAAUAUUUUGAUCUAAUAAAUGUAAAAAAACCUUUUAAACAAAAUAAGGUUGAAAUAAUCUAUUUGUCUUUAUACUUUGAUAAAAUUUAAGAUUUAGUCUGUAUACCUAAAAGGUUAAAAAUUAAGUCUUCUUGUUUUUAUUUAAAAAUCUUAGUCCUAUCGUUAAUUUUUUUUUGUUAAAAUUUAUCAACUUGACAUAUUAAUUAGGUUUCCCUUAUAUGUCGUGGUAUACGACUAACACAAAAUAAACAAGUUGACAAAUUCUGACAAAAAAUAUCAAAGAUGGUAAUAAUUUAAUUAAAAUUUUUAAAUUGAAAAAGUAGGGAAUUAAAUUUAUAACUUUUAAAGUACAAAAAAUGAACUUAUUGAAAUACAAGAACUAACAACAUAUGUUAAAAUAUUACUAGUAAAUUAUAUAUCUACAACAAGAAUUGUAAAAUUCUGCACCUUUCGUUAUAAUAUGAUUUAUUAAUUUUAAAUUUUUUACAGAAUAAUAUGCUUUAAACUAUUUUUUGUAUCAUUUAUAAAAAUUAUAAUAAACUUACAAAAUGAUUUCAUCAUAUUUAAUUAUUAACGGGAAAAAAUGAUACCAUAUAUAUUUUGUAUAUAUUAAGAUUCCGAAUCAUUAAUUAUAUAUCUACACAUUAUAAUAAAUUUAUCUUUCAAAAUUUUCCUUAUAAUUAAAUCAUAAAUUACAUUUAUAAUAUUAAAAAUAUAUUAUAUCAUAAAUAUUCUUUCAAAUAUUUUUUAAUGUUUAAUAAUAAGUUAAUUUAUAAAAUAUUCUUUCAAGAAAUUAACGUGAUGAGAUCAUUAGGUGCUUGGAUUUGGUGAUGGGGGAUGAAGAGAAAAGGGAUGGAAGUGAAGAAAAAUGUUGAGAAAUGGAAAGGGUUAGCGAGGGAAGCCGCCAUGAAAGUUUAUUGGUUCUAUGGAUAUGAACCUUCAAGCUUUUGUGGAUGAUGUUACUCAAAGGUUGUUGCAAGUAAAAUUUAAAAAAAAAAAGAGGUAAAAAGAAAAAAAUAUUAGAGCUAAAUUUGUCAUUAUGACUAAAAUGUAAAACCAAAAUUUUUUAAAAAUGGAAAAUUUACAAAUUUUGUCACUUAUGUUUGCUUAAAAUUAUAGUUUUGGUCACCAAUCUUUUAAAGUAAAUAUAUGGUCACCAAUAUUAUCCAUUUGUUACUUUGUAAUAACUCACCUUAAACUUCAGUAAUUGACGAGCGCUUUCACAAACUGUGGAUGACUUGGGGAUAAGAACUUCAACAAUUCUAGAGUUAAAGUGUAAAUUUACUAUUAUAUUAUAAGUAAAUAUUGAAAUUUAUCACUAUAAUUGAUACUUGUCAUUACACUUUGAAAAUAUAAAUAAAUUUACCAUUUAACUCAUAUGUGAUAGAACUUUACAAGUAAACUUAAAAUUUUAUUUAAUUUUGUCACUAAAUUUGAUUUAUUUAAUUAAAUUUACAACUCAAUAUAGAUUUUGGUGACUUAAAAUAAAAUUAAUAAAAAAAACUAUUCUUUCAGAUAAUUUUUUAAUGUUUAAUAAUAAGUUGAUUUAUAAAAUAUACUUUCAUUGGACACAAGCAUCCAAGGCGGUGAACAAACCACUUGUCAAAUUAAUUUGGAGAUGUCUUUUUUUCUAAAUCAAGUAAAUUUAUGAGUUUUGCAUUUUUUAUAAAAAUAUUUUUAAUAUUUUUGUGGAUACCAAGAGAUUAGGGGUGAGCAAAACUCGAUUCGACUNNNNNNNNNNNNNNNNNNNNNNNNNNNNNNNNNNNNNNNNNNNNNNNNNNNNNNNNNNNNNNNNNNNNNNNNNNNNNNNNNNNNNNNNNNNNNNNNNNNNUAUUUUUUAAUUCCAAAAUACAUAGUGACAAGAAUCUGAAGAUAAUUGAAACAACUAAGCAAGCAAAGAAGCUAAUCAGUAUAUAAAAAAUUAAUAAAUAAAUUAUGAGGUGAUGAAAGUUAAUAAAAAAUUUGAUUAAGGUAGACAAAUUUUAUUACGAUGGGUGACAGCGGUUACAAGGACCCAAAAUUAUUUUUUAAAAUUUAACUCGAAUAAAUAUAUUCGAUUCGAUUCGAUUCGAAUUCCAUCUCACUCGACUCGAUUCGAGAAAACUUCAAAUAAAGGUAGGAUGAUAAAAUAAGAUUUGAAAACUCGAUUAACUCGAAAAUUUUUGAUUCGAUUCGAUUCGAUUCGAUCGAAUGCUCACCCCUACAAGAGAUACCAAAAAUUAUUUCACUAAGGAAUAAAUUAGUGUUUUAUUUUAAGAGUUCACAAUUAAACAUUAAAUUUUUUAUUUUUAAAUUUAGAAUUUCUUGACAAACGCGUAAUUAAUAAGUACUAAUUUUGGGUGUUGUAGGGUUAUUACAAUCUUGCCUACACGUAACAGAUUCUUAAACCUACUUUUUUUUUCUAGAACUCAAUGCAAACCUCAAAUUUAUCUUUUUAAAAAAAUUUUAAAAUAUCUAUAUAAAAGGUGAUUUUUUUUAUCGAUCACACUUAAGAAAUUUUAAAAAUUAUUAAUUUUUUUGAAAUUUAAAUUGAUCUAAAAACAUAUUUUUAAGUGCUUUAACCAUCUGGUGCUAAUUUCUUUAUUAUAUUAAAUGCUUGCAAUCACUCCUGAUAUAUUAUACUUGAGUUGUGACAGAGCCAAUUAUCAACGUGCCAUAAUGUUCUAUUGGUGCUGAAACUGAAGUUUUAGUUAUAUUAAUAGAGCUUGUCCUUCAACGCGUAUAAUAAGUGUUUGUUAUUUUUUUCCUUCAAAUUGUAUGAUCUCAUUCAUUAAAUGAAUUAAUGAAUUUCUUUUUAAAAAUAUAAUUCUAAAAAUUAAAUACUUUAUAAAAUAUUUAAAACUAUUUAAAAAAUUGUAAGCGAUAAAACAAUCAACAAGAUAUAUUUUUCUCUAAAAAAAUCAAUAAAAAUAUGUUUGAAAUUUUAUAUGAAAUUUAAAAUUUUUUAACAAUAAUAUAUUUUAAAAUUAUUUACACCUUUUUUUUAUAUAUUUUUCCUAACAUAUCGUUAUUUUCAACACUAUCGCAAUCCUGUUUUGGUAAUUCCCUUUCCAUACAUCCUUUUUCUACAUAGAAUUUCGAAAGAAAAUGUGAAUUAAUGCAGACUUGAGAAGACUUAGUGGUAAGUCACCCAAUGAAAGUGACCUAAACCGACUUAUGGAACAAUCAAACAAUAAUUUUGUAUCUUAUAAUAUAUUUAAUUACAUUUAUUAGUUUAUCAAUCAAAACUUAAUUAGAAUCCAUCAAUAUUUCACACAUAGCAUAAAAUUCACUUUUAAAGUAUUUGGGUUGUAUUUAUAUUAUAGGAAAUAGACUUAUUCUUGAUGCACAUGUUUUAUUAUAUUUAAAAAUUAAAAUAUAUGAUUGAUUGGGUUUUAGUUGAGUUAGUAUUAGUAUUGUUAUCACUAUAUGAAAAAGUGAGCUCGAUCAUGCUCAAAUGCGUUUUAUCCUCCAAUUCAAGAGUUGAGAAAAAAUUAUUGAUAAUUAAAUUAUACAAUAUCUAAAAAGCAUUUAUAAAUAAUAUAAGAAAAAAAAAGAAAAAAAGAAGAGAAACAUAUUCAUAUCGAUGGGCUCUUUCAUUAUUAGAAUUUUAUUCUCUCACAAGUAAAAGUAUUUAUGGAGAGGAUCAUGUAAAAUAAUGACCUGAAUAAUUUUAAACGUUUCAUCAUUACAAAAAUGAAAUAAUAGAAAAGAAAGACUACCCAUUUUAUGAAAUAUAAAUUUUAAAUGAAUUUUAAAAUCUUUUUAUAGAAAGCUAUUUUUUUAGGUGAUUCACCAAAGAAUAAAAAGAUGGGAGGUGAUUCCUCCUUUUUAAUAAAACCUUGUGCUUUUACAAACACCAAAUUAUUCCUAAGCUUUACAUUAAUAUACAUGAUUUAUUUUUUCGUUAUUAUUAUUUCUAUGAUUAUAAUAUUAUACUUAUUGGACUAUAAUCAUAACCAUGUUUAUUAUCAUUCAAUAAAAAGAAAUAAGUGUUGGAUGUAAUGGCAAGGUACAUUACAAUCUUAAUAGGAGAUUAGGGUUUUGGACAAAGGAAGAAUAUGAUUUGAAUUUUGGAGACGACAUUCUUAAAAUGAGCAACCACGGGGCCCGAUUAUGAACCAUAAAAUGAACAUGAAAAGUACCCAAAAAAACACGUCUAUUAUCCAAUUAGUAAUCCAUCCCAAGGCUUAAAUUAACAAAAUUCACCAUGCAACCGUGUAGACUAUUUUAUGUAUAUACUAUAUUUAUUCUUCAUGCAAAUGUUUAUUAUAUUUAAAAAUUAAAAUAUAUGAUUGAUUGAGUUUUAGUUGAGUUAAUAUCGAUAUUGUUGUUAGUGCAAAAGAAUGUGAGUUCAAUCAUGUUUAAACGCGUUUUAUCUUCCAAUUUAGGAGUUGGAGAGGAUUCUCAAUAGUUAAAUUAUAUAAUUUUUUGUCUAUUUAAAAUUGGUUUAUAAAUAAUAUAAAUAAAAAGAUUUAAAAUAUAUAUAUUCAUAUUGAUCGGCGUUUUCAUUAUUAGACUUUUUUCCCUACAGGUAAAAGUAUUUAUGGACAGGAUGAUGUAAAAUUAUGACCUAAAUAAUUUUAAACCUUUCAUCAUUGCAAAAAUGAAAAUAAUAGAAAUGAAAGACUAGCCAUUGUAUGAAAUUUGGCAGGCCAUGUCAAUUUCGUAGAUUUGCACUCUGAACUGUGAAAAAAAUACAAAUUUUAGGUUUUUCAAGCAUUUUAAUUCGUAUAUAUGAAAAAAAAAAAAAAAGAAGAUAGGAGAGAACCUUCCUAGAAUAUUUAAGAAAACAGCUCCAAAGACACUAUUGAAGCCGACUCUAAAGCAGAUUUUCAUCAAGAUUGAAUAUUCCCAGUUGAUUUCUUAAGAGAUUAUCAUGAGUUUCUUUAUUUCUUUCGGUUAUACUGCCCUUUGGAUGUUUUAAUUUUUAAGCAUGAACUAAUUUUCUAAAUACCUAAGAGAGAUGAACCCUAUGAUAGAUUGUGGCACCCCAAACCCGAUCAGGAUAGAGCAGCUCGAAUUCGAAGCAUUACAUUAGCCACCUAAGUGACUCUCCAGCUAGCGACCACCCAGGACACACCCCAACCUUGUAACACCUCAAUCUUGUUUAAUUAUUAGUUAUUUAUUAUUGCAGAAGUAAAUUAUGAGCCAAUUUCAAACUUUUCCUAGGUAAUUUAACCAAAGGGCAAUUUUGUCAUUUUACCACCUAUUGUAAAACUAACUUGAUUUUAGAUCUAAGUGUUUACCAACCUUCUUUUACUCAAAUUAUGCAAGCCUAAAUUUUUUAGCUUAAUUUGAGUUUGUUUACUAUGUCUAAUUCAAGUUUUAUUAUUAAUGACUAAAUUGUAACUCAAACAAAUUAGAAUAUAAUUUAAAGAGAAAAAAAUUCCAAACCCCAAAACUAACACGGGCAUGUGGGUAAGUGACACGGGCAUGUGGAGACUGGAGCUAUCACACAUGGGCGAGUGGGAUUGAAAAAUAUGAAAUAAAUUAAUCCACUUAAUUUUCCAACUACCAUGCUAUACUACCAAACCAAAUAACGCUUGAAGUUUUGAAUAGGGGCGAAUCUAAAAAAUAUUAGAAGAAUUAUAAUUAAAUUAUAAAAUUUUGAGAAGUUAUCAUGUAUUAAUUUUUUAUUUUUAAAGGGUCUUCAUAGAAUUUUUUUUCACAUUUUGGUUGGGCCAAUACCCCUGUCUGCCUCUUUAAAUUUGCUUGAACCCUAAACCCAAUAUUCGAUUUGUUGUGGAAGUUUGAUGCAUAAAAAUUUCUUUUUUAGAGGUUUAAAUUAUAAAUUUUUGAAAGAUUAAAAUAAAUUUGUCUUUUUUUUAUUAACAAAAUAUAAAAAGAAAAAAAAAACAUGUUUAGACAAGCCAAGAAACCUUUGGGAUCAUACAGGUGAUUUUGAUGAUGUCUCAUCCAUAAAAAUAAUCUCUUUAUACUGUAGGCUUGCUGAAUUUCUUUGAAAGGCCCAAAGGUAAUUUAACAUUCACAAAAUAAUCUCUAAAUACUGUAAAGACAAAUCAAAUCCACAGCAGCAUUAGAGUUGAUUAAGCUAAGCAUUGGCAAAUAUUACUUUGAUUUUGCAUGCAAUAUUGGCAAAACCCCCUCCUACAUUAGAAAAACAACAUAAUCCAUGUAACAUUGAUAGCCCAAUACAAAUUUCAUCAAGAAAAAAGUCUCUUUGUUUAUUUGUAGAACAUGAUAGUAAAGAUAUGGAGUUUCGUACGUUCUUCUUGUUGUCCUCCUUUAGUUUCCCUUGAUCAACAACCACUAGCCAAAAACACAAUUAGAUUAGAUUAUGAAUGAUACUUUCAACUAUGACAAUAUUAAAUACAAAACACUCUAAAUAACUCUAAAUAAAUGGAAAGCAGCAAAUUACCUGAUAAGGCAAGUUAGCUGAAUUAAGACCAUUGUGUUAUACUUGUCUUUGAAUUGAAAAUUUUAGAAGAAAAUAAAGAGAAAAAGUUAGAAAAUACUUGAAAACAGAUAAAACUUAUAUGUCAUUGAUUGGAUAAACUACAAUCACCUAUAAUAGACCUUGUACUUGACUUUUGUUGAGGGAGAUCGACUCCUUUAGGAGAAGUCUUUUGAGUGUUGUUUGCUAGGCAAUCGGUGCUGCCCUCAACAACUAAUGGUAGUGUCCCCAUGUCGGGAUUUAAAAUUUAUAUUGAAUUACUUUAUACUUAAAUUUAUGAGAACCACGUAUUUAGAACUUAAAUUUGUGUUUUAAAAUAACUUAUGAUAAAUAAUGAAAUGUAUAAUUUGAAACUAUUUAAUAAUAACACAUAGCACAUCUACUAUGUUAAAAUAAAAAUAGAUUAAAUUGUAAGUAAAACAUAAUUUAAACAUAUGAAUACAUCAAAUUAAGAAUAAUAAAUGAAUACAGUUAUUUAUGAAGAGAGCAUACUACGUGAGAGCAAAAGAAAAAAUAUAGUUUAUUAAUUUUUACGAAUACCGACAUAUUAUAUAUACGAUUAAAAUUCAGAAUAGAUUAAAAAUGUUGAAUUAAACAUAAAAUUAAGUNNNNNNNNNNNNNNNNNNNNNNNNNNNNNNNNNNNNNNNNNNNNNNNNNNNNNNNNNNNNNNNNNNNNNNNNNNNNNNNNNNNNNNNNNNNNNNNNNNNNNNNNNNNNNNNNNNNNNNNNNNNNNNNNNNNNNNNNNNNNNNNNNNNNNNNNNNNNNNNNNNNNNNNNNNNNNNNNNNNNNNNNNNNNNNNNNNNNNNNNNNNNNNNNNNNNNNNNNNNNNNNNNNNNNNNNNNNNNNNNNNNNNNNNNNNNNNNNNNNNNNNNNNNNNNNNNNNNNNNNNNNNNNNNNNNNNNNNNNNNNNNNNNNNNNNNNNNNNNNNNNNNNNNNNNNNNNNNNNNNNNNNNNNNNNNNNNNNNNNNNNNNNNNNNNNNNNNNNNNNNNNNNNNNNNNNNNNNNNNNNNNNNNNNNNNNNNNNNNNNNNNNNNNNNNNNNNNNNNNNNNNNNNNNNNNNNNNNNNNNNNNNNNNNNNNNNNNNNNNNNNNNNNNNNNNNNNNNNNNNNNNNNNNNNNNNNNNNNNNNNNNNNNNNNNNNNNNNNNNNNNNNNNNNNNNNNNNNNNNNNNNNNNNNNNNNNNNNNNNNNNNNNNNNNNNNNNNNNNNNNNNNNNNNNNNNNNNNNNNNNNNNNNNNNNNNNNNNNNNNNNNNNNNNNNNNNNNNNNNNNNNNNNNNNNNNNNNNNNNNNNNNNNNNNNNNNNNNNNNNNNNNNNNNNNNNNNNNNNNNNNNNNNNNNNNNNNNNNNNNNNNNNNNNNNNNNNNNNNNNNNNNNNNNNNNNNNNNNNNNNNNNNNNNNNNNNNNNNNNNNNNNNNNNNNNNNNNNNNNNNNNNNNNNNNNNNNNNNNNNNNNNNNNNNNNNNNNNNNNNNNNNNNNNNNNNNNNNNNNNNNNNNNNNNNNNNNNNNNNNNNNNNNNNNNNNNNNNNNNNNNNNNNNNNNNNNNNNNNNNNNNNNNNNNNNNNNNNNNNNNNNNNNNNNNNNNNNNNNNNNNNNNNNNNNNNNNNNNNNNNNNNNNNNNNNNNNNNNNNNNNNNNNNNNNNNNNNNNNNNNNNNNNNNNNNNNNNNNNNNNNNNNNNNNNNNNNNNNNNNNNNNNNNNNNNNNNNNNNNNNNNNNNNNNNNNNNNNNNNNNNNNNNNNNNNNNNNNNNNNNNNNNNNNNNNNNNNNNNNNNNNNNNNNNNNNNNNNNNNNNNNNNNNNNNNNNNNNNNNNNNNNNNNNNNNNNNNNNNNNNNNNNNNNNNNNNNNNNNNNNNNNNNNNNNNNNNNNNNNNNNNNNNNNNNNNNNNNNNNNNNNNNNNNNNNNNNNNNNNNNNNNNNNNNNNNNNNNNNNNNNNNNNNNNNNNNNNNNNNNNNNNNNNCCAUUCCAUCUGAAAGCUCCCUUUAUAUACAUAUCCAAAACUCCUGAACCAAGCAUAUUGCUUUCCUCAAAUCAUAGUGCUCGUGAAAGUUCAGCAUGUGAAAUUCUUCUCGGUGUCUUCAAAGACAACAAAUCAUCUUUAAUUGGUAAAGCUGUACUCCUCCUUUGGCAUCUUCUAUACAUAAUAGUUAAGACUAUUAGUACUACGACAAUACCAAUUGUUGGUAAACCAUACCUAAAAGCAUGCAAUAUAAUCAUUUGAGAGUUCUUGUGGAUGUCGUUUUUGCAAGGUGGGACUAGCAAUCUAGGUGGACCACAAAGAGCAUAAUUCUUCAUGAAUGAUGUACUAGAAAAGUUUGAAAAACAUCCUUUGCUGGGAAUUUCCCCUUCAAGUCUAUUGGAAGACACAUUAAAAUACUUUAGAUGUAAAAGCUUUUCCAAAGAUUUGGGAAUGACUCCAGAGAGACUGUUAUUGCAUAAAUCCAAGAAUUCCAAACUAGUCAACCCAUCAAAUGAUUCAGGGAUAUGACCAUGUAGUAUAUUAUUUGAUAAAUCUAAUGAAACCAAAGUUUGAAGACCCCCAAAUGAGGAUAAGAUAUCGCCCGUGAGAAGAUUCCUUGAAAAAUUUAGUUUCAGUAGACUCCUCAAAUUUCCAACAUCAAUAGCAUGUGAAUUGUGAAGAUGGUUUGAUGAUAAAUCUAUUUCUAAGAUAUCUUUAAGAUUCCACAAAGUUGAGGGUAUUGUAGAACUCAAUUUGUUGGAAUCUAAGUAAAGAUAUCCCAAAGAAGUUAAAUUACCCAAACAAGAGGGUAUGGAUCCAUGCAGCUUAUUCAACCCUAAAGACAUCUCGUAUAGUCUCUCCAAAUCACAAAGGCUUUCUAAGAUGGGCCCUCCUAAUUUAUUAGAGGAAAGAUCUAGAGCUUGGAGAUUUCGCAGUCCUCCUAUUGAUGCUGGAAUGAAUCCACUUAAUUUAUUAUGGCGAAGUUGUAAAAGCAAAAGGUUGGUUAAGUUACCUAUUUCCAUAGGAAUAAUGCCUUGAAGCUCACAAUUAGAGGCAUAAAAGUAUUGAAGGGAUUUUGAAAGGUUCCCGAUAUAAGUAGGAAGAACGCCACUCAAUGGAUUUCCUGAAACAAUUAUUCUUUUCAAAUGCUUGCAAUUCGUCAAAGAAGAAAGAAAGCUCCACUCAUGAUCAGUAGCAGAUCCUGUGAUCAAAUUAUUGUUUACGAUUCGGAACCAUUCAAGGUGUCUUAAGUUGCCAAGCGUUUUAGGGAUUGGGCCAGAGAAUAAGUUAUCUCCCAAGUCUAGUUCCUUCAGCAUGGAAGCAUUGGAGAUAGAGUUGGGAAUGUUUCCUCUAAGUUUAUUUCCCCACAAUACAAGAAUCUCAAGCUUUGGAGCAUUGGUGAUGGGUGGUAAAUUACCUGUAAAAUAGCAUCUUUUAGUAUACAUAUUCACAAAAUAUAUAAUACACUAAUAAUUUUUUAAAAUAUUGUAAAACUUGAAAUAAAAUAAAAAUAAAAGUUUGGCAUGAGAAUAUGGCAUCUAAUCAAUCUUAAAAAUGAGAUUGAGACUGAAUAAUAAUUAGUUAUGAUUUGGGAAACAAAAAUGUUAAAGCCAUUAUUUAUCUUUAUUAAAUUAUAGUGUAAAAUUUAAAGAUUAUUAUUUGCUCAAAAUUUUUGUAUUUUUCGUAUGUUUGAAAUUUAAUCUUCAUAUUUUUUUAUUUUCUGUGAUUUAGUCUCUCUACUUUUUGAAUUGAAAAUUUUAGGUUCAUCUAUUAACACUGUUAAAAAGUUUUUGUGUUAGUAUGGCAUUUUGAAAAAUAAAACAAACUUGAUAUCUAUGUUUUUAAUUAUUCCAAAUAUUGUUUUACUAUUUCAAGAUAAAUUAUUUGUGUCUAGACCAAUAUCUUAAGAACUAUUGUUGUAUGUUUAAUUAUUCUAAAGAAUUGUCGAUUGAGUGUCAGCUUGAUUGGCAUGUACAUUGUUGCUAAUGUAGGAGAAUGUGGGUUUAAGUAUGCUGAAGUGCAUUAUCCCCCUAUUUAAGAAUUGGGGAGUUUGUAAAGUACUAAAUUUUGAUAUAUUUUUUAAAAUAUUAAAAUAUUAUUAAAAUAUUUUUUAUAAAAUUGAUUGUACCUCAAUAUACAAUUUUAAUAUCAAAUUUUUAAUUUUUUUAAAAAUAUUAGCGGAUAUAUACUUUAUUUCAAGUUACACAAUUUUUUUCCAGUUUUUAACCCUCUUUUUUUAAUUUUAAUUAUCUUUUAUAAUUUCUGAUAAUUUUUUACAAUAUUUAACAAUUUCUAACUAUUUUUAAUAAUUUUAUUAUUAAUCACAAAUUUAAAAAUUAACAAAUUUUUAUUUUUAAAAAAAUUAUAUAUUUAUAAUGUAGUUAUUUUUUAUAAUUUUAUUUGAAAUUUUAAAAAAAAAUUGGUUUUUUUAGAUGAUGAUGUCAUCAUGAUGUCAUCAUAUGACACUUGGCAAUUUAUGAUUAGUUGGAUAUCUCAAUCUAUUUUUUUAACGUCCAAUAGAUUAAACCGAGAAUACCUGAUAAUGUUAGAGACUACACUAGGAAUGUUUGAUAAUAUUAGGUACUAAAGUGGGCCAAAAAAAAAAAAGAGCAAUAUGGUGUAGGGAAUAAACUAUGCAUUAAGCCAUUAAAAAUAUAUCUAUAAUAUAUAUAAAUGCAUGGAUUUUGAGAAACUUUUGAACUGAUAAUUAUAUAGUCUUUCUUGUUUACUAUAUUAUUGAAUUUGUUAUUUUAAAUAUUUUUUAUUACUUUUAAGAUUUAUAUAAGAAUUGUGGUUUUACUAAAAUAUUUGGUUAAGUAAAUUCACUUCAUAAGAAAAUUUAGCAUCCUUAUAAAUAACAAUUUUGAUUCUAUUAAAAAUAUUAUUUUAAAAAAUAUAUAAUAAUAAAUUAAUUAUUUUUUUAAGCUUAAUGAUUUUUCGAGUUUCUCGUUACACUUCUAGUUCUAUUUUAACACGAAAGCAAACACAAGAUAACCAUUACCUAAUACGAAAACCAAAUCACCAAUUGAGACAAAUUUUCUGGAACCCGAUUUACAAAAUCAAUUUUACCAAUAACAAAGUUAAUGAUGAAAUUAAGUCCAAAUCUCCAACCUUGAUUCUUACCCUCAAGAAAAAGUAGUCCAAAUAACGAUUCUAAGUCGUCGAGUAACUAAUCGCCUUGUGAACUACACCUAAAACCAAAACAAUUGAUUAACAUCGAUAAAUCACACCAACCAGAACUCAAAAUAAUCGAAGCUAACGAAGGCAAGAUUCCAUAACAGAAGAGAAGUAGGCAAUACUUACGCACGAAUCAAAUUACACUCAACAUAGCAGAGUAUCCACCACCGAUUCGGAAAGGCAUAAAGAACAACAUUCAAGAAUGAACAAAAGAUUGAGAAAAGAACAAGAGCAGGAAAAAGAAACGAAAAUUGAGGGCCUUCUCUACUAAAAUCCACGUGAAAGAAACGAAAGUAAUAAAGAAAAAAAAAAAUAGAACCAGAAAGGGGAAAGAAAAAAAUGGAGAACAUGUAAACAAAUGGGAGCAAAAAUUGGGGAUUGGAAUUAUUUUAAUCAAUUAAUUCCCCACCAUUUAAAAAAACAAUAAAAUAAAAUAAAUAUCUUAAUAACCACCCACUAAACUUAGAUAAUUACCCAGAUUCUUUUCAAGAAUUUGAAUUUAAUCUAAACUUAUCCACUUGAACAACACAAAGCAUAAAAUAUUUCACUUGCUUGCAUGGAAGCUUGAAUACAUGACCAAAGAGUACUCAAGAAUUUAACCACUAAACCAGUAAAUUUAUUCUUGUCAUAGAUUUAACGAUAAUAAUAUUUAAGCUGGAUAAACAGAGAUAGACUUAGAAACAAAAAUAAUUGAAUUUUCCCAAAGAAGUGCAACUUAAACUCAAGACCUUAAACUCACAAUUAAGAGACUUCACCACUAAAACAAACACUUUCUAAUGACAAAUUUUAACAAAUUAUGUAUACGAAAUUUGGGAUGUUACACGGAAAGUGGAGGGAUGGGAGGAAGGAGUGAACAAGUGGAAAUAAAAUAAAUUGAGUAUGAUUAAUUGGAAAGAAAGUGAGAGGAAAGAAGAUAAGAGAAAUGAUCAUUUUCCAUUCCAAUGAAUAAAAAUGAAUCAUUCCAAAUUGGAAAGAUGAGAUGAGAGAAAAUGAUAAAUAUGUGUAUGUUAGUUUAAAAGAAUGCAUUUUUGAAAUGAUUUAUUUUCUUUCCUUUCAUUUUUUCAACUCUACCAAGCAUUGAAUGGAACUGGAAUAAAAAUUGAAAGUAGAAAACUAGAAGGAUGAAAAACAUAAUUUUUUAUUUUCAUUUUUCUAUUUUUCCUACCAAACACAACUAUGAAAUUUUCUACCCGUUAAAUCUUCCAUUCUUUCAAUUUUUGUUACACUCUAGACAGCAAAACUUAAAUGUUGAAAAUUUAAUUCCAUAGCAGAUAGAUUACGAAGUGAAACUAAACGCUAAAAUGAUUAUAUUAUGAAUAUGAAAUCUCCAUUAAUUCUGAAACUGUAUUACCAAUGAAGAAGUAUUGAUUUCUAAUUGUAAAAAUGUGACGACAACAGGUUUACUUUUACAAGUAAGAAUUUUUUGAGCAUCCUUCAUAUUUUUACAAUUAAAAGCCAACUCCAUAGCCAAUUUGCUUUGACAAUGAACUGUGUAUCUUCAAGACUUCCAGCUUCAGUACAGAUUAAGUUGAGCAUUGGAUGAACUUGCCAAGGCUUCUCAGACCAUUGCACUUCUUCCACUAUAUUCAGCAUUUCUUGGAAAUAUUCAUGCAAUACUAUUGGUAACAUGGCUCUUUGACAUUAGAAAAGUAGCAAAAUUUGUGGAACUUUGAUAGCCCCAUUGACAAUAAGGAAUGAUGGGUUCCAUUCUUCUUAUUAAUCUCCCUUUUUUCCCCUUGAUUAAGCACUGGUUAUUUGAAAGCAAAACACAUAGUUGGAUUAGAUUGUAAAAUUAGCACCUAAAAACAUAAUUUUCAUUUUAGCACAGGGUGAUUUAGAUGAAACAACUCUAAUUUUUAAAACAAAUGCUGAACACACAUUAACUGAAAGGAACAAACCUGAAGAGGCAAGGAAGCUCAACCAAGACCACUGUGAUCUAUUUGUCUCAACAUUAAACAAUUAAAGAAGAUUAGAUAGAAACUUAGAGAACACUUCCAAAGAUAUAAGCUUUCUUCAAUUCAUCAAACGAUUACAUAAAUUUCUUAAAUUGCAAUCAAACAUAACAAACCUUAUACUUGACUAAAAGUAAACCAGCUUCCUCAUCAUUUAGGCUUCUCUACCAAGCAAUGUUUCAAAUGUUACAAGGCUCAGCAUGGAACCCAUGGAUAGGUUUUAGGAGGCCUCUCUGAUACAGAAACAAUAUGAAGUGCAUUAACAGAUCAACAACUCCUAUUGGUAGGAAAUUCAAACAUCCUUAGUUUAAGAAAAUUACAUUUUAAUAGAUCAAAUUCAGUAUAGAAUAUCUUUACCUUGUUCUUAGCUUGGCGCCUUUGACUUGUCAGCCAUGUUACAAUACGAUUCAAUUGCUUUAACUCACCUUCUGGGGUUCGAUACCUCAAAAACUUUUAACGCCAAUGACAAGAUAACAAAUAAUUUAACAAGUAAAUGAAAUUGAAAUGCAUACCUUAAAACUCCUUUUUGGUACAAAAGUAAAAACACAUUUUACAGAAAAGAAAGCAAGGAAAAAUCCAAAUAUAGAAGUACAACAAUGUUGAAAUCCCAAGAAAAGAUAAAAGAACAUGAAAAUUAACUAACACAAGCAACUAAGUAGACAAAUAAUCAGUCUAACACAGAAAUAACUUAAUCCCCCAAUGCUAUCAUAGAGUGAAAUUGUUGGAAGGGUCUGCUUCUGCUACUACUUCUGCUGUUGAGAGACUUGCAAAGAGAUCCUAGUACAUAAGGGCAAAUGAGUGAGCAAAGAGUUUACGUAUUAUAUAUGGAACAUGAUUCAUCGAGGAUGAAUCUUAUAUAUAUAUAUAUAUGGUUAAAAUACAAAAAUAAAAUUAAAUAUGGAGUUAAACACGUUACCAAGAGUAAGUUAAUAACCACAAGCAUACUCAUCGUUCGAUGAUGUUUAGAAACCUUUGUUUGAUCUUUUUUAGCUCAACCACAACAUCCUUCAUAUCUUUUCUUUCUUCUGGCAACUCAGCUGAACAAUCCAAAGCUAACUCCAUGAUAGAAGAAAUACAAUUUGCUUUAAUAACAAAAUUCUCAUCCUCUCUUCUUAAUAAAUCAGCAUCCACAAUGUCUAUCAUUCCUUCAGAUAAUAAUCUUUUCACCCAAUGCCUUAUGGUCAUUUCAUCACCAAAAAUUUCAUCUGUUGGCUUUUUCCUAGUGAAAGUUUCUAUGAGGACAAUUCCAUAACUAUAGAUGUCACAUUUUAUAGAAACAAUUCCCGUUGAUCCAAAUUCUGCAUUUCAAGCAUAAGUAAUCCUGAAUUAUUUCUAAUAUGUUUACCACUAUAUAUAGACAUACACGAAAAAUAAUCAUUAAUUAAAAAACUCAAAAAUUCACCUGGUGCCAUAUAACUAAUAGUUGCAAGAGUCAUGGUUUGCUUCACUACAUCACCUUCUCCCAACAAUUUCGCAAUGCCAAAAUCUCCCACAUGAGCAACCAUGUCUUCAUCUAGUAGAAUAUUGCUUGGUUUUAGGUCACAAUGAAUUAUAGGUGUUGGAUGUCCAGUGUGGAGAUAUUCUAGAGCAGCCGCAACAUCUACCAUUAUGUUGAUCCUUUGUAUGAUAUCAAGGAAACAACUGUUUGAAUGUAACCAUUUCUCAAGAUUUCCAUUAGACAUGAAAUCAAGCACCAAGGCUUUGAAGUCAACAUUGGAGCAGCAAGUAAUGACCUUGACAAGAUUACGAUGAACUAUGUUACGCAUAGCUUCACAUUCAAUGUCAAAACUCCUAAAUGCUCCUUCUAUUUGCAAAUUGAAAACUUUUGUUGCAACUUCCAUUCCAUCCGAAAGCCUCCCUUUAUAUACAUAUCCAAAACUUCCUGAACCAAGCAUAUUGUGCUCCUCAAAUCCACUAGUUGCCCGUGAAAGUUCGUCAUGUGAAAUUCUUCUUCAUGUUCCCAAACGUAGUGAAUCAUCCGUAAUUGGUAGAGUUGUACUCCUAAUUCGGAAUCUUCUAUACAUAAUAACUAAGACUAGUAGUAACAUGACAAUACAAAUUAUUGGUAAACCGAACCUUAAAUCAUGCAAUACACCCAUCUUGGAAUUUUUGCGGAUGUCAUUUUUGCAAGGUGGGACUAGCAAUCUUGGUGGACCACAAAGUGCAUAAUUCUUCAUGAAUGAUGUGCUCGGAAAGUUUGGAAAACAUCCUUUGGUAGGAAUUUCCCCUUCAAGUCUAUUGAAAGACACGUUAAAAUACUUUAGAUAUAAAAGCUUUUCCAAAGAUUUGGGAAUAACUCCAGAGAGAUCGUUAUUGCAUAAAUUUAAAAAUGUCAAACUAACCAAACCACCAAAUGAUUCGGGGAUAUGACCAUGUAGUAUAUUAUUUGAUAAAUCUAAUAAAACCAAAGUUUCAAGACCUCCAAAUGUGGACAAGAUAUCUCCUGUGAAAAGAUUCCUUGAUAAAUUUAGUUUCAGCAGACUCCUCAAAUCUCCAACAUCAAGAGCAUGUGAAUCGUUAAGGCAGAUUGAUGAUAAAUCUACUUCUAAUAUAUGUUUAAGUUUCCACAAAGUUGAGGGUAUUGCCGAACUCAAUUUGUUGGAAUUUAAAUAAAGAUAUCUCAAAGAAGUAAUAUUACCCAAACAAGAGGGUAUGGAUCCAUCCAGCUUAUUCAACCCUAAAAACAUCUCGUAUAGUCUCUCCAAACCACGAGGCUUUUUAAGAUAGGUCCUCCUAAUUUAUUUGAGGAAAGAUCUAGAAUUUUUCAUUCCUCCAAUUGAUGUCGGAAUAAAACCACUUAAUUUAUUAUGGUCAAGUUGUAAAAGUAAUAGGUUGCUUAAGUUACCUAUUUCUAUUGGAAUAUUGCCUUUAAGCUCACAAUCAAUAGCGUAAAAGUAUAUAAGGGAUGCUGAAAGGUUCCCAAUAUUAGUAGGAAGAGUGCCAUUCAAAGGAUUUUCUGAAAUAUCUACUCUUGUCAAAUUCUUGCAAUUUGUCAAAGAAGAAAGAAAGGUCCACUCAUGAUUUAUAGUAGAUCCCAUGGUCAAAUAGUUGUUUGCUAUUCGGAACCAUUCAAGGUGUCGUAAGUUACCAAACGUUUCAGGAAUUGGGCCGGAGAAGAAGUUAUCUCCCAAGUCUAGAAGCUUAAGCAUGGAAGCAUUCAAGAUAGAGUUGGGAAUGUUUCCGCGAAGUUUAUUUCGAUGCAACGAAAGAACAUUCAGCUUUGGAGCCUCGAUCAUGGGUGGCAAGGUACCUGUAAAAGUUUCAUCUUUUAGUGUGUGUAUAUAUAUAUAUAUAUAUAUAUAUAUAUUCAUUCAAUACCAAAUUCUCGAUAUAUAUAAUAAACAAAUACAGUUUUAAAAGGAAAAUUGUAAAACUUCAAAUCAAAUAAAAAUAAAAAUUUCACAUGGAAAAAUGCAAUUAAAUCAAUAUUAAAAAUGACACAUAAUAAGAAGUUCUGAAUAGUAAUUAGUCACUUAUGAUUUGUAUUAAAUAAUAAAAAUAAAUAUAACCAUUUUUAAUAAAGUGUGCAUAAAAAAUUAAAAUAAAAUUUUGAUUAAUUGAUAAAUUUAAGGUUUUACAUAUUGAUGUGAGUUCAAAUCUCACCAUAAUUUUUUUUGCUUUUUUUAAAUAAAAAGUAUUAAAUACCUUUAAAUAAUAAAAUUUAUUUUAAAUACAAAAGAAUAUUAUUAUAAUUUCUCUAAUCGAGUUUGUGCUUGGUUAACUCUUGACACUUAACCAAGCACCAACUUAAUAAGACACUUAAAUUACAAUAUAGAUAUUCACAAUCACCAAAAAAGUAAAAACUUUAUAGUUUCUAAUAACAAAUUUUAAUGAUUUAUAUAACAAGAAACUUUCUAAUUCACAUAAUUUUUUUUAUAAAUAAUAUAUUUAUAUAAUCUAAUCUAUUAUAUUUAUAUUAAUUAUAUAUCAUCAGUAAAUUUUUAUGAUCAAUUUACUGAUUAUUAAGAAGAGUAAAAAAUUAAAUUAAAAUAAUGAAUAAUUUAAUUUACAAUAAACUAUUUUUUACAUUUUGUACAUAUGCUUUAUGAUGAUAAUUAAAAAAAUGUAUUAACACUAUUUCUGAAUUAACAAAAAUAAUUAAUAUAUUUUAAUUAUAUUUAUUAUUUAUUAUUUUGAAUAAUAUUGCUUUUUUUAAUUACAUGAAAUAAAAAUAUAUUAAUUAUAUAUUAAAUAUGAUACAUAUGCUUUAAUUAUGGCUUAAAUUUUAUUAAUAUAUUUGAACUAUUAAAUAAACUAAAAUAUUUUAAUUAUGUUUAGCCAUUUGAAUAAAAAACUAAUUAAAAAAUUUAUUUAAAAAAUUAAAUGUGUAAAAUCAAGUGGAAUAUCAUAAUCUAUAUAUAUAUAAAUUUAUAAUGUGAGAAAUGAUUAUAUGAAACUGAGAUAUCAUGCCAUUUGUAUUUCUAGUAAUUUAAUGUCAUUUUAUUAUUUUCAUUUUAAAUUUCAGCAUAUCGUGUUGGAUUGAAUUUUUUUUUCAGGAGAAAAAUGUUGAAAUGACAUUAAAUUAUUGAAAAUGAAUACAAAUGACAUGGUAUCUCAAUUUCAUAUAAUCUCUUUUCAUUUCAUGUAUAUGUAAUACGUGGUUGUUUCAAUUUUUAAAAUAAAAUAUAUUUUCCACAUUGGUUUCUUUUCUUCCAAAGAUUAAGUAUUUCUAAUAUUUUUAUAUUUGUUACUUAUAUAAAAUAGAUUAGUUUAUGCAAUAAAAAAUUAAUUACUUUUUUAAAGCUUAAUGGAAAUUAAAAGUUUUAAAAUAAAUCAAUUCAAUUAAAUUUUAUUGUUUAUUAUCAAAUUAAUAAAUUUUAAUGAAGUAUAUGAUCAAAAAAGAAGAAACAAAUGAAAGUGAAAAACCUACCUUCCAAAUUGUUGUCAUAUAGAUAUAUUCCUUCGAGCAUAGUUGAAUUAAAAAUGCUUUUCGGAAUCAGCCCACUGAAUUUAAUUUCUAAUAAACUUAGCAUCUGAAGCUUGUAACAUUCACCUAUACUUGAUGGAAUAUUACCAGAUAAUUCAUUUGCAUCCAAGUAAAGCCCUUCAAGCUUGGGACAAAGGUGACACAAAGCAUUAGGCAAACUACCUGCACAAAUAGUUGAAACAUCAGGGUGUUAAACUACAUAUUUUGUUAGCAUAAGUCAAAAGAGGUUUUCUUUUCUAUUCUAGAGUAAUUUGGAGAUGUUAGAUUUUAAUAUAAUUAAGUGUAGAUUUUCUCAUCAAGUUAACUAUUUUACCUUGAAUGAAAUAAAAUGUUCUUACUUUUGUUAUCCAUUACAAAUCAAACUCUUUUAUUAAAAAAAACUUUAAAUUAAAGAAAUCAAGGAAAUUCAGUACCUUCUAAGUUAUUCAACCCCAAAUCUAAUUCUUCAAGUCUAGUCAGAUUUCCAAUACUUUUUGGAAUGAUCCCCGUAAAUUGAUUGAAGUACAAUGAGAAAUAUUUAAGGUUGUUGCAUUUGCCUAAACUUGAUGGAAUGCUACCGGAUAAUCUAUUCAAACUCAAAUGAAGCACUUCAAGCUUGGGAAGAUGUCGACACAUAUCAUUAGGCAAACUACCUGAUAGGCUAUUUCUGAAGAGACUAAUAAACUUCAGAGAAGAAAUCUUGAAGAUGGAAGAUGGAGCCUAGCCAGAUAAUUGAUUCAAUCCCAUAUUCAAGAUCUCUAGAUUGGACAUGUUAACAAGUGUUUGAGGGAUUGUGCCUGAAAUGUUAUUAUUUUCCAUUUGCAACCUUCGAACUCUGUGUAAGUUCCCAAGCCAUGAUGGAAUUUCCCCAUUAAGACGGUUGUAGCUUAAUCGAAUGAUCCUCAAACGAUGCAAUUGGCCCAAUUCUUUAGGCAGAUGGCCAUAGAAAUUGUUGCUACUCAAGUCGAGAGAAAGUAGAAAUGAAAGAUUUCCAAGGUGUGGAGAGAUAGUACCGCUAAGAUUCAUGCUUGCAAGAUUCAAAGCUAUUACUCUUUUAUGGAGGAUGCCACAUGAAACACCAAUCCAAUUACAAACAGAGGUAGAGGCCGUCCAACUGUUUGCCAAGACAUUUUGAGGACCAGCAAUGCGAUCCUUAAACUCGAGAAGCGCAAACUGAUCGGAGUUUAGAUUCCUGGCUGUCAUAGCCAAGCAAAGUACGGAACAUGGUAUGAAAAAAGCUAAAACAAGAUGAAAGCAAGUGUUGUAGUUCAUGAUUGCAAGACGGAAUAAGGCAAGAAAAUAAAAAGUAGGAAAAGGGAAGUUGAAUUGAUAAAAUAGCCCAGAGAGCAUGCUUUAAUAUGUUUCAACCCUCCCACACUUCUCCUACAUUAAAUUCAGUGGUGUUACAACAUUAAUCCAGAUUUUACAUUUUAUCGUGGAACUUUAUAAAUUUUUAUGAUGAAAAAUGUAUUUCAUAAAUUUAAGACUACGCUAAAAAUUAGAAAGGAAAGCAAAUUUUUGCAGAAAUUUCAAAAUAAAUUUUCAAAAAUACGUACUAAGAAGCAAAUUUUCAAAAUUUCUCCUAAAUUUUCUUCACAAUAGUCCACAUAAUCCAUAAAAAAAUUAAGAAAUAUAAUAUUUUUAAUUACUAUAUAUUCUUUUAUUUUUUUCACAAUAACAAAUUGGUUAAAAUAUGCUAUUAAUCCCAAUACUUUUUCAAUUUAAAAAUUCUAGUCCAAUCUAGGCCUGUUUUUGACAUUUUUGGAGCCCUAGCCGAAACUAUAAAUCAGAUCUUUUAAAAAAAUAUAAAAUGUAAUACAAUAAAAUAAAUCAAAUACUUGUAAUUUCAUUAAAAUAAUACGUUUUAUGACAUUAAGCAAAUAAUAUAUUUUUCUAACAAAAUUUUAAAUUUUUUUUCAUUCAACCUACUCCUAUGUCAUCAAUUACAAAACACAAAAAAUUAUAAAAAAAUAUGUUCUACGAGAAUUCUGAGAUGCAAAAUCAUUAAUGAUAACAUCAACAUCAAUAUUUUCCGAAAAAUCCUUCUUGGUUGAUAAUAUUGUCAGACCAUUCAACAGUUCUUGCGACAUUGACAACUUCAAGAUUCAUUUCUCUAAUAGGCUCCUUUUCGACUAAAAUGUCUCUAGUUUUGUUAUCAAGAUUAGCCCAAUUUCUAGGAUGACAAAUAUCCAAAGAAGGAAUCGUUUGUUCUUCAUCAAUGUCAAUGUCAUGAGGAAUUGCUUGUUCUUAAUUAAGAUCAAGAUUUUCAAGAUUUGAUAUAUUUGGCACAUUAUUAUGCUCAUUUGGAUCAUUAAUUUCAUCAUUCUUGUUGACAUCAUUGUGCAAACUCUCAUUUGAUUGAUCCAAAUUUACUAAAAACUACAUUUUUAAAAACGAAUUUAUCAAUAGGACCUUUCUGUGAUAUUUUUUUUAACUCUUCAGCAUGUUUUCUCUUUUUCUUUUUUUUCACUUUUAGAUAAAUGCUUUUUAGGCAACACUAUAUAUAAAAGAUAAAUCAAUUACUUAAGUAACACAAGAAAAUAAACAAUAGCACCUGAUAAAAGAUUCUAAGUUGAAUAUUUGCUUUCACAUUUGGUAAUUCCAAAACUCAAAUCGAGCGACUGUAAUUCUUUAAAGGCUUAAGGGUGCAAAAAGCCCUCAAACUUUUUCAAAAAGAGUAAUUAAGCACUUGCUUUUUUUUUUUUUACACUCAUUUGGUUACUUGAACUUUCAAAAAUACAUAAAAAAAAACCCUUAAACUGUAACACACCAAAAUUUAUAAUUUUGUUAUUGUGAAAAUUUGCCACACAAAUAUCUGUUAGCUAUAGUGGUUACUUGUUUUGGGAGUGUUUGGGAGGUCCCAAGUUCAAGCAUUUGCUUGGGAAAAUUUUGGUAUUUUGAAUGAAUUAGGCCUUACUCUUGUUCAAUGGGCUUUUAUUUGAUUGUUGGGUAAAUUACAUUAGAAUGGGUCUAUUGGUUUGGUGGUUAAAUGGUGUGUUAUUAUGGUGGAGGUAUUGUGUUCAAAUCCCUAUGCAGGCAAGGGUAUUAUUAUUAUUUGCUCAGAUUUCGGGAUAGAGUUGCGUAAUAGGUGGAUUUUGAGUAGUGGAUAUGUAGUGAGAAUUAGGGGAGAAGAUUAAGGGAUUUUAGGGGUUAUCGAGAUUUUAAUUUAUUUUUUCCAUAACCGAAUUUUGACUCUUUUUUCCAAAAAAAUUUUGCCGUCUAUUUUUCUUCCUCUCCUCUUGCCAAAAAUCUCUGAAUUUUUCCAUCUUUCUCUUCUUUUUCUUAUUCUUGAUUUUUCCCUAAUGCAUUUAUUUUCCUUCGUUUUCGCACGCGGUUAGUGCUACCUUAGUUCUGGUAAGUAUUUCUCUUCGUUUCUGUCAUGAAUCUCCUAUCGACUGAAGUGGUAAUGUUUUUUCUCUAUGAUUUGGGCGUAGGGGGCUCUACUGGUGAAUUCAGUGUUUUUGUCUUAACAAUAGUUAAACAGAGGGUUAUUGUUGGUAGUAAGUUGGGUUUCUGGUCGUUCUUGGUUGUCAAUUUGCUUGUAAAUCCGUUAAAUUGAUAUUGAGUAUCUUGAUUAUAGGAUUUGGAGUGCUCGAGGACUAUUUUAGAAUCAAACAAAACCAGGUGUGUACCAAAAAUGCAAAAAAAAGGAUUCGACAAAAAGUCAAAAUUGUUUGCUGUUUGGACAGCAACAGUAGGCUAAAUUUAUAAAAUUGUCAUAAAUUGUGGAAAUAGAAUUAGAGGAUGAACAAAAUAUGGAAUUCAAGCUUAUUUAGUAUAGUUUCUCAUAAAAGAAACAGUGUAAGUAAUGAAACUAUAAAUCAUGAGUUAUAAUAAACUUUGUGAGACAAGAUCAAAAUGAAUUCGGGUUCCCCUAUUUUGACUUUGGAAAAUCAUUAAAAAUUGGAGAAAAAUAAUUAGGGCUUAAAAUUUACAUGUUUAAAUUAUUAAUGAGUCUAUUUUCAAUAGAAAAAGAUGGAAACUUCAUCCAAAUUUUUUACAAAAAGAUAAUUAAUUUUUAGCAAAGAAUGGUCAAAGCUAGCAAACAAAAAAUAGUGGUAAGUUUGAAGAUUUUACUAUACGUAUUGGCUGAAGCAAAAAUUCUUAAAAUUUUAUGGUGGAAAGGUAUCUAAGUCUAGUUUCAAAAACAUUAAGAAAAUUUUAAUUUAAAAUUCUGUAGCUCAAGAUAUAAAUAAUUUAGUAACAGUGACUCAAGUAGACAGCUUUGAAGGAACACACAAUUAAAUAGUGAAAACAUAUAUGAAUAUUUAACUAGCACGGGUUACAUUAAAAAUGGAUCACGUGACCAAGGCCAAUUUGUGCUGAGUGGGCCACAUGGAUAUGUGAACCCAUUUUUUUGAAAAGUUUUGUAAGGUUGUACGGGUCGCCCAAGUCGACUGUGGACCUACUAUAGGGUCGGUAAGAUUUACUUAGAUCCCUAUAUAUGUGAUCUAUCUGUUUGAUUUCUAUACCGAGCAUGACUUAUGAUAUCUGAAUGUAUGUACUAUUAAUUGCAUAAUGGCAUGACAUAUUUUGUAUGUUGCAUUGCAUCGGGGUGGGUUGAUGAUAUUUGGACGAAGUGUCUAAAAGGCUAUUAAGCAUGUUAUCUGGUAGCUCAGCUGCAACAUUCUAAUUAUGUGCCGCAUUUUAGUACAACAUUGUGUGUAGGGAUGGAUGGAUUGAUUUAAUCCCCAUAUGAUGUGUAGGGUUGGACGGAGAUGGUGUGUAGAGGCUGGUGGGUGACGGAGAUGGUGUGUAGAGGCUAGUAGGUAGGAUUCUAAGUUACUGUAUCUGAUAUGGGCUAAGGCCGUAAUGUAUUUCUUAGACUGUAUCUGAACGGGCUAAAGCCCAAACUAAUUCUUUGACGGGCCUAGGCCCCAGACUGUAUCUAACUGAACUCUGUUGAUUAUUUGUAUGUAUGUUUUUCGUGGAGAUUACACACAGAGUUUGCAAAAACUCACCCUUUCUUUGUUUAAUCUAUACAGGUAAUCCCCAGACUUUACGGGUUAGUGUAGCGGAGGACUCGACGGUGCCACACGUAAGUUUCUGACUGUUUUUCGCUAAUUCCUAGAAUUUAUUACUUAUUUGGGGUUUUGAUGUAUCUUCUGGAUUAUGAAUUGGUUGGCUUUAAAUUUGAGACUUUAUGCUAUUUUUACUUUUUUUAAACUGCAACUCCACAAAACACGAUUUUUUUCUAAAAAUUAAUGAUUUUCGUAAAUAGAAGUGAUUUUUCGUAAAUUAAUUGGUUACAAAAGUUUCCGCUAAGAGACAAGUUUUAAAGCAAAUCAACUAGUUUUUUUUCGAAUUAAAUAAAAGCUAACUUACUAUAACGGUUUUUAAACUCAACAAUCUUCUCUUCAAAUUUACUGUAACAGUUUUUAAACUCAACAAUCUUCUCUUCAAAUCCCUUUCUAUGUGACAUUGCCAGAUUCGACCAUAACGUCUAGAUUGGGUUUGUGAUGUUAGAUUUAGUGGUAUGAGAGCCAGAUUAGAAAACUCAGUUGUGGGUUUGGGUUUUAAAACUUUGUUUUAAAGAAAUGAUUUUUAAAUGGUUUGAAAUAUUUUUAACUUACUAUGUGAUACACUGAGUCUCCAGUGCCGAUUCUGUAAGUGUUCUAAAAACUGUGAUAAGUUUUUGAAAAUAUGAGUAGUAUAUUCUAAAACUACUAUAAGUAGUACAUUGUACUGAGAACACUAUAGAUAGUGUAUACUGAAAAGAGUAACGAAACUGAAAACUGUAGUAAGACUGCGAUUUGUGAUAACAAACUCUAAACUUCUGAUACUAUUUUGCAUAAAAUAUAUACUAAUAGAUAUAGAAACUAUAACUAAUUCAUAAAACUGUUAGUGUUACAAAUUCUACGAUGAGCGCACGAGGUAUCCGCGGACGGGGUACUAGAGGCCGAGGUAGAGGUCGUAGAAGGGUUCGAGCUGAGUCUUCAUUGUUAGACAGCAUGCUGAAUAUGGAUACAAGUGAGAUGCCAGUUUUACCUGCUACAUAGACUGGGUCUCAUAAUCAUAUGGCUGGGGACGUCGCCUUGUCCCAGGCUAUGCUGAGGAUACUAGAGAGGGUCAGUGGGCCUAACACUGGAUCUAGAGGUCGACGGUCAGUUACGGACUUUGGUCUAAUGUGGAUGAACUAUUCAGUGGUUUCAUCGGAGUCACCCCUAACGUGGCCGAGUAUUAGAUGGAGGCCACAAAAAGAAUCAUGGAUGACCUGGACUUUACCCCUGAACAGAAAUUGAAAGAGGCUGUUUCUUUACUUUGUGAUAAAGCAUACCAAUGGCGGCUGACCGUUAAGGAGGGCACUUAGCCCGAACGACUAACUUAGGAUUUUUAUAAGUCUAAUUUUCAAAGUAAAUAUGAGGUCGAGUUUUUGAGAUUGAACCGCUAUGUGUGAGGCAUGGUGGUGAUUGAAUAUGAGCAUUGUGUCCACUUCGAGGAUGGACUUAGGGAUAGUUUGAGAGCUCUGAUAGCUCUGCAAAGGGAGUGUGACUUUUAACACUAGUAGAUAAGGCUUAGACCACAGAGGAGGUGAAGCGUGCUGAGUGUCAAAACUGGGAUAAGAAGAGAGGGAAGAAUAAGAGGAAUUCAGAGCCCUCAAAUUCUAUGAUGAGGCCUAAAAAAUGUCAGAUUUGGUGGGCCAGUUAGAGUUGGGGCACUUUUGCACCUAUUAGGAUCACGCAUUGUGGGCAUUCUGGAAGACAUCAUCCGAGCAAAUGUUGGAGGACGACUGGAGCUUAUUUAAGAUGUGGGUCUACUGAGUACUGUGUUCAAGAAGUCUGCUGAGGGCCAAUCAGGUGCAAGCUCUGGGCUCUAGUACUACACAACCACUAAGGGUAGUUCAGUAGCCACUUAGGGGCCGUGGUCAAGCUAGAGGUGGUAAUGGUAUGGGUUGUGGGUAGAGAGCAUUGGGCAGAGGUGCUGGACAGGCUAGGGAGAGACAGUCGACCCUGCUACUCAUCAUCGAGAGGAUAGAGAUGCUUCAAACAUCAUCACGGGUACGUUUCUUAUUUUUGGUGUGCUUUACACUGCAUUGAUAGAUAUAGGAUCUACACAUUCCUAUGUUGUUUGUUCUGUUUCCAAAAACCUAGGGAUUUCAGUUGAGAGUACUUCUAGUUAGGUGACUAUGUUGAACCUGCUGGGUUAAUCUGUUAGAGUUAGCAAAUAGUAUAGGGAUGUUCAUUAAGAGGUUCAAUAGAUGAAAUUUCUGGAUGAUUUGAUAGAGCUUUCAUUUGGGGAGUUCGAUAUGAUAUUGGGGAUGGACUGGUUAGUCAAGCACCAUGUCAUUUUAGAUUGUACGACUGAGAGGGUCGUAUUGAGAACUGAAGGGGGUAAUGAAGUAGUUGUGAUUGGAAAAUAUCGAAAUUACUUGGCUAAUGUGAUCUCUACAUUGGUAGUUGAGAAACUGGUUUGCAAGGGAUGUGAGAUGUAUUUGGCCUACAUAAGUGUUUUUACUUCUAAGGACUCUACUGUUAAGGACAUCAGAACUGUAAGGGAUUUUCUGGAAGUCUUUCCUGAGGAGCUACCAGGUUUACCUUUGAAUCGAGAAGUGGAGUUUGGGAUUGAGCUUUUCCUUGGUGCAACUUCAGUGUCUAUCGCUCCUUAUCGAAUGGCACCAAAGGAGCUUAUAGAGCUCAAGGCUCAAAUUCGGGAGUUAUUGGAUCGUGGGUUCAUCCACCCUACUAUGUCUCCAUGGGGGCACUGGUACUAUUUAUUAAGAAAAAGAAUAGAUCCAUGAGGAUAUGUUUAGACUACUGAUAACUAAAUAAGUUGACUAUUAAGAACAAGCAUCCACUUUUGUUGACUGAUGAUUUGUUUGACCAGUUUCGAGGGGCAUCUGUGUUCUCCAAAAUUAACUUACAUUCUGGGUAUCAUCAGUUGAGGGUUAAGGAGACUGAUGUACAUAAGACGAUAUUUAGGACUCGUUAUGGUCACUAUGAAUACCUAGAUCAGUUUGCAGUGGUGUUCAUCGAUGACAUAUUGUUUAUUCGAGGACUGAGGAUGAGUAUGAUGAGUACCUUAGGAUUAUUCUUUAGAUUUUAAGGGAAAAAUAGCUCGAUGCCAAGUUCAGCAAGUGCGAGUUUUGGUUACGUGAAGUAACAUUUUAGGGUCAUGUGGUGUCUGCUAAGGGGAUUCAAGUCGAUCCUCAAAAAAUUAAGGUUGUAUUGGAUUGGAAGCAAGCUAAGAAUGUGUUUGAGAUCCACGCUUUUUGGGGCUAGUAGGUUAUUGCCAACGGUUUGCGGAAGGAUUUCACUGAUCGCAACACCCUUGACUAAGCUAUUACGUAAAGGUGUACCUUUUGACUAGACUAAUACGUAGCAAAAGAGCUUUGAGAAGCUUAAAACUGUACUGACUGAGGCUCUUAUUUUGGUACAGCCUGAACCUGGAAAGGAGUUCACGGCUUAUAGUGAUGCAUCACAUGUCAGUUUGGGAUGUGUGUUGAUGCAGGAUGGUAAGUUGGUUGUAUAUAUGUCUCAUCAGCUUAAGGCUCACGAGAUGAACUAUUCGAUGCACGAUUUAGAGUUGGCCACUGUAGUCUUUGUAUAAGAAUCUGGAGGCAUUAUCUGUACAAUGAGAAGUGUAUUAUCUACACCGAUCAUAAAAGCCUCAAGUAUCUCUUCACUCAGAAGGAGUUAAAUCUUAGGCAGCGUAGAUGAGUUGAGCUGCUUAAGGAAUAUGAUUGUACCAUUGAGUACAAUCCCGGUAAGGCCGAUGUGGUGGCUGAUGCAUUGAGCAGUAGGGCUAUGACAGAUGUAAGAGCCUUGUUAGCUCGACUUAGCCUACUCGACGAUAGAAGUCUAUUGGUAGAACUUUAGGUUAAACAGACAUGGAUUGAACAGAUUCGAGGUAAACAGUUAGGGGACAAGUCUCUCAGGUUGCAUUUCCAUCCUGUUGAGAAUUGUGAUACUACUGAUUUUGAGAUAAACAGUGAUGGGGUACUUCGUUUCUGCGGUCAGAUUUGUGUACCAAAUGAUAAGGAUUUAAGGCAGUCGAUUCUGAAGGAGGCGUAUGGUAGUCCCUAUACUAUGCAUCCUGGCAGGAACAAGAUGUAUCAAGAUCUUUAGAAAUUAUACUAGUAGCUAGGGUUGAAGUGUGAUAUUACUAACUUCAUCGCUCGCUGUUUGACUUGUUAGCAGGUUAAGUCUGACCAUCUGUUACCUUCGGGUUUGCUACAGCCAGUUAAGAUACUGUUAUGGAAAUGGGAGCGAGUAACGAUGGACUUUGUUAGUGGGUUACCUCUAACACCCACUAAAAAGGAUUCUAUGUAGGUCAUCAUAGAUCGAUUGAUCAAGUCUGCUCACUUCAUCCCAGUAAUGACAGACAUUUCUCUUCAGAAAUUAGUUAAGCUCUAUAUAUCAGAAAUAAUAAGACUACAUGGGGUACCUGUCUCGAUUAUUUUCGAUAGGGAUCCUCGUUUCACGUUUUAAUUUUGAAAGAGGCUUCAUGAGGCUCUGGGUUCAAUAUUAGAUUUCAGUACUGCUUUCCAUCCUCAGACAGAUGGUCAGUCAGAGAGGGUGAUUCAGAUACUGGAGAACAUGUUGAGGAGUUAUGUUAUUGAUAUCUGAGGUAGUUGGGAGGAGUACUUACUGUUAGCAGAGUUUACCUACAAUAAUAGCUUCCAAUCUAGCAUCCAGAUGGUACCUUACAAGGCACUGUAUGGUCGUAAGUGCCGCACUCUUUUAUGUUAGACUGAGUUGGAGCGACGUGUUCUAGGUCCUGAGUUGGUGUCUGAGACAGAGGAUAAUGUUAGAUUGAUUUGGGAUCGUUUGAAAGCGGCUUCUGAUAGGCAAAAAUCUUAUGCGGAUUUGAAGAGGUGUGAGAUCGAGAAUCCUGUGGGGGACUUAGUUUUUCUUAAGGUCCUUCCAUGGAAAAAGGUUCUGAGGUUCAAUUGCUAGGGCAAUCUGAGCCCACAAUUUAUUGGACCUUAUCACAUUUUGAAACAUGUGGGACCUGUCACUUAUCAAUUAGAGUUACCUACGGAGUUAGACUACAUUCAUGAUGUUUUUCACGUUUUGAUGUUAAGGCAUUACCGCUCUGAUCUUGCAUGUUGUUUCUGUUGAGGAGAUUGAGGUUAGGCCAGACUUGACUUUCGAAGAUGAGCCGGUUCAGAUUCUGGAGCGUGAUGUAAAGGUCCUUCAGAAAAAGUCUAUUCCCUUAAUGAAGGUUAUUUGGCAUAAUAAUAGCACUAAGGACGCCACGUAGGAGCCUGAGGAUAUGAUGUGUCAGCAAUAUCUUCAUAUAUUUUGAUCAGGUAAAAUUUCAAGGAUGAAAUUUUCUUUUAGGAGGUAGGGUUAUAACGCCCCAAAAUUUUUAAUUUCAUUAUUGUAAAAAUAUGACACAAAUAUCUGUCAGUUUUAGUGGUUACGUGUUCUGGGAGUGUUUGGGAGGUCCCAAGUUCAAGCUUUCGCUUGGGAAAAUUUUGAAAUUUUGAAUGAAUUAGGCCUUACUCUUGUUCAGUAGGCUUUUAUUUGAUUGUUGGGUAAGUUACAUCAGAAUGGGUCUGCUGGUCUAGUGGUUAAAUGGUAUGUUAUUAUGGUGGAGGUUUUGUGUUCGAAUCACUAUGCAGGCAAGGGUAUUAUAAUUUUUUGAUCAAAUUUCAAGAUAGAUUUGUGUUAUUAUGGAGUGCUCAGGGCUGUUUUAGCAUUAAACAAAACCAAGUGUGUACCUGAAAUGCAAAAAAAAGGAUUCAGCGAAAAGUAGAAAUUGGUUGCUGUUUGGACAACAACAAUAGGCUAAAUUUGAAAAAUCUCCAUAAAUUAUGGAAAUCAAAUUAAAGGAUAAAAAAAUAUUGAAUUAAAGCUUAUUGAGUCUAGUUUCUCAUAGAAGAAACAGUGUAAGUAAUGGAAUUGUAAAUCGUGAGUUAUAAUAAACUUUGUGAGACAAGGUCAGAAUGAAUUCGAGUUCUUCUGUUUUGGAUUUGGAAAAUCAUCAAAAAUUGGAGAAAAAUAUAAAAUUUACAUGUUUAAAUUAGUAACGAGUCUAUUUUCAAUAGAAACAAAUGAAAACUUCAUCCAAAUUUUGUACUAAAAGAUAAUUAAUUUUUAGCAAAGAAUGGUCAAAGUUGUCAAAUAGCAAAACAGAGGUAAGUUUGAAGAUUUUACUGUACGUAUUGAUUGAACCAAAAAUUCUAAAAAUUUUAUGAUGGAAAGGUAUCUGAGUCUAGUUUCAAAGACAUCAAGCGGAGUUUAAUUUGGAAUUUUGUAGCUCAAGAUAGAAAUAAGUUAGUAACAGUGUCUCAAGUAGACAGCUUUGAAGGAAUACACAAGUAAAUAGUGAAAACAUAUAUGAAUAUUUAACUAGCAUAGGUUACAUUAAAAAUGGAUCAUGUGGCCAAGGCUAAUUUGGGCCGACUGGGCCAUAUAGAUAUGUGAGCCUAUUUUUUUGAAAAGUUCUAUAGGUUACACGGGUCGCCCAAGUCAACUAUGGACCUACUGUAGGGUCGGUAAGCUUUACUUAGACUCCUAUAUAUGUGACCUAUCUGUUUGAUUUCCAUACCGAGCAUGACUUAUGAUAUCUGAAUGUAUGUACUAUUAAUUGCAUAAUGGCAUGACAUAUUUUGUAUGUUGCAUUGCAUCGAGGUGGGUUGAUGAUAUUUGGAGGAAGUGUUUGAAAGGCUAUUAAGCCUGUUACUUGGCAGCUCAGCUGUAACCUUCUAAUUAUGUGCCGCAGUUCGGUACAGCAUGGUGUGUAGGGAUGGGUGAGUUGAUUUAAUCCCCACAUGAUGUGUAGGGUUGGCCGGAGAUGGUGCGUAGAGGCUGGUGGGUGAUGGAGAUGGUGUGUAGAGGCUGGUUGGUAAGAUUCUAAUUUACUGUAUCUACAUUCUGUAUCUGAUAUGGGCUAAGGCCGUAAUGUAUUUCUGAGACUGUAUCUGAACGGGCUAAGGCCCAAACUAAUUCUGUGACAUGCCCAGGCCCCAGACUGUAUCUAACUGAAUUCUGUUGAUUAUCUAUAUGUAGGUUUUUUGUGGGGAUUACACACUGAGUUUGCGAAAACUCACUCUUUCUCUGUUUAAUCUGUACAUGAACGGGUCGGUACAGCGGAGGAUUCGGCGGUGGCCACACGUAAAUUUCGGACUGUUUUCCGCUAAUGCCUAGAAUUUAUUACUUAUUUGGGGUUUUUUAUGUAUCUUCUAGACUAUGGACUGGUUGGCUUUAAAUUUGAGAUUUAUACUUUUUUAUGGUUUUUUUUAAACUGCAGCUCCAAAAAAAACACGAUUUUUUCCUAAAACUAAGGAUUUUCAUAAAUAGAAAUGAUUUUCCGUAAAUUAAUUGGUUGUAAAAGUUUCUGCUAAGAGACAAGUUUUAAAGCAAAUCAACUAGUUUUUUUCCCGAACUAAAUAAAAGCUAACUUAAUGUAACAGUUUUUAAACUCAACAAUCUUGUCUUCAAUUCCCUUUUCAUGUGACAUCGCCAGAUUCGAUCAUAAUGUCUAGACCAGGUUUGGGGUGUUACACAAACCUUUUCAAAAAAAGCAAUUAAGCCCUGCUUUUUUUUUCUACACUCAAUUGGGUUCUUGAACUUUCAAAAUGCAUCAAAAACAACCUCAAACUUUUUCAGAAAAAGCAAUUAAGCUCUUCGUUUUAUUAAAAAAUAGAAAAAAAUUAUAAAAAAAUAAAAUCAAUAAAAAUUAUACAUAUACAUAUGAUGUGGAAAAAAAAAGAUGAUGUGUGAUCUUUUAAUUGGACAGGACCGUGGAUGAUGUGAUGGAAAAGAUCUAUAAAAUAAUUUUUCCUAAUUUAAGGGUUAGAGAGGGUUACUAUAGUUAAAUUAUAUCAAUUUUUUAAAUAUUUAAAAAGGAUUUAUAAAUAAUAUAAGUAAAAGAUAAAAAAAGAAAGAAACAUAUUCAUAUUUAUCGGCUUUUUCAUUAUAAACUUUUUUUGUUCAUGUAAAAUUAGGACGUGAAUAAUUUUAAACGUUUCAUCAUUGCAAAAAUGAAAUAAUAGAAAAAAAAAAAAAAAGACUAUAUGAAUUUGCAUUUGGUUCUUUCUUUUAAUACUUGUCAUGGGUGUAGAAUUCUCUCACCAGUUUCCAACAACUUGACGUGAUUUCUCAAUCACAAUUAAUGUUUUUGAAUGAGACAAACAUUUGAAUGGGUCUUUAGGGUUAUAAUUAGUCCUUGCUUUACUUCGGGUGGAUUCUUCCAACUAGUCCAAGAAUUAUUGUACAAUCACAAUUAGUCUUUUUGAAUGAGACAAACAGUUCAAAUGUAACAUAAACGGGUCUUUAGGGUUAUACUUUAGUUAUUAAGAGCCUUUCUACAAUUUGUGAUUGAUUUGAGGGACAAGAGGUUGAGAUUGCAUUUAACAUGGACUGACUUUUCUAUAAUUAGUCCUUGCUUUACUUUGGGUGGGUUCUUUUUAAAUGAUUUCUCAAUCACAAACAAACUUUUUAAAUGAGACAAACAUUUCAAUUUUAACAUAACGGGUCUUUAGGGUUAUUCUUUCAGUUAUUGAGAAUAUUUUCCACAAUUUGUCAUUACUAUUUGUGAGUGAUUUCUGGAUCACAUUGCAUUUAAGACGGUUCUUUGGAGCUUUUCGUAUCUUUAACGUAGACUGACUUUUCUAUAAUGAGUCCUUGGUUUGCUUUGCAUGGAUUCUUCCAACUAGUGUGAUCCUUGGCAUUACUUUUCAAACACUGACGAAAUUAAUUUGAAGAUAUCUGUUUUUUUUUUUUUUUCAAUAGAGUGAAUUCACAAGUUCUAUUUUCUUUUAAUUGUUUUUUUAGUAUUUUCAUGGAUUUCAGGAGAUAUUGAAAAUUAUUUUACCAUGAAAUUUUAAGUCAUCGAAAAGUAAGUGUUUUAUUUCAAGGGAUCACAAUUAAACAUUAGAUUUUCCACUUUUAACUUUUUAAUAUUUUUAUAAUUAUAUAAUUGACGAAGUACUAAUUUUGGACAUUGUAGAGGUGUUAUAACAUUCUUUAUGCAUAACCGACUAUUAAACUCACUUUUUUCUCUAGAAUUUAACACAAAAUUCAAAUUUAUCUUUUUAAAAGAAUUUUAAAUCCCUUUACAAAAAAAAAAGAAGUGAUUUUUAAGUGAUGAAUUGUACUUAACAAAAAAAUCAAUGGUGACUCCCUUUUAAAAAAAAACCCUUUUUAAAAGAAUUUUAAAAUCUCUUUACAAAGGAAAAAAAAAAAGCUAUUUUUAAGUGAUGAAUCACACUUAACAAAAAUAUAAAUGGUGACUCCCUUUUAAUAAAACCUUCUGUUUUUUUUGGAAAGACCAAAAUUUCAUUCCCCAGCUAUUUAAUUUGUUCUAUUUUAAUAAUCUAAACUGUUAGCUAACUUUUCCACAAUUCUACAUCUCUAUUUGUGAGUGGGCACAAAAACUUGGACAUUUCUUGAUGAAAUUUAAUUCAAUUGCAUUUAGUAUCACAUGAUUUUCUUUUAUCAUUUUAAUCUAUAAACUGUUUCAAAAACAAUACCACGUCGACAUUAAAUUUGCUACUACAUAUUCAAUUUUUAGACGGGACGUUGAAAUAUUAAUUUCACUAUGAACCAAGGGAGAUAUAAAUGUUUUCAUUGGUUUGAAAGUAAGAUUCUCUCAACAAUUAAUUAUAGAUAAUUCAUAAAUGAAUAAAAUUUUAAUUAAUAUUUUAUAAAUAUAUCAAAUGUGUUAAUUAAUUAUGAUUUUAGGUACUUUUUUGUGUGAAUUAAGUGAAAUAAGCGACAUAAACAAUAAAAAAGAACUAGAUCUUCAAUGGGGAAACUUCAAAAAUUUGAAGACCUUCUCUCCUAUCUUUAACUUGUCUUGUGAUUCUAUCAACUUCUCCAUUAUGUUCCCUAGGGAUAUGUUGAAUGCCCUAAUGUCUUACUCUGGAUAAAUUUUGGUGAAUUCUCUUGAUUAGAGUAGAGUCUAACUCAUUACAGGCCUCAUUUUGAAUUGCUAUGACUAUCUCCAUGUUGUCAGUUUAAAUUAUCAUGCUGCCGUAUUUCCACUCCAAAAGAAGCGUUACUCCAUCUAAGAUGUCCCAGAAUUCAGUUUCUAUAAUAGAGCGAAAGCCCAAGUACCUGUUGUAACCUAGAAUCCAUCCUCCAUUCUGAUCUCGAAAAACACCCACGACUGCAGCAAAACCGGUUCCCUCAUGAACAAAACCAUCAGGUCUUAAGCAAACCCAAUUAAUUGUCCAAGAUCGAAGGUGGUAUUGGGAUAUGCAAAGCCUCCUUAGUUACCUUAUUAUUAGAGAAUCCAUAGUGUUUAGCCUAACUAUAUGAUACUUUGAUGAUAUCAUUUUAACACCAUGGAAUACCCAGAAAUAAAAGUAAAUUAUGAUUUUUCCAUAUCUGCUACACUGUAAGACAAAAGAAACAUUGCCAAUCAAUAUCCCCUAGAUGUAUUUGAUGAUGAUUUUUCAUAUUCGAAGCUAGCCACUCUAUUAGGUCUCGUGAGAAGAAUAGAGGUAUCUUAUCCGCAGGGACAAUGAUCUCCCAAAUAUCUCUAGCUGCAGAACAAUCUCAAGGCAUGUACCACAUCUUCAACCUUGAUAUUACAGUACCAAUACUAUCCAUACUAAUAUGCCUCCUCAUUCUUUCCAUAUUAGUUAGCUGACGUUGCUAGAUGGCAAGCCAAAUGAAGUAUUUAACCUUUUGAGGUCCCUAGAAUUUCCACGAAAGUUGCUAAACACUCUUUUUUUGGGUAACCAUGUAAGUGGGCAAUCCAUCGCCAAAUUAAAAUGAGAUGGGAUAAGCUUACAGAGAGGACAAACGUUAGGAAUCCAAGGAUCUUUCUAGCAUUUAAUACUGCAACCAUCUCCCAUUGACCAAAUUAAGUUUUCUCAAAUCAGUGGCCAAACUUUCGCCAGACUUCUCCAAAGAAAGGAACCACUACUUUGAGCCAAGGUUUCUGGUAAGCCAUUCUGGACUCUAUAUUUAUACUUCAGGACACGACCCAUAUAUCUUCCAAGUCUAAUACGAUUUUAAAGCUAAUUUUCAUCAUGAAAGCCAUGUUAUGAUCUUGUACUUGCCUUAACCUCAAACCACCAGUUAGUUAUCGCUGACUAACUGAAUCCCAACAAACCAACACCUUUUUCUACCUCUAUUAGAAGGUUCCCAUAUAAAUUGUCUUACCAAACACUCAACCUCAUCACAAAUAACUUUGGGAAUCAUCAUAGACUGCAUAAAAAAACUUAAUAUCAUUAGAAGCACUGAUUGAGCAAGUGUAGCCCCUCCAGCCAAAGAAAGUUUCCACGCAUCCAAACUAUCCAACUUGCAACAAAUCUUGUCCUCCAUGAACCUUAGGGUGCCAUUUGUAACUCGCUCAUGGAAGAUUGGUACACCUAAAUAAGUUUCCAAAUUAUUCACUUUAUGAAACCCUAAAAAGUUACUAAUCUCCCAAGCUAAAUCCUCAUCAACCCCUUUAAAGAGAAUCAUGUUGGUCUUUUUCACAUUUAUUCAAUGUCUAGAAAACUAACAAAAACUGUUCAAUACACCCUUGGGAAUGUGGGCUUGUUGAACAUUGGCUUGACCAAAAAUAAUGAGGUCAUCUGGAAAAAAAAGUGAGAAAGAGGUGGACCCAAACGGGUCAAUCUAAUCGGAACCCAAAGUUUUGAGUCAAUGUGGGCCUGAAUGCUAUGACCAAGCCACUCCAUACACAAGACAAAUAAGCACAGAGAUAGAGGUCAACCUUGACAAACCACUUUAGCCGGCUUAAAUUUUGUGUAGGAAUGCCAUUCUAAAGAAUCUGUAAGGUAGAGUUAGUAAUAGCAGACAUAAUUACAUUAAUGAGAGAAUUCGGGAUGCCUACAACCUAUAAAGAAUAAUGAAAAUCAUGAAAUAUUAAUAUAUAAUAAUAUAUUAUAAUGAUAAAAAUAGAUAAUAAAACUAAAUAUUAAUAUAUAGUAAUGAUAUGAAGACUUAAAAUCAUGAAAUAUAAUAAAAUGAUAUAUACAAAAAUAGAUAAAUGAAAGUAUAAACAAUAUAAAAAUAACAGGAAUAUUAAUAAUGGCAAUAAUAAUAAUAACCAAAAGGACUAAAUUAUAAUUUAAAGAAGCUUAAGUCUAAAUUUUAAAAUAAAAAUAGAAAUAGCAAUCUGAAGGGUCAGGAUGAAACGCGCAAAAAGAUAUAGGGACUGAUUGGGAAAUUAAUUCCUGUUUCUCUAAACGACGCCGUUCCAUUGAGGGAUUAAAAUGAAACACGCAAAUUAUAUGAGGGAAAGUAAUCUGUCUCCCCAAAACACUGUGUUUUACGCAGGAUUAAAAUGAAUAAAUUAAAACUAAACAAGGUAAAUUUAAAAGAACAAACCAACAAAAUUGCAACACUGAGAAGAUAUGGGGGCAAUUGUGAAAUAUCCCCUGUGGACCCAAAACACGCGGAUCUGGUAGUGAUCGGGUCGGGUCUCAGGUCAAUGGCCUAUACGACGUCAUUUUGAGGUCAUGAAGCAGGCCUCAAACGACGUCGUUUCACAGAAGUUAUAAAACCCCAAAAGAAAUUUUGAAUAUUUACCUGCCAUUUCAAAAUAGAAAAGUGGUAAAAACCUUGACCAUAUUCUCAAUUCUCUCCCAGAUAAUGUCUCUAAAAGUGGUGGUUUCUUUACUGCCACCGCUGGCCAAGACUCCAACAAAGCUUACGCUCUUGGGCUGUGCAGUGGAGACUUAAAUCCACACGAUUGUUAUGGCCUUGUGAAAUCCGCGGUUCCUGAUCUCAGAGAUAAAUUUCCCGAUCAGAAAGAAGUCAUUUCAUGGUCAGGUGAUCCCGCAUGUACUGUACGAUUUGCAAAUCGCCCCUUUUUUGGAAUCCUGGAGCUAGAGCCUACUACUGCUGGCACUAUCACGCACGACGUCGGCUCCAACUUACGACGAUUUGAUACGAUUUGGGAGAGUUUAACAGACGGUUUGGUGAGAAACGCUUCCAACGGCUCUUCUAGUCGUAAAUAUGCAACUGGCGAAGCAUAUUUUAUAGUAUCUCAAAACAUAGACGCACAAAUGCAGUGAACUCCAGACAUAUCACAGGAGGAAUGUGAUUCCUUCCUAUUGACACCAUUUUCUUGACGAAAAACGGGGUCGACUUGGGUUUUGGAAAAUGAAAACGAAAAUGGGAGUCGCCACCGAUCCUUUUUGAUGAGGUGUGAUCGGAUCACCUCGAAAAGUGGUUGUUUUUAAUAAACGGUUUGAUUUUAUUAAAACAACAAGUUUGGUACAUGAAAUUCAGAAAAACAAGUUCGGGAGUCGGUUACGCACGAGGAAGGAUUAGCACCCUCGAUACGCCCAAAAUUGGUACCUAGUUUAUUUGUUAAUGUCUUAAUGUCGAUCCUUGUAUUAAAACGUUGAAAAAUUUUCAGGAAAAUGGGCAUAUUUCACGUUAUUCGAGAAAGAGAAUCAUAUCCAGUAAGUUAGGGUACAAUGUCUCGAAUUCCCGAUAUGCGAAUGAAAAAUGCUUAUUUAAAAGAUAUUUAACUAUCUUGGAUUUAAAAAAGGGAUCACGACUAGUAAGUUAGGACACGAUCCUUUUUUAAUUCCCGAUAUCGUUUAAAACUUGAGUUUGAAAAGACUCGUGUAAUAAAGUUUAAAAGAAUAUUCAAUUAUUUAAAUCAAAUGAAGAAAUCGCAACCCAAUACCUUAGGGCACAAUUUCUCAAAAUAUUAAACAUUGAAUAUUGCAUUUAUUUCAAAAAAUCCUCGUUUCGAGAAAACAACGUGUCACAUCCAAUGCGUUAGGACACAACAUAUUGAAUUCUCGAUAACGAGCUUUUUAUCAUUUUUAAAAGAGUAAUCUCGAUUAUUUAAGUUCAACGAAGAAAGUCGGAACCCAAUACGUUAGGGCUCAAUUCUCUCGAAGAUCCAAAAUACCGAAUAUUACUUAUUUCUAAAAUUUCUUUUUCGAAAUCUAAAUAAAAAUGGGUGUAAUGGAAUAACGAUGAUAAUGAUGUAAGUAAAAUAAUAAUACGAGCAAUAGCAUCAAAGAUAAUAUAAAUAAAAAAGGACAAAUCAAUAGCAUCAAAAUAAAUAUAUAAGCAAAAUAAUACAAGCAAAGGCUACGAAGUAAAAUAAAUACAGAGACGAACUAAUGUAAUACACAAUCACAAGCAUAUGAGCAAUAAAGUUAAAACAUUCAUUCUAAAUAAUGAAAAUAUAAAUAAUGAAAUAAACAAAGAAAAUGUAUAAAAAUAUAAAAAAAUAAAAGAUAUAUAUAUGUGUAUAGAUAUAAAUUAAUGAAAUACGAAAAAAUAUAUGUAUUUACAUAUAGUUUUAAGUUAUGAAACAAAAUAAAAACAUAUGUGUAUAUAUAAUUUUAAGAUAUAAAAUCUAUUAAGGUAAAUAUAUAAAGCUUUUAAGUUUUAUAAUAAUAAAAAAUAUGCGUAUAUAUUUAGUAUUAAAAAAAAGAAAUAUACAUAUGCAUGGAAAUAGUUUUAAGUUACAAAAUAUAAAAAAAUAUGUAUAUGUACAUGCACGUAUAUAAAGACUAUAAAAGGUAUGCAAAAGUAUAUAUGUAUAUAUAUAUAUAUAAGCUAUUAUGUAAUAAUAAUAUGAUAAGUAACAAUAAUAUAAAUAAUAAUAAUAGAAAUAAUAAUAAUAAUAAUAAAAUUACUGAAAAAAGGGACUAGAUCGAAAUAAAAAAUACUGGGAGAAUUCGAAUUAAAUAAAAAGACUAAAAGGACUAAAUUGUGACACGCGCCGAAAGAGGGGGCCAAAAAGGAAAAAUAAGUCAAAGUCCCAAAACGCAGCACUGAAAUGGACCAAAUGAAACAAAAAUAAAAAAUUGCAGGGCUAAAUUAAAAAUAAGAGAAAAUAACGAAAAAGGAUCAAAUUGUAAUACACUGCAAAAUUAGGGGGACUGCACGCGCAAUUAAUCCAUUAGGAGAAAACACACGGAUCCUCCCCUUCGGGUCGGGUUGACGCGCGGAUCUCCCUCACUAAAACGGCGUCGUUUCAUGUUUAAUAUAAAUACUAAAAAUAAGCUUAAAAAAAGCAGUUUCAUCAUUUUUUAAAAAAGUACAGAGAGAAAACUCUCUUUUUCUCUCUCUCAAACCCCAAUUUCGGCCAUGGUUCGACCAAGGAUUCCGGCCAGCCUCCGCCAUAGCGCCACCGUGUGUGGCUGUUGGAGGUUCAAAAUCAGACCUUUUUGGUCCCUUUUUUAAGCCAAACGUCUCUAGGACGUGAACCCAAGGCCAAAUCCCCGGAAAAAGGAGCCCAAAACCUGAAGAACGAGAAGAACCGUUCAUCUCCUCUUCCUCUGGCGCGGCGCAGGUAAGGUUUUCUUCCCCUUUUUUUUGAUUUUUUUAAAGAAAUAAAGUCGAAAUAAAUACUAAUGAAACAGAAAAAUAAAAGAGAAACAGAGAAAUAAAAGUUGAAAUCACCUUAGUUUUUUUAAACUUUAAAUGAGUGUGUAAAAAAGGAGAGAACCCCCAUUUACAGUGUUCGGCUUUUGCCGAAAGAGAAAGAAGAAAAAAAAUCCAGAAAAAUCCCCCCUUUUUGUUGUUGAAGUUCGGCCCUUUUUAUCUAGCCAAAGAAAAGAAAAAUAAAAGACUAAAAAGCUACUGUCCAUUGCUUUGUUUUCUUUUCUGUUUCUAUUUCCUUUUCGUGUUUGCAGGUGGCUGAACAGUGCAGGCACCGAUGGGACGUGCGGCAGUGGCGGCAGGUCAAGUGGCCGACCCUAGGUUGUGGCGCUAGGCUAGGCUAGGGUUUCAGAAAACUGAAACCCUAGUUUGAAAUUUGGGCCUGAUUUGGAUGUUGGGCCUGGUUGGGCUUCGGGUUUGGGUUCAAUUGUAAAUAGGUUUUGGGUUUGUUUGGGUGUAUUCCGGGUUUUUGGGCCGGUGUUUAGGGGGUUGGGUUAUUUAAUUUUGGUAAUGGGCCCGGGCAAAAAUGGGCUUGUACAGCUGCCCCUCUUUGCUUAUUGUCGUGUAACGAGAACAAAGCAAAGACUAAGAAAGACCAAUUUUUGCCCGGUCCUGCUGAUUCUUGACUUGUUCAACGCCUCUCUUUUCAAGUAGCUAUAUUUCAGUCCACUAUGUCUUGUCACUUCAAUCCACUCCACUCCACUUCAGAAAGACAAGACUUGUAGCUUCAAUCCACUCUGUUGUAACUUUAGGGGGUGAGAUCUGCUGUUGUAGCUUCAAUAUUUUUAAUUGCAAUGUCAGGGAAGUAAGAUCCGCUAUUGUAGCUUCAAUCUGUUCCACUGCAAUGCUAGGAAAGUAAGAUCCGCUGUUGUAGCUUCAAUCUUUUUAAUUGCAAUGUCAGGGAAGUAAGAUCCGCUGUUGUAACUUCAAUCUGUUCCACUGCAACGCUAGGAAAGUAAGAUCCGCUGUUGUAGCUUCAAUCUUUUGAAUUGCAAUGUCAGGGAAGUAAGAUCCGCUGUUAUAGCUUCAAUCUGUUCCACUGCAACGCUAGGAAAGUAAGAUUCGCUGUUGUAGCUUCAAUCUUUUGAAUUACAAUGUCGGGAAAGUGAGAUCCGCUGUUGUAGCUUCAAUCUGUUCCACUGCAACACUAGGAAAGUAAGAUCCGCUGUUGUAGCUUCAAUCUUUUAAACUGCAAUGUCAGGGAAGUAAGAUCCGCUGUUGUAGCUUCAAUCUGUUCCACUGCAACACUAGGAAAGUAAGAUCCGCUAUUGUAGCUUCAAUCUUUUGAACUGCCAUGUCAGGGAAGUAAGAUCCGCUGUUGUAGCUUCAAUCUGUUCCACUGCAAUUCUAGGAAGGUAAGAUUCGCCGUUGUGGCCUCAAUAUUUUAAUUGCAAUGUCGGGGAAGUGAGAUUUGCCGUUGUAGCUUCAAUCUAUUCCGCUGCAUCGCCUGGGAAGUAAGAUUCAUCGUUGUGGCUUCAAUCUUUUAAAUUGCAAACUAUGGUUUCUUCGAUCUGCUUCGCUGUCAGUACAGGAAGGCAAGAUCUGCUAUCUCAUUGGUCUGUUCUCUAGGGAACAUGACCUGUAUAAUCCAUUUGAUGGACCUAUUUAUGCCUAGUGAUUAGGAUGAAAUGAUCAGAAUGAAUCAAAUGCUCCUAACUAGAUGUGUAUGAAUGACAUUUGAUUGAAUGCAAAAUGUCAUGAAAAUGAUUCCUUAAUGCUUAGGUUAUCAUCACGCAAAAGCUUAUUAAGGCUUUAUCACUGACGUGCUACAACGCCUUCUUGUUCGGCUGGCAUAUCCAAAGAAACACUUAAUCUGAUUGCCCCUUACUGUGAACGUUGAAGUUCAAUCCACUGGGACAUAAAAUUUGUACCAUCAAUCUCCCACUGUAACCCAAGGGUAGAAAUAUAUGGCUUUUCUUAAUCUUCUCCUAUCGCAAUUCAAGGAUACAAAAUGUGAAGCUCUUUGGUCCUUUACCUCAUUCCUAGGUGUCAUACCAAAUGCUCAUGCACAAUUGCAAAAUUUUCUUCUCCCAGAAAACCUUUUCUUAUCACUCGGUAAUCCUUGCUUGUUUGUUCAUUGAAGCUUUGUCACCAACACGGCAUCUUGUCAUUUUGUUCAAUGUUUGGACAACAAAAUCUAAAAGGAUAGUCUUUAACUUAGACCCUUCCUUCUUAGAUAUUUCACCCUUUAAACUUGGUGUUUUCUGAACAAUAGUCCUAUUUCAGGUUCCUAUAUUAUUUAGAAACUUCUAGAGUAAUAUGCAAAACUUCCAUUGUGAAAGUAUUAUUAGUCCAUUAAUCAUUAUUCUAAUGCAACAUGCUUGCAAAAGAUCAUAACGAUAGAUAAAAUAGAAUUGAUUUGAGAGCAUAACUCGAAAUGAAUAAAGUAUCAAGGAUAGCAAGAAUAAAAAGAGGAAUUGAUUGGAACAUGUAUCUUGAAAAAGAAUGAAGUAUUCCAAGAACAACAAAUUCAAUAAAUAGUAUGAAGGUUAGGUGCCCCAGAUAUCGCAGCUUGAACUUCUCUUUACAAACUUUCUGAAGACCUUUCUGAGUUUGACAUGUGUUUAGAAGAUCUACAGGACUUUGCCGAUGCCCCAAGACAUCGCCUUACCCUUUCAGGUAUAGCAAGAUCACCACAUGCCCUAAUCUGAUCACUUCAUGCCCCAUUCUGAUCAAUAUUUGAGCCGCCCUUCGGGUUUUCAACUCAAAUCCCCUUUGGCCUAAGGUGCCCUUUGCGGGUUUUCCCCUUAGCCUCUUCAUUUUUAUGAAUUAUAGAGCAUGCUCCACCGCAGUGAAUCAAAUUCGGUGGAGUGGAGGACUUUUUUUCACUACUUUAUGCUCUAUGCUCCAAGUUUUGUAUUCUUCUUCCGAGACCUGCAAUGGGAAAAUAAAAAAAAUAAGAAACAAGUCUGAAUUAACUUUGAAAAUUAGAAAUUUUCAACAAAAUUGAAAUAAAAUAUAAUUAAUCCACAAAAACUAUAAAAUGCAAUGAAAACGAACCUAAAUACUAAAAUUACCACCUAAAAUGCUAUAGAUACUAUAAUAACUCUAAAUAUGAUAGUUAUCAGAAGCGACCUGAAGAAGCCAAUCGUGUAGAUGAUUUCAACUAUUGCAAAUACCAUCCAUCGAUUAGGCAUCCUCUUCAGAAGAUCACCGAGUUUAAAGAAAAAAUCAUACAACUCCAUGAAGAAGAAAAAAAUCAUGUUUGAAAAAGAAGUGGCAUUAUCAAACUUGACUUCAAUGCUUUGGUUUCUCAAUACAAUAUUAUGGACAGAUUCAUCAAAUUUGGCUCUUUCAAUCCUAUUACACUAGCUCUAAGUAGAAGUAAGAUGGUGAAUUUCGAAGGGAUUGGGGGCAAUCAUCUAUUUUUGGAAUAUCAGAAUGGUCAUGAUUGGACUCUAGCCACAUGUCAAAGAAGCCAAUGAAAAGCAUCUCUCCUAGGUAUAAGCUUAUAUUGUCACAUUGCUCCUAAGCACGAACUUCAUCCAAAAUGAUGAUGCUGCUAAGCAUGACCUUAAACUGUUCAUCUAAUGCUCCUAAUAAGGAGCCUAAACUAUUCAACCCAGACGGUCAUGCUUUAAGCACAAUCUUAAACUAUUCAUAAAAACUAAAUGAUGAUCCAAUGAAGCACGAGCUUAAACUAUUCAUACGAAAUAAAUGAUGACCUCCUAAGCAUGAAUUUAAAUUGUUUAGACAUAAUAAAUGAUGAUACUCCUAAGCACGAGCUUAAAUUACAGUCCAAAAAAAUUUAAACUACGUUAUAACUUGAUCUUUUAAAAAAGAAGGUACAUAGAUAGCCUGGUUUCAUUGCCAAGUUCAGUCUAUAUGAAAAUAAUAAAAUUGAGGGUGACCUUUGAAACAAAUUCUUCAAAGUAGGAAGCAAAUAAAAUUUCAAGACUUGUCCCCUUUCUACGCCCAACAAAAUUCAGAAUUCAUCAUUUGUUAUUACUGUAAUAAUAUCUCUUACUAAAUUAAUGAAAGGAUAAAUCAAAAAAUUAAAUCCUUUUAGAACUCUCUUAGAAAGAAACCAUAUUCUUUAAGGAUUACUUUAUCUCUAAUUAAUUAAAUUAAUAAAAAAUGAAUAAUAAUAAUAGAGUUAAAUUUCUACAAGAACUCUUAUAUCAAAGUGAUUGACACUAUAAAAAUGGGUCACCUCUAAGUCAUCCUACACAUUCACAAGUUCAAGAAGUUGAAAAAUUCAUUACAAAAAUAUUUGAAGAAAUUAAAGUAGAAGAAAUUCUGAUGAACAUCAUAUCAAUUGAGAGGAGGAUGACAACAGAAGAGAAGAAUCAAAAGGAGUUUUGUUUGUAAAGAAAUUCAAAACUUGUACAGUCUUCGAAAUUAUAAAUAAAAUUUGACGUAAAAUUUUCAAGUAAAUUUUCAACUUGAAAUUUGUGUGUACAAUAUAUAUGGGAAAGAAUCCAUUUACAUUAUAUAAAACUAGUGUAUGUAUAAUACAGAAAUAUUUAGUACAUUAUCAAUAAAGUUUUUAAACUAUGCACCUGUGAUUAAAACCAAAAUAAUAAUAAUAAUAAUAAUAAUAAUAAUAACCAAUCACUUUAUUUGACUAAUUUUUCCCUACAAGUCUUUAGUAUGGAGAGAAAUCAGUUUAAUCAGUCUUUGGAGCUAUUAACUGACUUUUCCACCAUUGAUUUGAAAAUCAUAACCCAUCAAUUCGCUUUAAAUGAAACGAGAUCCACGAGUGUUUGGUGUUAUAUUUUUAAAAUGUAUUUACAUGAUUGUUUAUUAAUUUUAUUUCUUUAUAUUUAAAUCAAAUGUAAUAAAUUGUUGAAUUUAUAUACUUCUUAUUAUAACAAUAUAUGGACUAUCUUUCUACUUCUCUUUUUAAUUUAAUUUUUUGUAACUCUUCACAAUUUAUUUUGAAAAACAUUGAAAAAACUCAAUUGGAAAAAGUCUUUAAAUUAUUUUUAAAUUGUAACAAAUAUUAUUAUUAUUAAGAUGUUUUUCUUUUUAUAUUUUUUAUAAAAUAUAUUAAAAAACAAUUAGAAUAAUUUUAAGAGAAAAAAACUCAUACACGGUAGAAUUUAAUCUAACGAUAUCAAAGUUUUAAAGCCUCAACUUUAACAUUUCAACCGAAAUUCCAUUAGUAUAUAAAUAUUUUACAAAUAUAGAUUUUAUAUAAAAAUAUUUAUGUAAACUUUUUUUUUAACCCGCAUAACAAGUAUACCAUAUUUAGAGAUAUUCAUAGCUAGGCAGUCCACUUUGGUUCAAGCUUCAGCUUAGGUUUCCGAUCUCAAGUUGGCCCAAUUCAACUUACUUUACUAUUUAAAAAUAUAAAUAUAUGUCUAUAAUUAAAUUUUCUGUGAAUAUUUUCUGAUAGAAUAUUUUCUGUGAAUGAGGUUACGAUUUCAAACAUUUCAGCUCGAUGAUUGAUUAGUUAUUGCACGAUGCCUUUGAAAAAUUGUUAAUAUGCUAUUUUAUAUUGGAUGUAAAAUACUAAACGUUUUGCAACUUUUCAAUAAAACAACUAGAGAUUUUCUUUCAUUAUAUUGUAAUGAUUUUUGUUGUUGUUUUUACGUAUGUUAAUUGAUGGAUUUGAUAAUUUUUUCUAAUUUUGAUACUUCAACUAUUUUUUUACAUUAAUCCUCAAAUUUGAAUUUCAGUCACACAUUUUAAUAUUAAAAAGUGAUAAUGUGGCACUCGCACAUCGUCGCCUAAUUUAUCUCUGAAAACCCUUACCAAAAUCUUCACAUUUCAAACUUGGAAGAUUGUGCCUCGUCAUUUUCCUCCGCAACCUCUCUUUUUCUUUCUUCUUAUUUUAAAAGUUUAUAAUUUGGUAUUAUUUUGUUUUUGUUAAUGCAGUUUUCAAAAAUUAUGGAGAUGAAGCAUUUAUCUUCAGUUGGAGUCAACCCUAAUUAAACUGUACCACCGUUUUCCUUUCAAAUGUAACUCAAGAGUGUGAGUUUUUAAGUGUUUUCUAAUGUUUAGAGUGACGGAUCUCUCUGUUGUUAAGAGCAGUUUUACCACAAUCGACUCCGAUCUUAACCUUCUCUUGUUACAAAGCGUGAUUGUCAAAACAUUAGAAAACAAAGUAGCCUGUGACACGCGGUUAUUAGUUAAUUACUAAAGUCGCUGCUUGAGUUGAAGAAACGUGAAAAUAACCCAAAUUAAAAUACUAGUAUAGUCAAUCCAACGCCUUAUUUUGGAUGAAACGAAGCUCUCAAUUUUAAGAUAAACGGGUCUUUAGGGUUAUUAAUGGAGGGCCUUUUCCACAAUUGCCAUCGUUAUUUGGGGGUGAUUCGGGGAUAAUAACUCCAACAUUUCUGUAUCACAUUUAAUUCAAUUCCACAUUCAAUUUUUAAGUUUUAGAGAGAUGAUUGGGUUACAACAAUGGUUUGAAGUGAAGAUGUUUCAAGUGAAGAUGAAUACUCUACCAAUAUAUAAGUCAUAAUUUAAAAUUCAGGUUAUGUUUCAUUUCAACGAAGUUAAAUGUUAAGAUUGAAGUUAAACCUUUUAGAGGUUGCUCACAAAAGGAUCAAACCUUUAUAAAAGUGCUUAAAUGAAGGCUAAACUUUUUAAAAUAGACAAAUAAGGCCCUAACAUUUUAAAAGGUGUUCAAAUAAAGGCUUCUCAAAUGUUGUAUAUCAGCUUAUGUGUUUUACUCUAAACAUAUCAGCAUUUAUCUAUAUUUUUUCUACAAAUUGGGUUGAAGUGCAUGAAAAAUCUUUAUUUCAGCACUUCUGUAAACGUUAAACUCUUAUUUGACAAUUUUGAAAGGUUUGAUCCUUAUGUGAGCAACCUUUAAAAGAUUAAGCACUAAUUUAACAAGUUGAGAAAUACCUAAAUUUGUUUUCAUGAAUCAAGAAAUUAAAAAAACAAGCAUGUUGAGAAAUAUUUUAGAGAUUCUUAGCCUUGACAAGUUCCCUCCACCAUCUCCCUGCCUCCAGUCCCACCUCUACUCUUAUGCUCCUUCCAGGUUCUUGCUUUUUGUGUGUUGAAAAUUCAAAGGAACAAAAUAUCAACCUACAUCAUAAGGCACGAAGGAAGACCAAAGAGUCUUGAGAUCUGACAACUUUAUUUCAUUUUCAUUUUCUUUGUUAUUUUCUAUGUUUCAUGUCAAAUACAAUGAAAGAAGAAGAUAGAAAAAUGUUGCCUAUUUAUUUCCCAAUCAUCAUGUAAAAAAUAUAUAAUGUCGGUAAUGACAAUAUAUCGCAAAGAAAAAUAGAAAUAGAAAAAUAAAGAACACACAGAUUUUACGUGGAAACCCUUUCGGGAAAAAACCAUGGGCAGAGGAGAAGAAAAUUCACUAUGUCAAAAACUUAAUUACAAGAGGAGUAGACUAUGCCUAUUUAUAGGCUUGUAAACCUUAUUCUAAUAGGAGUGAAACUCCUUAUUCAAAUAAUAUCAAAUAGAUGGAGUUUAAUAAGGUUUAGAAACAUUAUUUUAAAAUAAAAUAAAAGAAGUAUAAUUCUAUAGGGAUUUUACUUUUAUUUUAUUUUACCACAGUAUUUUAUUUCAAUAAGGAUUUGGGUCACUUAAUUCUAACACAUCACGAAAUUACUUGCCAUAGACUUAGAAUUUUCUCACAAAUUUUCAAGUAAUCUGACAUGAUUUCUCAAUCACAAUUAAUUGAAUUCAAGAUCUUUUUGGAUGACACAAACAUUUCAAUUUUAACACAAACUAAUAUUUAGGCUAUACUUCAGUGCUUGACAAGCACUUUCACAUUUGUGGGAUAAUAACUCUAGCAUUUUAGGAUCACAAUUAAUUCAAUUGCAUUUAAGACAUCAUGAUUUUAUUCUAUAAUUUGAGUCUUAUCAACCUUUUGGGAAAUAAUAAAACAUCGACAUUAAACUUUGUUGUUGAUGCAUUCAAUUUGAUUUUUUGAGGGGUCGUUGGAGUUAUAUGUGACUUUAGCUUUGAUUGACUUUUUUAGAAUUAAUCUUUUAUACCAAUUUAAUAACAUCCACAUGUUUUUGGGUUGGGUCGAGCAAAACCCAAUUAAAACCGAUGAUAUUGUCUUAAUUGACUCGGUCAAGUCCAUUAGAUGGAUAAAAUCAAUUUUAAAAUCAGUUAUAAUGGAUUAAGGUAACUAAUUAUCGAGUCAUGAAAUCCAUAAUCAAAUCAAUUGAUUUUGUUAGAAACUAAAAGAAAAUGGGAUAAGCUGAAAACUGAUUGCCCUUCAUUAAAAUUAAGGAAUUCACCUUUUACAUGUUAGAUAAUAUGAACAACCCAUAUAUAAUAAGAAAAAUUACUUACGAUUAUUUAUUAUCAUAAAUGGUUAGUUUAAAUUUAAAGUAAUCUAAUAUAUGUAUUGAACUUUAACUAUUACAUAAAGUAUAAGCUAAAUAUGUAUAAAUAUUCUAGAAAUCAUAUCUAACUGAUGAUAUUGUUUUAGUUGACUCGGUCAAGUCCAUUAGAUGGAUAAAAUCAAUUUUAAAAUCAGUUAUAAUGGAUUAAGGUAACUAAUUGUCGAGUAAUGAAAUCCAUAAUCAAAUCAAUUGAUUUUGUUAGAAACUAAAAGAAAAUGGGAUAAGCUGAAAAUUGAUUGCCCUUCAUUAAAAUUAAGGAAUUCGCCUUUUACAUGUUAGAUAAUAUGAACAUCCCAUAUAUAAUAAGAAAAAUUACUUACGAUUAUUUAUUAUCAUAAAUGGUUAGUUUAAAUUUAAAGUAAUCUAAUAUGUGUAUUGAACUUUAACUAUUACAUAAAGUAUAAGCUAAAUAUGUAUAAAUAUUCUAGAAACCAUUUCUAACUGAUGAUAGGCUAAUUCGAAAUUAAGAUUAAUAUAUAAAAACUAGAUAGUAGGGUUAUAGUCCUCAAACUAGAUAGUAAUAAUAUUAAUUUGAAGAUAUCACUUUUUGAAUCCAUAAGUUUUGUUUUGAUUUUUUUUUUGUAAAAAAGAUAUCAAGAGAUACCAAAAAUUAUUUUACUAAGAAAUUUUAAUUCACUCAAAAAGUAAGUGUUUUAUUUCAAGGGAUCACAAUUAAACAUUAGAUUUCUCAUUUUUAAUUUUUUUUUGUUUUUUUAACAACUACGUAAUUAACGAGUACCAAUUUUGGGUGUUGUAGGGGUACUAAUCGACUCUUGAACCCACUUUUUUCCUCUAGAAUUCAAUGCAAACCUUAAAUUUAUCUUUCUAAAAGAAUUUUAAAAUCUUUUUAUAAAAGACUAUUUUUUUUAGGUGACUAAUCACACUUAAUAAAAAAAAUCGGUGGUAAUUCUUUUCCAAUAAAUGUAAAAAACUUUUUAAACAAAAAAUAACAGACAUGUCUAUGUUUCCUAGGUUAUCUCAUAUUAAAAUCCAAAGAAAAUAAAAAGAUUCUAACAAUUAUUGCUUUUUAGUGUUGCUUUAGGGAAUUUAAAUGUAUUUAGUUAGAUUCCAAACCUACCCGUAGAUUCUUUCCUAUCCCAAGAUUAUUACGUAUAUUUAAAAUCAACAUUCAUUAUUUUCACCCUAAAAAAUAUUCUACAUUCAUUAUAUUACUAAAGUAGUGAUUAGAGUGAGUAAAAUCUGAUUUGAUUCAAAAAAAUCGAAAAGAAAUUCAAAAUUCGAGUUAAUUGAUUAAGUUAUUUGAUUCAACUCAAAUAAGUAAUUGGAGUUUUGAGUUCAAGUUGAGUAGAAUUUACAAUUCGAAUAAUAGAUUGGUGUAACCAUGUCAAUUUUGAAAUUGAGCAAAUUGAUCUCUCUCAACAAAAAUUACAAAAAAAUCAAAAUAAUUUUCAAAAAUUAAAAAUACGAUAAAAAUUCCAAAUUAUAUAUUUUUUAUAAAAAAAUUCUGAAAAAUAUAUAAAGAAAUUUAAAAUUUAAAAAAUUUUCUAAAAUAAUAAUUUUGGGGACUUAAAUAACUUAAUUAAUGAUUCAAUUUUAUCAUACUAAAAUAUAUUUUUUUAUUUUGCUUUGAAAAAGCUUUUAAAUAUAUACGAUUUCAAAUUUAUGUGCUUUAACAUGAGAUUAUUACAUAUUUAAAUACAUUUAAAUCCACGUCUAGAACUACACAUAUCUAGAACUACUCAUAGCCCCUCUCCAACCCAUAAAUAGGAUGAUAAUGCGUUUAAACGCACUUGAACCCAUGUCUUCCUGUAUUGAAAACAAUGUCCAUGUUAAUUGAGUUAAUACUCAAUUGACAAUUAGAAUUUGUAAAUUUAACUUUUAAUAUUUUAGACACAUAUAGUAAAUCUCAAUGUAUAUUUUAGCGUAAUGAAUUUCUAUUUGUUUAAAGAUGCUUACGGCUCUCAACUGAGAUGCCUGAUUUCCCAACAUAUAUUUUAACUUGAUUCCAGCCUUGUAAAAUGGGGCAAAAUUUAACCUUUUGUGACACAUUGGACAUCUUCUUACGAUACUUUUGAUAAAAUUGUGGCUACAUAAACCCACCAUUUUCAUGUUCUUUGCACUAAGAAAUAGUAUAAUUUCAAGGAUUAGUUAACAAAAGUAUAUGAAUAUGAAGGGUUUUCCCACUAUUUUUCUUUUUAUUUGCUUUGUUUUAGUUAUUACAAAUUGUUUCAUGGUGGAAGCAGAUACAUGCAAACCCAGCGGUAAGCUUAGAGGCAAAAAGCCUCCUCUAGGUAAAUGUAACAAAGGCCAUGAUUCUGAUUGUUGCCAAGAAGGCAAGUUUUAUAACACGUAUACAUGUUCGCCGCCGGUUUCAAGUCAUACCACGGCAACCCUAACUCUCAACGGAUUCGGUCCGAAGGAGGACGGUGGCGGUCCAUGUGAAUGCGACAACAACUAUCAUAAAGAUUCAGAAUUGAUCGUGGCACUUUCGACGGGGUGGUUCAACAAGAAAAAACGGUGUAUGAAUUAUAUUAACAUUCACGGUAAUGGAAAAACUGUUAAAGCUAAGGUAGUCGAUGAAUGUGACUCGACGGUGGGGUGUGAUGAUGAACACGAUUACCAGCCUCCGUGUGCCAACAACAUCGUCGAUGCCUCAGAUGCAGUUUGGGAUGCCUUGGGAGUGUAUGGAGAUAAACGUGGCGAAAUGGAGAUAUACUGGUCUGAUGCUUGAUUAUAUUUUUCUGCCUCUCCGUAUUUGCCAUUGUUUCAAGCAAGGGUUGUGGUUCGUUACUCUUUAGGCGCAUGAUAUGUGGUCCUUAAUUAUAUCUAAGGCCUGAAAAUAAAGUUUUAAUUUUAACUAUUUGGUCCUUAAUCUAGGACCUUGUCCCCUUGCUUAAAUGGUCUAAUUCUAUUUAUGCGCUAUUAAAAUACAAUACUUUAAUUUAGUUCAUUUUAACCACUUUUAUGAAUUUUUUUAUCUUUUUCCCUUUCUAAAAUUUUAAUUAUUCGAUUUAAAUCAUUUUAGGACCAAAUUUUUAAUUUGACCCUUAAAUUUUUAUUAUCAAUCACAUGCAACAUUAUAUGAAGGCAGUCUACUCAGCAUAUAUCCAAGUUUAUAGAUUUUAAUAGAAAAUACUUACAAUCCUAAUGGUAGGACUAAGUUUUUUAAACUAGAAAAGUAAGACGACUUAAUUUUUAACUUUUUAAGUACAAGGAUUAAAUUUUAAAUGUUGUCAAAGUACAAUCACUAACAAAAUAUUUUGAUCUAAUAAAUGUAAAAAACUUUUCAAACAAAAUAAGGUUGAAAUAAUUUAUUUGUCCUUAUACUUUGAUAAAAUUUGAGAUUUAGUCCUUAUACUUAAAAGGUUAAUAAUAAAGUCUUCUUGUUUUUAUUUAAAAAUCUUAGUCCUAUCGUUAAUUUUUUUUUGUCAACUUUACAUAUUAAUUAGUUUUCCCUUAUAUGUCGUGGUAUAUGACCUACACAAAAUAAGCAAGUUGAUAAAUUCUGACAAAAAAUAUCAAAGAUGAUAAUAAUUGGAUUAAAUUUUUUAAAUUGAAUUUAUAACCUUUAAGGUAUAAGGAAUGGAUAUCAAAUUUUUAUAGGAAUAAAGGGACUAACAACAUACUUUAACCACAAAAUAAUAUGAGUGAUUAGAAUGAAUCUAAAAGAGACUACCAACAUAUUUAUAACUUUGAAAUCUCCUUCGAUCAUCCUUUUUCUACGUUGAAAAAGAAAAUUAAUUAGCAUCUAAAGUGUCAAUUAGUGAAACCUUCAAAAGAAAAUGUAUAACUUAUAAUAUAUUUAAUUACAUUUAGUAAUUUAUCAAUCAAAACUUAAUUAACAUCCAUCAAUACUUCUAAAUUUUCCAUUUAACUCAGAUUUAACGGAAUUGAUUUUCCGGAAAAUCAUUUCCAACUUUUCCAGCGUUUGAUUGGCGGAAAACAUUUUCCAUUUGGAAAAUGAACUCCAAAACAAGGGAAAAUGGAUUACAUUUUAGGGAAAAUGUCUUACCCUUUCAAUUUCCGUAAGACAUUUUCCGUGCUCUCCUCUCUAUCGCCUCAUUCAUUCCUUCAUUUCCGGUAGAAAACUGCUUCUGUUUAUCGAUUUUCCAGUAACUUAUUUUUUUAAUUAUUCAAUACUUGUUUUUUAACACAAUUACAAAUAAUUUAUUUGAUAAUAGUUUUUUUCAAUUUAUAACGAUUAAUAUUGUAGCUUAAUAAUUGAGUAUUAUUAUAAAUAAAUCAUUGCAAUAUAUGUAAAAAUAAUUUAAAAUAUAAAAAUUUAUUAAUAUAUAUUAAUAUAUGUAAAAACAACUUUUUCAGAAAAUAUUUUCAGGGAAUCUGCCAAACAGCAGAAAAUAUUUUACACAGAUUCAAUCAAACACCAGAAAAUAUUUUCUAGUAAAUCAUUUUACAGAAAAGCAAAACAUUUUCCAGAAAUCAUUUUACGGAAAACAUUUUACUAGCAAUCAAACAGACCCUAAAUUUAAUUUGUUCAAUAUAGAUUUUGGUGACUUAAAACAAAAUUAAUAAAAAUUAUUCUUUCAGACAUCUUUUUAAUUUAUAAAAUAUACUUUCAUUUGACACAAGCCUCCAAGGCGAUGAACCACUGAUCAAAUUAAUUUGGAGAUAUCUUUUUUUCCAAAUAAAGUGAAUUUAUGAGUUUUGUUUUUAUUUUAAAAAUAUUUUUAAUAUUUUUGUGGAUAUCAAGCGGUACCAAAAAUUAUUUCACUAAGAAAUUUUAAUUCACUCGAAAAGUUAGUGUUUUAUUUUAGGGGUCAUAAUUAAUCAUUAGAUUUCUCAAUUAUAAAUUUUGAAUUUUUUGACAAUUGCAUAAUUAAUAAGUACCAAUUUUGAGUGUUGUAGGGCUAGUACAAUCUCCCUUACACAUAACCGACUCUUGAACCUACUCUUUUCUUUAGAAUUCAACGCAGACCUCAAAUUUAUCUUUUGAAAAGAAUUUUAAAAUCUCUAUAUAAAAGGUGUAAAAAUAUAUGUUUUAUUAAUUACUAUAUAUUCUUUUAUUUUCAGAAUAAUAAAUUGUUUAAAAUAUGCUAUUAGUCCCUAUAAUUUAAAAGUAUUUGGGUUCUUGAGUGCAUCAAAUUCCUCCUUUUAUUAUUAAAUGUUCUAUUUUAGUUACUCUAAUUAAAUAUAUCCAAAUUGUAAUAGAGUGAACAUUUAUUAUAUAAAAAAUAUUUUAAAUUUUUUUCAAUUGCAGUUUAAUUCUAGUAGAAAUAUUUCAUUUAUAAAAUCAUAAAACUUUAAAAUAUUAACUUUUUUAAAUAAAAAAUUAUUUUUUAACAGUAAAUGUUGACUUUAUUAACACAAAUGGGUCUUUAGGGUUAAACUUCAUAAAUUGACGAGCUCUUCCACAAACUGUGGAUGAUUUGGGGAUAAGAACUUUAAUAAUUAUGGAGUUAAAGUGUAAAUUUACCACUAUAUAUUAUAAGUAAAUAUUGAAAUUUAUCACUAUAUUUUAAUUGAUACUUGUCAUUACACUUUGAAAAUAUAAGUAAAUUUACCAUUUAACUCAUAUGUGAUUGAACUUUACAAGUAGACUUAAACUUUUAUUUAAUUUUGUCUCUAAAUUUGAUUUAUUUAAUUAAAUUUACAACUCAAUAUAGAUUUUGGUGACUUAAAACAAAAUUAAUAAAAAACUAUUCUUUCAGAUAAUUUUUAAUGUUUACUAAUAAGUCGAUUUAUAAAAUAUACUUUCAUUGGAUGCUUGAGCGGAAAUCAACAGAUACCAAAAAUUAUUUCACUAAGGAAUUAAUUAGUAUUUUAUUUUAAGGGUUCACAAUUAAAUAUUAGAUUUUUCAUUUUUAAAUUUUGAAUUUUUUGACAAUGCGUAAUUAACAAGUACUGAUUUAGGGUGUUUUAGGGUUAUUACAACCUUGCCUACACGUAACAGACUCUUAAACCUACUUUUUUCUCUAGAAGUCAACGCAAACCUCAAAUUUAUCUUUUUAAAAGAAUUUUAAAAUAUCUAUAUAAAAGAUGAUUUUUUCAGAUCACAUUUAACAAAAUUUUAAAAAUUAUUAAUUUUUUUAAAAUUUAGAGUGAUCUAAAAACAUAUUUUUAAGUGCUUUAGACCAUGCGGUGCUGAUUUCUUUAUUGUAUUAAAUGCUUGCAAUCACUCCUGAUAUCUUAUACUUCAGUUGUAACAGAGCCAAUUGUCAACGUGUCAUAAUGUUCUGUUGAUGCUGAAACUGAAGUUUUUGUUAUAUUAAUAGAGCUUAUCCUUCAACACGUAUAACGGGUGUUCGUUAUUUUUCCCUUCAAAUUGUAUGAUCUCAUUCAUUAAAUGAAUUAAUGAAUUUUCGUUUAAAAAUAUAAUUUUAAAAUUUAAAUACUUCAUAAGAUAUUUAAAACUAUUUAAAAAAUUGUAAUCGUUAAAACAAUCAACAAGAUAUAUUUUUCUCUAAAAAAUCAGUAAAAAUAUGUUUGAAAUUUUAUACGAAAGUAGUGUUGCUGAAGCAAUACUGAUUCACGACUGGUGUUCCAAAAAUUGGGAAGUCAAAUUUCGACAUAUUCAGCGAAAUGCCAGUAAAGUUGUUGAUUGCAUAGCUAAGGGAGAUGGAGGCAUAAUUGAGCAGCUGGUUAUCUUAGAAGAUCCACCGCAUUAUGUGAGAUGUUGGCUUGAAGAAGAUAUUAGACAGUCACUGGUCACUGAUGAUAAUUUUCAUUUGAAUUGAUGCUGGCUUAAUUUUCUAAGUUUAUGUUCAACCAGAAAAAAAAAUAUAUGUCUAAAUUGUAAUAGAAUUAAUAUUUAGUGUAUAAAAAAUAUCGUAAAAAUUAUUUUUUUUUCAAUUGCAAUUCAAUUCCACAAAUACUGACGAUGAACCCUGAAACGAACAUGAAAAUUACCAUAAGAAAAAAAACACAUCUAUCACAAACCAGCAAUCCAUGCCUAAACUUAAAUUAACAAAAUCUGUCACCGCAACCCGGUACACUAUUUUAUAUAAUAUAUAUACUAGAUUUAUUCUUGAUGCACAUGUUUUAUUAUUUUUAAAAAUUAAAAUAUAUGAUUGGCUGGGUUUUAGUUUAGUUAGUAUUAGUAUUAUUGUUAGUGUAGGAAAAAGUAAGUUUGAUCAUGCUCAAAUGUGUUUAUCCUCUAAUUCAAGAGUUGGGAAAAGGUUAUUGAUAAUUAAAUUAUACAAUAUUUAAAAAGCAUUUAUAAAUAAUAUAAGGAAAGAAAAAGAGAAACAUACUCAUAUCGAUGGGCUCUUUCAUUAUUAGACUUUUUUUUCUCUCACAAGUAAAAGUACUUAUGGAGAGGAUCAUGUAAAAUAAUGAAUAAUUUUAAAUGUUUCAUCAUUGCAAAAAUGAAAUAAUAGAAAAGAAAGACUAGCCAUUUUAUGAAUAUGGACGACCCAUUUUAUUUAUAAUUUUUUGUGUUUUUCUUUUUUUCCGACUUUUUCUAAUGUCAAGAGUUGGGAAAAAGUUAUUGAUAAUUAAAUUAUUUUACUAUGAAAUUUUAAUUUAACUGGAAAAUAAGUGGUUUAUUUAGAGGGAUUACAAUUAAACAUUAGCACUUCAGUAAAGGUUAAACUCUUAUUUGACCAUUUUGAAAGGUUUGAUCCUUAUGUGAGUAAUCUCUAAAAAAUUGAGCACUAAUUUGACAAGUUGAGAAAUACCAAAUUUGAUUUCAUGAAUCAAUAAAUUAAAAAAAAAUGUUGAGAAAUAUUUUAGAGAUUCUUAGCUUUGACAAGUUCCCUCCACCAUCUCCCUGCCUCCAGUCCCACCUCUUCUCUUAUGCUCCUUCCAGCUUCUUGCUUUUUGUGUUUGAAAAUUCAAAGGAACAAAAUAUCAACCUACAUCAUAAGGCACGAAGGCCGGAACUUUACUUUCUAGCCCGUCGAUCCGAUCCAAUGAAAGAAGAACAAAGAGUCUUGAGAUCUGACAACUUUAUUUCAUUUUCUUUUUCUUUGUCAUUUUCUAUGUUUCUUGUCAAAUACAUUUGAAAGAAGAACAUAGAAAAAUGUUGCCUAUUUAUUUCCCAAUCAUCAUGAAAUUACUUGCCAUAGACUUAGAAUUUUUUCACCAAUUUUCAAGCAAUCUGACAUUAUUUCUCGAUCACAAUUAAUUGAAUGCAAGAUCUUUUUGGAUGACACAAACAUUUCAAUUUUAACACAAACCAAUAUUUAGGUUAUACUUCAGUGCUUGACAAGCACUUUCACAUUUGUGGGAUAAGAACUCUAACAUUUUAGGAUCACAUUUAAUUCAAUUGCAUUUAAGACCUCAUGAUUUUAUUCUAUAAUUCAGUUUUAUCAACCUUUUCGAACUCAAUAAAACAUCGACAAUAAAUUUGUUGUUGAUGCAUUCAAUUUUUUGAGGGGUCUUUAGAGUUAUAUGUGACUUUAGCAUUGACUGAAUUUUUUAUAAUUAAUCUUUUAUAAUAAGGUAAAUAUAUCAAUUUUAAUAAUAUCGAUAUGUUUUUUAGUAGGGUCGAGCAAAACCCAAUUAAAACGAUGAUAUUGGCUUAGUUGACUCGGUCAAGUCCAUUAGAUUGAUAAAAUCAAUUUUAAAAUCAGUUAAUCAAAUCAAUUGAUUUUAUCAGGUUCAGGUUUCGUGUUUUAAUUAUGAGUUUGGGCCUGUCUCAUAUGGGCCCAAUGAUUGGGCCCGAUAAUUUUGGGCCAGCUGGGAUUGGGUAAUUGGGUUUAAUUUUGGAUUUGUUUGGGCUUUAGCCCAUUAGUGUUUUUGUUUUUUUUUAAUUUUAAUAAUAAUAAUAAAAAAAUAAUAAUAAUAAAUAAGAAAAAUACAAAAGUUAAAACUUACAUUUUGACUCCUAACUUUCCUAAAACUACAUUUUAACCCCCCUAACUUUCUUAAAAUUACAUUUGACCUCCAAUUUUCCUAAAAUUAUAUUUUGACCCCAAAUUUUCCUAAAAUUACAUUUUUCCCUAGAAGUUUUACAUCAUUUAUAAUUUGGUCCUUCUAGCACAAAAUCCCUAGCCGCCAGGUGCGAUUUGCGCACCUACCCCCCGAUUUUUCGGUGAUCAGCCUAGGGUGGUGGCCCUCCUCUCAAGCUACCUACUCCUUGAAAAAAUCAACAAUAAAAGGGGGGUUUUUUCCCCCAAAAAUUCGACAACCAAAGAGGAAAAAAGCAAGCAAAAAAAAAAAAACACAGCAAAAAAUUGAAACAAAAAAUAGGAAAAAAAACUUCAAAUUCGGUCGGCUUCCUCUUGAAUUGAUUCACGGUUGGUGUUCCAAAAAUUGGGAAGUCAAAUUUCGACAUAUUCAGCGAAAUGCCAGUAAAGUUGUUGAUUGCAUAGCUAAGGGAGAUGGAGGCAUAAUUGAGCAGCUGGUUAUCUUGGAAGAUCCACCACAUUAUGUGAGAUGUUGGCUUGAAGAAGAUAUUAGACAGUCGCUGGUCACUGAUGAUAAUUUCAUUUGAAUUGAUGUUGGCUUAAUUUUCUAAGUUUAUGUUCAACCAGAAAAAAAAAUUUGUCUAAACUGUAAUAGAAUUAACAUUUAGUGUAUAAAAAAUAUCUUAAAAAAUAUUUUUUUCAAUUGCAAUUCAAUUCCACAAAUACCAACGAUGAACCUUGAAACGGACAUGAAAAUUACAACAAGAAAAAAAGCACAUCUAUUAUCAAACUAGCAAUCCAUGACUAAACUGAAAUUAACAAAAUUCAUUAUGCAACCCGAUACACUAUUUUAUAUAAAUAAUAUAAGGGAAAAAAAGAGAAUCAUAUUCAUAUCGAUGGGCUCUAUCAUUAUUAGACUUUUUUUCGGCCAAAUUACCAAUAAAAGCACCUUUUUUAUCUAAAAUUACUGAAAUGGGACAGGUCCUAAAUUAACUAUCGGAAUGGGCCAAUUUCCACUAAAACGCGUCCAUGUCAGCGCGUUAUUAGGUGAAAAAUUAGGAAAACGCUUCCUCAAGGAAAUGCUUUGUCCACGUGGACACAAAGCGCGCCCUCAAGGACGCGUUUUGUGUCCACGUGAACAAAACGCUUCCUUGAGGAAGCAUUUUCGUCGUCCGUUUACAUUAUGGUUUUGGGUUUAGGGUUAGGGUUUUGGGUUGUUGAGUUUAGGAUUUUAAAGGAAAAAUUUAAAUAAGUAAGGUUUAGGGUUUAGGGUUUCUUAAUUAAAUUAAUUAUAAAAUUUUCAAAAUUAGAUUAGGGUUUCAAGUUUAUGGUUCUUAAGGAAAAAAUCAAAUAAAUUAGGGUUUAGGGUUGAUUAAAUUAAUUAUAAAUUUUUAAAAAAUUAGAUUAGGGUUUAAUGUUUAGGGUUUUUAAGGAAAAAACUCAAACAAAUUAGGGUUUGAUAUUUAGGGUUAAUUAAAUUAUUUGUUAAUUUAAAAAAGCUCCCACGUGGACGCUCUUUUGCUACAGUAGUUCCUGAAAAAUAAUUUUGAGAAAACGUUUCUGAGCAAAUAGUGGCAAAAAUGCUUUAAACAGGAUGCAUCGUCAGUAAAAGUACUGAAAGAAGCUCCCACGUGGACGCUCUUUUUCAACAGUAGCUCCUAAAAAAAUAAUUUCGAGUAGACGUUUCUGAGCAAAUAGUGUCAAAAAAGCUUUAAGCAGGAUGCAUUGUCAGCAAAAGUACUGAAAGAAACUCCCACGUAGACGUGCUUUUGCUACAGUAGCUCCUGAAAAAAUAAUUUCGAGUAGACGUUUCUGAGAAAAUAGUGUCAAAAACGCUUUAAGCAGGAUGCUUUGUCAGCAAAAGUACUGAAAGAAGCUCCCACGUGGAUGCUCUUUUCCUAUAGUAGCUCCUGUUUGGCCUGAGGCUAUAAAUGAGGAAAAUUUUUUUCUCAAAUUGCAUAAGUUAUAGCAAAAAAAAUUUAGAGAGGCUAAGAAGGAUAGGAAUUGUAGAUGAGUGAACGUAUUAGUGCUGUUAUUUACUAUGAUGGUGAGGUUCGUCACACCGAGAACGGUGUUGUUUUUUUAUUGGAGAAUACAGUGCGACUGGUUUUUAACCAGAACAUAGAUUUGACAGAACUUCGUAAAAGAAUUAGGCGUAAAAUAUUCAGAACGACGCCAAUGAAAGUUCUGUCUAUUACAUAUUGGUUUUAUUCUUCUGUUGAUCUGGUGACAUAUGACUCGUUCAACAUAAAAGGUGCUCAUAACUUGGAGGUAAUAGUGCAGACUCAUCUCACUAGUGGAGCAUCCUAUAUUUAGUUAUAUGUACAAUUUAUAUCGCCAAAUGAUGCACUAGUGACUGCUGUUCGAGAGGUAUACACGACCCUUGCCCGACACUUGGUUAGUGGGUUACAAAAUACAGAACAACCCAUGUUUGGUAGCGGUAUGGAAUACACAUCCCCAGCACGACACUCUGUCAGUGGAUGGGACAUGUACCUCGGUGGGUCGAUGUUUGAUGCUGGAAAUACGCACUGAGGAACGACAUCAACUUCUAGUGGUUGGCAAUCUACAUCCAAUUGAAGAUGUUAUGAAACGCCCAGAAGAAAGGGAUAAUGUACUCCCUACGACGUCUACUGAUGAGGGGACCUUGUACGUUACAGAUAAUGGUGGGUUAGAAGAUGACUCCGAUGUGGAUCCACCUCGAGAGCCAGAGCCCGAUGGUGCAGAAGUUGUAUUAUUUUCUAAACCAGAGCCUAUUCCAACCGAACUUGAAGAUGUUUAAGGGGGUUCAGAUGAAGAAGAAGAUUCACGAUUUAGGGCAUACUCGCCUCCAGCCCACAUGCAUAAUGUUGAUCUAUCUACAGAUGAUGCAUUAGAGUUUCCAGAUCUACCACACAGAAUGCGUGAUCAUACAAGUUUGUUAUUGGAUUCAGGUGAAUUUGAAGUUGGUAAGGAGUUUUCCAAUAAGGAUAGUUUUAUUGGUGCACUGAAACAACAUAACAUCAAUAACGGCAUUAACUACAACGUGGUUAAAUCCAAAGUUGAUAAGUUUGAGGCAAAGUGUGCAGUGCAAGACGGUACAUGUUCAUGGAAUAUCUACGCCUCGUUGAGGAAAAUGACAAGGUUGUGGGAGAUAAAAAAGUAUGAAGGUCCACAUACAUGUGCUGCAGGUACAAUAUUUAGGGUUUUUACAUUUGCUAUUAUUAUGUAAUGUUGCAUUAUUUAACGUACUUCGUUGACAGGUAUUUCACAAGAUCAUCCCAAGAUGGAUUCAGCUAUGUUAGCUAGCUUGAUACUACCAACGAUGAAGGCAGAUCCUAGGACUUCAGUGCCAGUCUUAAUUACCAAUAUUCGUAGCCAAAUGGGGUACACACCCUCUUAUCGCAAGGCUUGGAUAGCUAAGCAGAAGGCGUUGGAGAAGAUGUAUAGUGGGUGGGACGCUUCAUAUAAUGAAAUAUGGCAGUGGUGUCACGUGCUAGAGAGAUACGUCCCUGGUUGUAUAACAGACCUUGAAAUAGAACAUACGUACUACAACAACCGAUUACUACGUGGAUGCCAAGUGUUCAAACGACUGUUUUAAACCUUUAAGCAAUGUCGAGACGCAUUCUAUACUGCAAACCAUUGGUACAAAUUAACAGUACCUUUAUGUUUGGUAGAUAUACCCAUCGACUAUUGCUAGCAGUGACACAGGAUGGCAGUGGGAGAAUUAUUCCAAUUGCAUUUGUAAUAACAUUGGGGGAGUCAGCUGAUGACUGAGAUUUCUUUCUAUCUAGGUUAAGGAGGCAUGUAUGCCUCCAACCUGAUAUCUGUGUUAUUUUGGAUCGAGGCACUGGAAUACUAGCUGCAAACGAGCGACAGUGAAGCCUAUGGCAGUGCACACACCAUUAGUAUUGCCUAAGGCACAUUGCUUCUAACUACUACAGGCAAUAUCCAUCUAAAAGUGAACGAUGACAAGUGACCAACAUGGGUAUUUAGUCUCUAUUAAUAUAAUUUCGUUCCUCAUUUUGAAUUUAUUCUAAAUGAAAGAGUGGUAUGUAAUAUUCGCUAUGAACUUAUAUUGACAGGGUAUGAAAUAAGUAAAGACGUUUUUCAUGAGAUGUUGGCAGUUUUGCGUUCAGUUAACAGUGAAGGUGUGGACUACUUCUGUAACAUACCUUUCGAACAGUUGACACAAGCAUACAACGACGGCCUACGAUAUGGUCAUAUGACCUCAAACCUGGUUGAAUGCAUAAAUUAUGUUCUAAAAGGAACUCGACAUCUACCGAUAACAUCGAUUGUGCGAAGAAUAUUUUCACUUAGCGGCGUUAUUUCCAAAGUGAGCAGCGAGUUAUGCGACCCAAAUGCAAGGAGGCCAUGUAUGGUGCAGGAAGGUAUUGUAAGAAAUUAACAAGGUAAAGGCGAGGGCGAACACCAUGCACACAGUGUGUCACGAUCGAGACAACUUAUGGUUUCGCGUGACGGAGUUUGACAGACCGCACCAAGGUGUUAUUGGAGGGCAAUAUCGUGUUCACUUGCGAAAUAGGACUUGCGACUGUGAGAUGUUUGACACACUUCGUUAUCCAUGUGCUCAUAUAAUUUCAGGUUGUCAGAAUCUCUGACUGGAUUCCAUGAGCUAUGUCGACGAAGUGUACAAAUUAGAAAACAUGUACAACGUCUGGAGACACGUAUUCCUAUCGGUCCCAGAUGAACGCAAGUGGCCGUCUGUAUCGCUUGCUCCAUUUAAGUUGUUACCAGAUAGAGAAUUACGUCGCAAACCAAAGGGUCGACCUUGCUUGACUUGAAUACGUAACAAUAUGGAUAUCCGAGAAAUAGCCAAUCAACAGAAGUUGUGCUAAUGGUGUAGGAACCCAGGCCAUACAAGCAGAUCAUGUCCAAAUCGCAAUAGUUGAACGUUGUUGUAAAAAACUAUGUUGUAUUAUUUAUAUUUUAUUACAUGAAAUAAUAUAGAAAUAUUCAAAAUAUUACCUUUGUCGAAACCAUUUUUAAAUUUGAAAAAUAGGGAUCGACUUUUGAAAAUAAAAUGGGAGUCGCCACCGAUCUUUUAUUAAGGUGUGACCGGUUCACCGUUAAAAAUGAAUUUGGUCCGCAAAAUUUUGAGAAAAUAGAUUCCGGAGUCGAUUACGCACGAGGAAGCGUUAGCACCCUCGUAUGCCCAAAAUUGGUACCGAAUUGAUUGUUUGAUGUCUUAAUGUCAAAACUUUGAAAAGAUUCUAAAAUACGAUCCUUUGGUGAGAAAACUUGAAUAAACUAAAUUGAAUGAUAAGACACACUUAUCUCGCAGAAAUAAAUUGCCAUACUCAGUGAGUGAUGGGUGUCGAAUCCACCAAUAUAAACCUACGCCUUAGUUUGCAAAUUAUGCAGUAUAGGGAGUAGGGUCGAUCCCUCAGAGACUAGUUUACUAUAAAUUGUUGCUCGUUUGACCAGAUUAAUGUCGGGGCAGCUGUCGUGCCCAAGACAUUCGAGGGAUAAAAAUUUGGAAACCUGAAAUUAACAGAAAAAUAACGUCAAAAGUAAAAGUUGAAAACAGAAUAAUAAUAACUGUGAAAUAAAUAUUAAGAAAAAUUAAUUAGAAUGAGCUCAGCUUUAGGCGCGAAUUUUCCUCGUCUUUGAACCGAUCCUCGAAAUUGGAUGAACUCCUCUUUUCCAAUAAGCUAGUUAUAGCUACCAAGGACGCCUCGGACACCAACUCUUCCUUGUGUAAAUUAGUUAUGGAACGUCUAAUAACUAAUUCUUACUGAUUGAACAACCACGAAACGUUCGUGAUUUAGAACUCCGGCAGCUUUGCGUUCUAGAAGAGCCUAGCUCGAACCAAAGCCCUCAACCGCGUGGGACAUUUAAAUCCGGUUACUACCUCCCUUGACGGAACCAAACAGCAAUCUCCACUUGGCACGCCAAUGUGUUCACAGAAAACCGAUUAGAAACGUUCCUUUUGGAAUUCCAACUGUACGUCUAAUCACACUAAAUCAAACGACGUCUUUUUUGACUUAGUGUUGAUCUGACUUUAUGAGCUGACAAAAUCAUACUCUUAAUCCGGUGAAGUAAUAAGUACUGGAAUUUUAGGAGUUAAAUGGCUCGGGUUCGUAACUCACGGGUUUUAACGAGGCUAAUUUCGGCCUAAAGCUGAAAAUGAGUUUAGUUGGCUAAGGUUUGGGACAUGUUGGUAUUUGAUAAAUAAGGUAAAUGGGUGAAAAGGUGAGUGAUGUGAUUGAGUAUGGGGGUUGGAAUAUAUUAAAGUGGGAUGGUUGACUAUUUGGAAAAGAAUUGAAAAAGGAAUUGCAAAUGGCUUGAUAUGGUGAUUAGCAACUGGAAAUUAAAAUUUAAAGGAAAGGAAACUAAAGAAACAACAAAGCUACAUGAGAAAAGAGAGAAUGUAUUGAAAGAAGAAUGCUUGAUAUUUGAUUGAUGAUUUGAUGAACAAUACAUGCUCUAUUUAUACUAGAGGAUUUACUAAUUUAGGAGCCAACUAGUCAUAGAAAAUUAAGGAAAAAAAAUAUUCCAUGACCAAAAAUAUCCCAAAAUAAUCUCCCCCACUAAAUCAACAAAAUUUUCAGCUAAUUAAAAUUGGAAAAAUUCUACUUUUGCCCUCCUUCUUUGCUUCUUUCUUUAAUUUGGCCCAAUUGUUUCCUUUUUCUUCUAUUUAGCCCCAAAUUGCAUUCCUGCACAAAAUUCAAUAAAUAUGGCAAAGUUAGUGGUGCAUUCUCAUAAAUUAACCAAUUUAAUUUCAUAAAAUAUGUAACUUUAGCAUUUAAUCAGUGAGUUAGGGUGCAACAAUUCAAUCUUCGAAAUUAAAUUCGUCCCCUCUUUUUUUUUUAAGAAAAUCAUGUGUUUUAAGAAGGUUAUUCGAUUAUUUAAGUCAAUCGAAAAAUCAAAAUCCAGUAAGUUAGGGUUCAAUUUCUCGAAAUUCCUAAACAUCAAACAUUGCUUUUAUUUUAAAAUCGAGAUAACAAAAUGUUGUAUCCAGAAAGUUAGGAUCCAACAUUUUGAAGUCUCAAAAGCUUUAUUUUGAAGUUGUAUGGUUUUACCAAAAUAAACGCUUGGCUAUUCAAAUUCGUCGAGAAGAAUUGGAGCCCAGUAAGUUAGGGCACAAUUCUCUCGAGGGCUAUGAACACUAGGUCCUUUUGAAAUUUAUGAAAUAAAAAUGAUUGUAAUGCUCCAAUAAAAUACAAUUUUACAAAUGAGACAUAACUGAAGCAAUAUAUAAUGUAAAAAAUAAAUAACAACCCAAAUAUACACUAAUAAGUGGCAAACAAAUAGUAAGUAAAUGCAAAUAACCAUAAUGAUUUUAAUUAUAUUAUACAAACAUCGAUGUCAAUGUACAAAAACUAAAUAAAUUUAUCAUAAAUUCAAAAGAUACAUUAAGAUAAUAAAAAAAAACAAUACAUCCUAUGUAUGAAAGUUUUUAAAAUAAAUUACAUAUAUGAUCUUCAAAAUAGACACAAAAUAUAAUAAAACAUUAAAUAAUUGGUAUUUGAAAUAAAUUGGAAAUAAAUUUGAAAUAGACAAUAUACAUUUGUUAGUUUGAUAUAUAAAUAAUGCAUAUAAAAAUAUAAUAAUAAUGAUAUAUAUAUAUAUAUAUAUAUAUAUACUAGUAAAAAAAUAGAAUAGGGAAAGUAUAUUAUUGAAUUUAAAAUAUAUAUAUAUAUAUAUAAAACCGGUUUAAAAGACAUAUAUAAAUAAAAAUUUAAAACUAAUAAUCAUAAUGAAAUCAAAAUAUUAAUAUAUACUUAAGAAAAGAAUAAUUUCAUGAGUUAUAUAUAUUUAUAAAUAAUAGUAUUAUAAAAAAACAAAAAAAUUAUUAUGUAAGUAUUUAUUAUAUAGGAAUAUAUAAAAAGAUAAUUUUACAAAAUAAAACAUCAAAAACUUGUUUAAAUUUCCAUAAAGUAUAUAAAAUAAUCAAUGAUGAGGUAAAUAAUAAUAUGUUAAAUUUAAAACAAAAAAAUAUAUAGUAGGCUUAAAACAUUAAUGUAUGAUGAAUUUAAAUAAUGCUAAUAAUGAUUUUAAAAUAAUAAUAUAUCAUAUCUUAAAAUCGCACUAAUAAUAAAAUUAAAAAAUAAUAUCAAAUUUAAACAUUAAAAUAAGAUAAGUUGUUAAAAAUAAAUAUGUCAAACUAAGAAUUAAUUAGAAUUAGAAUUAAAUAAAAAAAAACUAAAUUUCUAGUAGAAUUAGAAAAACGAGCUAGAUUGAUAAUUGAUUCAAAACUGAGGGAUCAAAACAGAAUUAAACGCAAAUGCUAAGAUGUUCAAAUCCAAUCAGCGAAAAUGGCGGCGUUUAAAUAUGGAUCUAAAUGAAAUAAAAAUAAAAAUGCAAUAACAAUUUAAAAGAAUUGAAAGAAAACUGAAUCAAAAUGAAAGCCAAUACAGAGGGUUUCAAUGCGCAAAUUUCCCCUUAAUUUCAAAACGCGCAGAUCCUCCCUGAAUCAAGUCGGAUCAUCGGGUCAAGGCACCAAACAGUGCCGUUUUUUUGAAACAUUUAAAAGCGUAAAAAAAACCUAAAUCUAAAGAUUUUUGUUCAAAAUGCAAAAGAAAGUGGGAGCGCCGCUUUUGGUUUUUCAUCUACUAUCGCAACUCAACCUCUCAGAUCCCCAUCUGUUCCGAUUGCAACGAGAGAAACAGGGAUCCGACCGUCGCACUCUGAAGGUAAACUCUCAUCCUUAAGCCUCUCUUUUUCUUUGUUUAGUGUAUUCGUAGAGAAGCAAAAAGAGAAAGAAAACAGUGAAGAAAAACGAAAAAGGAAAAAAAAAUCAAUAUACCUCUUAAAUCUGCUCCUUUUCUCUUUUUCUUUUCAUCUUUUUUAUUUCAUAUCUCUCUCUAAAAAAAAAGCCCUCGAUCGAGUGCAUCCAUGGGGGUUUUUAUAACCCCAAAAUAGAAGAAAAAUAAAAAGAAUACAAAUUUCUUUUUUCUGCUUUUCUCUUGCUGUUUGUUUGUGUGUUGCACAGGUACGGCCGUACGGAGGUGGUGGCGUGGCGUGCGUAGAGAGGAAGACCGAAAGCGUUGGAAGCUGUGCGGCGCGAUAGGCUAGCUAGGGUUUCUGCUUGUGAUUCUUUUUGUUUUGGGCUUCAAUGUAAUUAGGCCGAGGUAUUUGGACCAUUGUUUGUAUAACUAGACAUUUGGACUUUAGUUAUAUAUAUUUUAUUUGGGUUUUAAUAUCCGUAUCGGGCCGGGCAAAUUUGGGCCAUUACAACCUUAUUUAAAAGAAUUUCUAUUUUAUUAAAAUUAUAAAAGUAAAUUUCAAUUACUUUAUUCAAAAUAACCUUUUAUUUUAUUACAUGAAAUAACAUAGAAAUAUUCAAAAUAUUGCCUUAUUUAAAAGAAUUUCUAUUUUAUUACAUGAAAUAAUAUAAAAAUAUUCAAAAUGUUUGUACAAAUAUGUUAAAAUAAAAAUCAAUCUCCGUGCCCGCCGGAUUUAGUGUCACAUGGCGGUCGUUGACGGUUACGCGCUGGGUUCCUCCUUUGUCUAGCUUCUGGUGGGGGUUGUGGUUGCUCUGGUGGGGAUUCUAGUUACUCUGGUAGGGGAUCGAGUUGCCAGUGUUGGGAGGAUGACCUACCUUGAUAGAAUAGUGAAUCUUGCGGUGUUUGCAUCACGAACGGCGAAGGCGUUUGAAACCCAUAAGGUGAUGGGGAUUGGUAAAAAGAAGAGCUCCCCGACGGCCCCUCGUGCGAUCCAUGUUGCGACUGUGGCCUAUAGAUUGGCAGUCCACUCGGCGACAUUGAUAAUGGAGAUGAACUGGGCCAUGGAUUCCAACCUGCCAUAGGACUAGAAAAAGGAAACAUAUAAGGGUUAGGAUACAAAAAAGGGCUACAAUACGCACCUGGCAUCAUCUGAAAAGGCUGUGUUGUAGGUGUCGUUGGUUGAAGUGUUGGGUCGGGUGACUGUGACGGUGUUGUUGCUGGGCCUGGUGAUUGUUUGGGAGCUGUUGAUGCGCUUACGUCGUCGUCCGUUCUUCUUGGAUUUAAAGGGCCAUGUCGUUCCCUUUGGACACGUAACUACCGCUGCCUCUCCUCUGCCGACAGUAAAUACGGCUUGCUAUGGAUCCUAAACCAUGGGAUGUAUUCCGCCAUGCAGCUAACUCUAGAACGAUGAUUGGUUCCCAAGUUGGUAUAUAAUCAUACUAAUCUUCCCACAUUUGGAUGUACUGUGACCAGAAUCUUGGCCAAUCUGUAUGCAAUUGCCGUAGGUCGAUUUUGUGAUGGUCAUCCAACACCUCAGGUGCCACGGGAAUCAGUUGUCAAAAUCCAAAUUGCCGUAAUACUCUGUCCAUACUCUGUGCGACUGGUGCAUCUCCAUGGUCGCUAAGUUGACCAAUGGGACUUUUACAUGCCAAGCGUUUGGAUUUUGGAAGUACUCAUCUGGAAUUACUGCCCGAAUUGCCAGAUCCUCGUAUGGUGUCCAUUGAAACUAUAUGAACAUGAUGGAAAUAUUAGUUAUAUACAUAAUACAUAAUACUAAAUACUAAAUACUAAAUACCGAUCGACUAUCUCAUGAUGGAAAUAUCUAUUUUAUUUAAUACUUACUUGUGCUUCUGACUGUUGGUCUAAUAGAAACCGUAUAUCUUCAAGAGAGGUAGGAAAUCCAACAUAACUUGUCGAAUGGUUCCACCUAAUUAAAUAAAUUUUUAGCAUACAAUUAUAUUUUAAAUCUACGUAAUAAUUGUAAAAUCUAAUAUAAAAUUUACCUCGUUAUGUGUGGGAAGGUAUAUGGGUGGUCCACUCGAGGACAUAAAAAUGGAAAGCGAAAUCGUGCCCAUGACUGCAGUAGUGAGAGACAACCUCCGAUUUUCGCUUUAUUCGGUCGCUUCGGCCCACACAUCUCCAGGUACAAUGUUGCCAACACGGUAAACCCCUAACUAAAUUCACCAGCUGCUCUAAAAUCAACGAGUUUCAGCAGCCAUCUUAGAUGUACAAGGUUCCGUGACAAGUCCGGCAUCAGAUAACCUCCAAUUAUCGGAAGAAUGUAUGCCCGAGCAUAUCUGAUUCUUUCUAGUUCGAUAGAAUCAUCAUCCGGCUCUAGGAAUGUGUCUCGUAACCAGCCUAUCUCGAUCCGACCUCCGUUGAUAUUAUCCGAAAUAGCGCCUAAAAGCUCGUAGCAUACCGCUCCCCAAUCACCAGAUUGAACAUACCCAGUGACUACGUACCCGUCCACCGGCAAUCCCAAUUGCAAAUUUACGUCUUCCAAAGUGAUAGUACACUCUCCACAUGGAAUAUGGAAUGUGUGCGUCUCGAGUCUCCACCUCUCAAUCAACGCACUAAUGAGCUUCGGUUCCAACUUGCAUCCCCGACCUACCAUUGCCACGUGCCAAAAACCCGCUUCCCGUAGGUAAUUCUCUACCAACGGUGAUGGAGGACCAUGCAUAUUACAGAUAUAGCAUUGCAAUAUCCGAUCUAUAGACUUUUAUAAGAAAUAAUAAAAUAAAAAUUAUUUAAAAUUUCAUAAAUCAAAAAAAUCUUAAAUAAUAUUUAAAAGUUAAAUUUAACACUUAUCAUUUUCAUUUGUUCGAUGGAUAUGUGCUUGUUAUCGAAACAAAUUAAUUCUCCGGCCAUUGAGAGGAAUUUGAGAGGAAAUUUUUAUGAUUUAAAAAAAAUAAGAGAAAUUUAAAAAAAAUUAUGAUUUAAAAAAAUUCAAAAAAAAUUAAAUUAAAGCUUUUUUUAGAAUAACUAAAAAAAUUAAAGCUUUUUUUGAGAGGAAUUUGAGAGAAUAUUGGAGAGAAAUUGAGAGAAAGGAUUUAGGGGUGAAAAAAAUGAAAGGGGGAGUUUAUAGUUUUUUUUUUUUUUUUUACCAUUGGGGGUGGUCACCAACGGUAAAAAAACUAGCCGUUGGUACUGUUCACGCGCGGGGAAAACGCUUCCCCAAGGAAGCUAUUUGUCCACGUGGAUGCGCUUUCUAGGAAUUGGCCCAUUCUAGUAAUUAAUUUUUCACCGGGCCUAUUUCAGUAAUUUAAAAAAAAUGGACUUUUAUUGGUUUUUGGCCCCUUUUUUUCUCUCACAAGUAAAAGUACUUAUGGAGAGGAUCAUGUAAAAUAAUGACCUGAAUAAUUUUAACCGUUUCAUCAUUGCAAAAAUGAAAUAAUAGAAAAGAAAGACUAGCCAUUUUAUGAAAUAUAAAUUUUAAGAAUAUGGACUAGCCAUUUUAUUUAUAAUUUUCUGUGAUUUUCUUCUUCUCUAACUUUUUUUUAAUGUCAAGAGUUGGGAAAAAGUUAUUAAUAAUUAAAUUAUUUUACUAUGAAAUUUUAAUUUAACUAGAAAAUAAGUGGUUUAUUUAGAGGGAUUACAAUUAAACAUUACCUUUUCAAAUUUUAAAAAUAAAAUUUUCUUUACAACUGCAUAAUUAAUAAGAUAUCAAUUUUGAGUGUUAUAACCUUCUCAACGCAUAACCAACUCUUGAAUUCACUUUUUUCUCUAAAAUUCUACGUAGAACACAAAUUAAUUUUUAAAAUGAAUUUUAAAAUCUCGCGAUUUUUUUAGGUGAUUCACCAAAGAAUAAAAAGAAGGGAGGUGAUUCCUCCUUUUUAAUAAAACCUUGUGCUUUUGCAAACACCAAAUUAUUGCUAAGCUUUACAUUAAUAUACAUGAUUUAUUUGUUUGUUAUUAUUAUUUAUAUGGUUAUAAUUUUAUACUUAUCGGACUAUAAUCAUUACCAUGGUUAUUAUCAUUCAAUAAAAAGAAAUAAGUGUUGAGUGUAAUGGCAAUGUACAUUACACUCUUACUAGGAGAUCAGGGUUUUGGACAAAGAAACAAUAUGAUUCGAAUUUUGGAGACAACAUCCUUAAAAUGAGCAACCACAAAGCCCGAUUAUGAACCAUAAAACGAACAUGAAAAGUACAAAAAAACACAUCUAUUAUCAAAUUAGUAAUCCAUCCCAAGGCUUAAAUUAACAAAAUUCACCAUGCAACCGUGUAGACUAUUUUAUGUAUAUACUAUAUUUAUUCUUCAUGCAAAUGUUUAUUAUAUUUAAAAAUUAAAAUAUAUGGUUGAUUGAGUUUUAGUUGAAUUAAUAUCGAUAUUGUUGUUAGUGCAGAAGAAUGUGAGUUCAAUCAUGUUUAAACGCGUUUUUCUUCCAAUUCAGAAGUUGGUGAGGAUUCUCAAUAGUUAAAUUAUAUAAGUUUUUGUCUAUUUAAAAUUGAUUUAUAAACAAUAUAAAUAAAAAGAUUUAAAAAAAUAUAUAUAUAUAUAUAUAUAUUCAUAUUGAUGGGCUUUUUCAUUACUAGACUUUUUUCCUUACAGGUAAAAGUAUUUAUGGACAGGAUGAUGUAAAAUAAUGACCUGAAUAAUUUUAAACGUUUCAUCACUGCAAAAAUGAAAAUAAUAGAAAUGAAAGACUAGCCAUUGUAUGAAAUUUAUAAUUGAACUGUCAACAAAAUUGGGAGAAAUUUUUAAAUUUUAUGAAAUUUUAAAAUUAAACUGUCAAUAAUAGAAAAUUGUGCGCCUGAGUGACUUGGGAUAAGAGGUUGAACAUUUCUGGAUCACAUUACAUUUAAGAUGGGUCUUUAAGGUUAUACUUUAGUUAUUGAGAACAUUUUCCACAAUUUGCCAUCGUUAUUUGUGGGGUAAGUGGUUGAACACUUAUGGAUCACAUUGCAUUUAGGACGGGUCUUUGGAGUUAUAUGAUACUUUAACAUAGACUGACUUUUCUAUAAUUAGUCCUUGGUUUACCUUGGGUGGAUUCUUCCAACUAGUCCAAGAAUUAUUGUACAAUUACAAUUAAUCUUUUUAAAUGAGACAAACAUUUCAAAUUUGUCAUUACUAUUUGUGAGUGAUUUGGGGGUAAGAAGUUUAACACUUCUGGAUGUCUUAUAAAAUUGUGAUUAUACUGUUUGAGUAUUGACUCAGUUUUCCACAAUUGUGGGUCUCUAUUUGAGCAAAACAAUUUCAACAUUUCUUCAUCUCGUUUAAUCCAAAUGCAUUUAUGCAUUUCUUAUACCAUUAAAUUGGCUGUUUCACAUUCAAUUUUUGGACAAGUAGAAUUUUCUAACCUAGUUUCCAUCAACUUCAAUUGAAUUUUCAAUCAAAAUCAGUUGCAUUCAAGAGCACCACAUCCUUUUGGAUGAAACAAAAUUUCAAUUUUAGGAUAAACGGGUCUUUAGGGUUAUACUUCAUUUAUUGAGGGCCUUUUAAUUUCCACAAUUGUCAUCACUAUUUGCGGGUGAUUUGGGGAUAAUAACUUGAACAUUUCUGGAUCACAUUUAAUUCAAUUUUUAAAUUUUAGAGAGGUGUUUGGGUUACAACAAUUGUCAUCAUUAUCCUUAAUAGAACAUUUGGGAGGAAAAUGAGCAAAAAAUGAGCGAAAACCGAAAAAUGGGGGCAAACUAUAGGACCCAAACGGGCUGACCUAUUCCACACGACCGUGUGACCCACACGGUCGUGUGGCAAGCCAUGUCAAGUUCGUAGAUUUGCACUCUGAACUACGAAAAAAUAUGAAUUUUAGGUUUUGCGGGCAUUCUAAGAUGUAUAUAUGACCAAAAAAAAAAAAAGAAGAUAGGAGAGAACCUUCCUAGAAUAUUCAAGAAAACAACUCUAAAGACACCACUAAAGCCGACUCUAAAGCAGAUUUUCAUUAAGAUUGAAGAUUCCUAAUUGAUUUCUUAGGAGAUUAUCAUGAGUUUCUUUAUUUCUUUCAGUUAUACUGCCCUUUGGAUGUUUUUAUUUUUAGAUUAACUAAUUUUCUAAAUACCUAAGAGAGAUGAGCCCUAUGAUAGACUGUGACACGCCAAAGUCGACCGGGAUAGACUGGCCUGAAUUCGAAGCAUUACAUUAGCCACCUAAGUGACUCUCCAGCUAACUACCACCCAAGACAAACCCCGACCUUAUAACACCUCAAUCUUAUCUAAUUAUUAAUUAUUUAUUAAUGCCGACGUAAAUUAUGAGCCAAUUUUAAACUUUUUCUAGGUAAUUUAACCUAAGGGCAUUUAUGUCAUUUUACCACUUAUGGUAAAACUAACUCGGUUUUAGAUCUAAGUGUUUUUUGACUUCUUUUAGUCAAAUUAUGCAAGUCUAAAAUUUUUAGGUUAAUUUGAGUUCGUUUACUAUGUCAAAUUCAAGUUUUAUUAUUAAGGACUAAAUUGUAACUUAAACAAAUUUGAAUACCAAUUUAAAGUAAUAAAAAUUCAAAACCCUAAAACCCACACGGGCAUGUGGGCAAGUGACACGGGCGUGUGGAGACUGGAGCUAUCACACACAAGCAUGUGAGUUGAAAAAUAUGAAAUAAAUUAAUCCAUUCAAUUUUCCAACAACCAUGCUAUACUACCAAACCAAAAAACGCUUGAAGCUUUGAAAAGGGGUGAAUCUAAAAAAAAAAAAUUAGAAGAAUUAGAAUUAAAUUAUAAAAUUUUGAGAAUUAAAAUAUAAUUUUAUCAUGUAUUAAUUUAUUAUUUUUAAAGGGUCUUAAUAGAGUUUUUUUUCCAUAUUGGUUGGACCAAUACCUCUACCUGCCUCUUUAAAUUUGCUCCAACCCUAAACCCAAUAUUCGAUUGGAUUAACAACAAUAUAUAGGUUAGUAUUUUUAGAGGUUUAAAUUAUAAAUUUUUGAAAGAUUAAAAUAAAUUUGUAUUUUUUUAUUAAGAAAAUAUAAAAGAAAAAAAUAUGUUUACACAAGCCAAGAGACCUUUGGGAUCAUGCGGGUGAUUUUGAUGAUGUUAAUGGUUAUUUUGGUGGAGAGAGUGAAAAAGAAACAAAUGAUUCAUUAUAUAUAAUAUAAUUAUGAAAUUCAAGCCAUAUAUUGUAUGUUUCAUACAUAAAAAUUUCAUGGGAGGUCCAAAGGUAAUAAAUGACUUGUAGGCUUGCUGAAUUCCUUUGAAAGGCCCAAAGGCAAUUUAACAUUCACAAAAUAAUCUCUAAAUACUGUAAAGACAAAUCAAAUCCACAGCAGCAUUAGAGUUGAUUAAGCUAAGCAUUGGCAAAUAUUACUUUGAUUUGGCGUGCAAUAUUGGGAAAACCCCCUCUUACAUUAGAAAAACAACAUAAUCCAUGAAACAUUGAUAGCCCAAUACAGAAGUGUUUAUAUAUGUGUUUGAGACUAGUUAUAUUUGGCUUAAUUGAAAUAGAUUAUAUAUGUUUUUAUGACUAUUUAUUUGCUUAAGACUUACUAAGCUUUUAAAAGCUUGCUUUGUGUGUGUUCUUUCCCUAUUUUAUAGAUAGUCGAAGCUAGCUCGAGCUCGAAGAUCGUCAAGAAUUGUCGUCACACUAUCGAUCGUCAUUUUAGUACUUUUGAAACUUGUAAAAAUAGUAUAUGGCAUGUAUAGGCUAGUAAUCAUGUGAUAUGUUUUUGGGUUGUGGUUUUAGCCAUAUAAGUUGGUUUGUAAAUGGUGUAGUUGUUGGAAGUUACUUUAGCUAUGCAAAUGAGCUUAUUUUAUGAAUUGACAAAUGGUAGGUGAUGUUUAUUUGGCAAACUUGGUAUAGUCAUGUGGUUAAUUAUUCGGUUAGAUGUUAAUGUUAGUAUGUGUUCAUAUUUACUAUGUGAUGACUAUGCUAUGCCAUGUAAAUUUGACUAUUUGGUGUGGAUUAUUAUUAACCUAUGCUAUGCCAUGUAAAUUUGACUAUUUAGUGUGGAUUAUUAUUAACCUAUGUGAUGUAUAAAUUAACCUAUUUGGUGUGGAUUAUUAUUAACCGGCGACGUAUUCAGGUUAGGGGUGUUACAUGAGGCGCUUUUGGUAAAUACAUUACUGAGUUGGUGACCUGAUUGAGGGUAACACCAACUCAAUAAAACUCUUAAAUAUUGACUACAAAUCCUAUCACACACUUAUGAGUAUGAAAACACAAAUUUAGAAUACAAAGAUGUGUUUAAAAAUAACAUAGAAUAAAGAAUGAAAUUUAUGGUUUGAAACUAAUUAAUAAUAACACAUGAAAUAGAAUGAAAUUUAUGGUUUGAAACUAAUUAAUAAUAACACAUGAAAUAUGUAUGAUAUCAAAAUGAAAAAAAAAAGAUUAAAUUGUGCAUAAAACAAAAUUUUUUCCUGUUACAUCAAUAAAGUUAUAUUUAUUACCCUCGCCAAUUGUUUGUCAUUAAGAACAUUAAAGUAUCCUUGAAUGAUAUAACUGAUUCUAAAUAGAGUUGAUGUAUGGUUGGCUUAGGAUACCAAGUCAGUUAGGGGCUUAAGAUUAUUAAAAUAUUCUUAUUUUAAAGGGAAAUUAAUAUUAUUAUAAGUGUAUUUUCACCUUUUCAUACUUUUAUAUAAUCUUCAAGUAAAACAAUUGAAAAAUAUUAUGUGAGGCUCAAACACAAGACUAAAAAAAUUCAUAUAGAAAACGCUUACCACUCCACUAAUAAUCAUUUGUUAAUGUAUUUUUGGUAAAAAGACCUCUCCAAUCCCUCUUAAUUUCACAAUUGCGCAAAUUAGUCCCUCUCAAAAAAAAUGGAGCAAUUUAAUCCCUAUCAAUUUUGAAAGUGAGUAACUAAGGACAAUUAAUUAUGGUGUUAAAUUCUUCCAUCAAUUGUACAUAAUUUUGAUUAGUACAGUUAUAAAUUUAACUUUCAAUGUUUAUAUAUUUUGUCAUUUUGGCCUUAAUUUUUAAAAAAAUUUAAGAAAUUCAACCUCAACAUUUACAUAUUUACACAAACGUUGCAGGAAAACUUUGUUAAAUUAAGACCAAAUUGCAAAGUGUGUAAAUUUUGAGGGCUAAAUUUAUUAAUAAACCAGCCAAAAUCAUGUACAUUUUAUGGAAUGUUAACAUCUUGAUUAAUUAUUCUUAGUUGCUCACUUUCAAAAUUAAUAGGGACUAAAUUGCUCUGACUUUUUUAGGGUAACCAAUUUCCUCAAUUUGGAAAUUGAGAGAGACUAUUGAGAUCUUUUUAAUAUAAAAUUAAUAUAUUUUUUUUAUAAACAAUAAAAGAACGUUGACAUUGAAUUUGCUGUUUCACAUUCAAUUUACAGAGAAGAAGAAUUUUCUAACUUAUUUUCCAUCAACUUCACUCCAAUUUUCAAUCACAAUCAAUUGCAUCAAGAGCACCACAUCUUUUUGGAUGAAACAAACCUCUCAAUUUUAAGAUAAACGGGUCUUUAGGGUUAUUAGUUGAGGGCUAUUUCCACAAUUGCCAUCACACACGGGAGUGUGGGAUUGAAAAAUAUGAAAUAAAUUAUUUCACUCAAUUUUCCAACACCCAUGCUAUACUACCAAAUUAAAAAAAGGCUUGACGCUUUGAAUAGGGAAGAAUUAGAAUUAAAUUAUAAAAUUUUGAGAAGUUAAAAUAUAAUUUUAUCAUGUAUUAAUUUAUUAUUUUUAAAGGGUCUUAAUAGAAUUUUUUUCCCAUUUUGGUUGGGCCAAUACCUCUGUCUGCCUCUUUAAAUAUGCUUCAACCCUAAACCCAAUAUUCAAUUUGGAUUAACAACAAUAUAUAGGUUAGUAUUUGUGGAAGUUUGACGAAUAAAAUUGCUUUUUUAGAUGUUUAAAUUAUAAAUUUUUGAACGUUUAAAGUAAAUUUGUAUUUUUUUAUUAACAAAAUAUAAAAAAAAAAACAUGUUUAGACAAGCCAAGAAACCUUUGGGAUCAUACGGAUGAUUUUGAUGAUGAUAAUGGUUAUUUUGGUGGAGAGGGUGAAAAAGAAACAAAUAAUUCAUUAUAUAUAAUAUAAUUAUGAAAUUCAUGCCAUAUAUUGUAUGUUUCAUACAUAAAAAUUUCAUGGGAGGUCCAAAGGUAAUUAAAUGACUUGUAGGCUUGCUGAAUUUCUUUGAAAGGCCCAAAGGCAAUUUAACAUUCACAAAAUAAUCUCUAAAUACUGUAAAGGCAAAUCAAAUCCACAGCAGCAUUGGCAAAUAUUACUUUGAUUUUGUAUGCAAUAUUACAUUAGAAAAACAACAUAAUCCAUGAAACAUUGAUAGCCCAAUACAAAUUUCAUCGAGAAAAAAGUCUCUUUGUUUUGUAGAACAUGAUAGUAAAGAUGUGUUUAGUUUUCCUUGAUCAACAACCACUUGCCAAAAACACAAUUAGAUUAGAUUAUGAAUGAUACUUUCAACUAUGACAAUAUUAAAUACUAAACAUUCCAAAUAACUCUAAAUAAAUGGAAUGUAGCAAAUUACCUGAUGAGGCAAGCUAGCUCAAUUAAGACCAUUGUGUUAUACUUGUCUCUAAAUUGAAAAAUUUAGAAGAAAAUAAAGAGAAAGAGUUAGCAAAUACUUGAAAACCGAUAAAACUUAUAUGUCAUUGAUUGGAUAAACUACGAUCACCCAUAAUAGCCUUUACCUUGCAACCAUCUACAUGAACCCAUAAGACUCUUAGCGGAAUCAAGAGACAAGACCCUAACAUGAGAACAAUACCAUUUGUUGAUGCCUUUAUUAAUAGGGCCGUACCUAGGAGAGUUGGCAGGGGUCCCGACCCUCCUUAAAAUAAAAAAAUUUCUAUUUAGGCCCUUUAAAAUUUUUAAAAUUUUAAAUUAAUAAACGUAAAAUUGUACUUUGGCCCCCCAAAAAAUUAUAAAACUUUGAUUUAAUCCUUUAAAAAUUAUAAAAAUAUUGGCUAUUAAAAUGGUGAAAUUACAUUUUUACUAUUGUAAAAAUUACAAUUUAAUUUCACCCCUAAAAAGAUUUUCUGGCUUCGCCCCUAAUAAAAUCAUUGGCAAAAGAUUAAAAUAAAAUUAUAUCAUAAAUAAUAAAAAAACUAAGAAAAUCCAAUCUAACAAAGAAAAUAACUUGAUGUCGAAAUUUAAUGCAUUUUAUUGGUUUCCAUUUUGAUAUUGCAAAAGAAGUUUGAAUUUUGAAGAGAGCCUAGUACGUGAGAGCAAAAGAAAAAAAAUGGUUUAUUAAUUUUUACGAAUACCGACAUAUUAUAUAUAUGAUUAAAAUUCCAGAAUAGAUUAAAAAUGUUGAAUUAAUGAUAAAAUUAAGUGUGAAAUAAUAACCACAAGUGUACUCUUUACUCACCAUCUCUGUUAAAAAUGUUGGAUGUUGUUUAGCAACCUUUGUUUGAUUUUCUUCAGCUCAACCACAACAUCUUUCAUAUCUUUUCUUUCUUCUGGUAACUCAGCUGAACAAUUCAAAGCCAACUCCAUGAUAGAUGAAAUACAAUUUGCUUUAACAACAAUGUACUCAUCCUCUCUUCUUAAUAAAUCAACAUCUGCAAUUUCUAUCGCUCCUUUAGGCAAUGAACUUUCCAUCCAAUGCCUUAUAGUCUCUUCUUCAACAAAAACAUUAUCAGUUGGCUUUUUCUUCGUGAAAGUUUCUAUAAGGACGAUCCCAUAACUAUAGACGUCAGAUUUUAUAGAAACAAUUCCUGCUGAUCCAAAUUCUGCAUUUCAAGUAUAAUUAGAACAUCAUUCAUCCUCAAUUAUUUCUAAAACGCUUAUUCAAAUAUAUAUCCACAUACACGUGAAACAAAAAUAUAAAAUGCAAAUUAGUAAAAUAAUCAUACAAAAAUAAAAAAGAAUUCACCUGGUGCCAUAUACCCAAUAGUUGCAAGAGUCAUGGUUUGCUUCAUUACUUCACCUUCUCCCAACAAUUUGGCAACGCCAAAAUCUCCAACAUGUGCAACCAUGUCUUCAUCUAGUAAAAUAUUGCUUGGUUUUAUGUCACAAUGAAUUAUAGGUGUUGGAUGUCCAUUGUGGAGGUGUUCUAUAGCUACCGCAACAUCUAUCAUUAUGUCGACCCUUUGUAUGAUAUUAAGGAAACAAUUUUCAGAAUGUAACCAUUUCUCAAGGUUUCCGUUAGAUAUGUAAUCAAGCACCAAGGCUUUGAAGUCAACACUUGAGCAGCAAGUAAUGACCUUCACAAUAUUACGAUGAACUAUAUUACACAUAGCAUCACAUUCAAUGUCAAAACUCCUAAAUGCUCCCUCUGUUUGCAAAUUGAAAACUUUUAUUGCAACUUCCAUUCCAUCUGAAAGCCUCCCUUUAUAUACAUAUCCAAAACUCCCUGAACCAAGCAUAUUGCUUUCCUCAAAUCCAUUAGUUGCUCGUGAAAGUUCAGCAUGUGAAAUUCUUCUCGGUGUUUUCAAAGACAACAAAUCAUCUUUAAUUGUUAGAGUUGUACUCCUUCUUUGGCAUCUUCUAUACAUAAUAGUUAAGACUAUUAGUACUACGACAAUACCAAUUGUUGGUAAACCAUACCUAAAAGCAUGCAAUAUAAUCAUUUGGGAGUUUUUGUGGAUGUCGUUUUUGCAGGGUGG